rnacentral:lncRNA from 1 species
ACUAAUUUUGACAAAUUUGAGAUUUUUUUUUUUUAGAAAAAAAAGUAGCAAACUAUCUGCUUCAUUUAUUAAGUGAAAUGAACUAAGCUUGCAAGGUGGAAGCAGCUAAGGCUUCCAAGAGGAGAAAAAAUGGCAGAAAAAGAUAAAAUGAAAGAAAAAGAACGGGAGAUAAGACAAGACAAUAAGCAGAAAAAGAUGAUAGCGGAUCGUGGACAAAUUUGAGGUAUUAAAAUGAUAAAACAGAUAGAACAUUAUUUUUCUCCCUUUAUAUAUAUAUAUAGUCCUGCUGGGAUACUAUCGAUAGCACCAAGUAUUUGGUGCUAUCAAAUUUUUUGCCGUUCGAUUUAACUCUUUGACUAUUUUCACCUGUUAAAUUAUACUAUUAAACUAAUAACUCACUGAACCUUAGGGGGUUCACAUGAUCCUAACCGUACAUUUUUUUUAUCCAACGGCCGAAAACCUAAUAGCACUAAUAAUUUGGUGCUAUUGAUAGUAUUCAAGCCUAGGUCUAUAUAUAUAUAUAUAUAUAUAUAUAUAUAUAUAGAGAGAGAGAGAGAGAGAGAGAGAGAGAGAGAGAGAGAGAGAGAGUUGAGCUGGAAUGCUAUCGGAAGCAAACGAGUUCCGUUGUCACCCAUUUGUUUUCGAUAAUGGAUCAUCCAAAUCGACGAUCAGCACAAUUAAACAUGAUUUAUACCACUCGAAGCUUCUAGAUUCCAAAUUUCAUAUUUUUUUCGAUAUUGUUCUCUUAUCCAUCAAAUGGACUAAAAAAUGACCGGCUGAAAAUAAAUAUCCUUUAAAAAGUGAUGAUAAGAGUCUUGUAAUCAAGAUCAAGAGUAUAGAUCUUAUUCUAAAUAGUUUAAAGAAUUUUCUAACCAAAAUUCAAUUGAUUUGGAUAUCUUUACACCGUUAAACGAGAAAACGCCUUAUAUCGACCAUUAAAAUUACAAAUUUUGAAACCCUUUGAUCAUUAGGUCAAUGAUGUCGAAAANAAGAUUUGAAAUUUAGUUUUUAGAUACUUCAAGUGGUAUAAAUCAUGUUCAACAGUACCGAUCGUUAAUUUAGAGACUUUAUCAUUGAAAGCAAAUGAAUGACAACGGAGCUCGUUUGCUAUUGAUAUCAUUCCAGCUCAACUAUAUAUAUAUAUAUAUAUAUAUAUAUAUAUAUAUAUAUAUAUAUAUAUAUAUAGUUGAACUAAAAUACUAUCGGUAGCAAACGGGCUCCGUUGCCACCUAUUUAUUUUCGAUGAUGGAGCCUCCAAAUCGACGAUCGGAACCAUUGAAUAUAAUCUAUACCACUUGAAGUAUCUAGAAAUCAAAUUUCCUGAUUUUUUGAUAUUGUUCUCUUGUCCAUCAAGUGAGCGUAAAAAUGAACGGCUGAAAAUGAAUAUCCUCUAAAAAAUAAUGAUAGGAAUUUUAUAAUCAAGAUCGAAAGUAUAGAUCUUAUUCUAAAUAGUUUAAAAAAUUUUCUAACCAAAAUUCAAUUUAUUUGGAUAGCUUUACACCGUUAAACAAAAAAACGCCUUAUAUCUAUCAUUAAAAUUACAAAUUUUGAAACCCUUUGAUCAUUAGGUCAGUGAUGUCGAAAUGAUUUGAAAUUUGGUUUCUAGAUACUUCAAGUAGUAUAGAUCAUGUUCAAUGGUGCCGAUCGUCAAUUUAAAGGCUUCAUCAUCGAAAACAAAUGGGUGACAACGAAGCUAGUUUGCUACUGAUAGCAUUCCAGCUCAACUGUCUCUAUAUAUGUAUGUAUGUAUAUAUAUAUAUAUAUAUAUAUAUAUAUAUAUAUAUAUAUAUAUAUAUACAUAUAUACAUAUACACGCGCACACACAUACUGAUUGAAUACAUUUAUCAAACUUAUGGACAUAGAUAGUUUCGUUUAUGGUUCUGCUUUCUAUCAAACUCAUGGAUUUCUAUGAGUUGCUCUAGUUUGGAAAUCUUUGCUGAUUCUGCCCACUGCGUAAGAGGUUUUUCACGAUUUUAGAUCAUCAAUUGGAUGAGUAAUCGACAGAAUUCGUGGUAUGUGAAUAUAAGAUAAAUUAGGUGCAGGCAAUAAGUGUUAUGAUUAAAAUACAAAAAAUUCUCAUAUAAAUAUUUAUUUCAUCACUUUUUUUUUCCUUAACUUUUAAGAUUUAUAUUUUGCUUUUUCAUAAUUUUAAAAAUAUUUUUAGUAUUUUACAGCGUUAAUGGAAAGGGUGAAAUAGCAAAACCGCCCUUACUUAUUCUAUAGAGGAAAAAAGAUAAUAUAUUUAGAUGAAAUAAUAAAGGAACCUUGACUUGAAGAGGGGGCUUAAGUGCAUCAAUUUAAAAUUUUAAAAAUUUUAAGAGGAUAAAAUAGAAGAUUUUAAAAUUUAGAAAGAAAGUGAAAACAUGGGUAUUUACACUCAAUUUUUUUAUACUUUAGCCUGAGAAUCAAAAUGAAAAAUAAUGCAAUUCAUUGUUGUUUGUCGAUUAUAUUCCCGCACAAGAGAAGCUGUUCAAGGGAGUACUGUUCCAAAUUAAAAGCACUUACUAAGAGUACUAUUUUUAAAGGAACCCUAGUUAGGUCAAACAAUUUUGAGAGUCUAUAAGAUUCUAUUAAUUUUGUCUUAGUUUGUGGACAAAUCAAGAUUCAAAGUAAAGCAGUUAAGGUUUCAAUUCAAAGGAUCAUGAUGAAGUGACAGGUGUGUUUACUUUGUUUUUCUUUUUUUUUUUGUUUUUUUUUGGCUAUUUUGUUUUGUUUUGUUUUUUUAUUUUUUUGAGAGAUAGAUAGCACGCUACCCGCUUCGUUUAUUUCAUUUAGAAAUAAACUUAGCUAGAAAUGUGAAUCAACUAGGAUUCGAACUUGGGUCUCGGGUAUCAACCACUAAGCUCUUUGCCACUUGUUUUAGGGACGGUCGGUUUUGUCUUUUGUGGCCAUUUUGUUGUUGAUAGAUUUUGUAGGGAGGCUCUGAUGACACGUUGCAGGUAGAAAUAUCAGAAAUAACUUAAAUUGUUUUGAAUUUUCAAUUGAGUGGUGGCUGACGGUAACAGACGGUGUGUCUCGCUCAUAUUACUAAAGUUGUUUUGAAGUGCGAAUUGAAUAGUAUGUGAUAAUAAUGGAUACAAUGUAUCUCGCUCAUAUCACUAAAUUUAUUUUGAAAUUCGAACUGAGCCUGAUUGUGAUGGAAACGCAUUUGAUAAAAUGUUUUUGUUGCCCAAAAGACAUUUUACACCUCGUAUAAAAAAAUAUGUUGGUUUUUUCUAUAUUUUCUUUUUGGCUAUGUAUCAAUUUUCUUUUCAUCAAACUGUGAGGCACACGACAUAUUAGUAUUCAAACUUUUUUUAUAUAAUUUUUGGGUUAAUUUUUAUAAAUUAUUAUAAUCAUGUGCCCAAAAUGCUUAAGCCCAGUUAUUAUUACUAGUGUCUAAGUCUCUUAUAAACCCAAUGACAACCUCUUUCCCAUCCGAUGUGACUCGCCACACAUGUCCAGCUGGUGAACUCGUUGGGCCCAAUCACUGGUUCAAAAUGCUUAAUCCUAGGACUACUCCCGUCCUAGCACGCUUAACUCUCUUAACCUCUUGGGCCUUGCCACCAACCAAAAUGCUUAAGCCCAGUUAUUAUUACUAGUGUCUAAGUCUCUUAUAAACCCAAUGACAACUCCUUUCCUAUCCGAUGUGGGAUUAUUGGGAUGUCACAAAUCAAGUCUCAUUAGAUAAUUUACUUGACUGAAAAUUAAUGUAUCGCUGAUAGAAUAGCAAUUAAUAAUAUGACAAUAACUAUAAUACCACAUACAUUCCCUACCUAUGAAAAUGUCUCCCGAAACUAAUAUAAUAUCUACCUUUGUCUUAUAUUUGAAUCCUAUCUUAUUUUAACCUUAGUUUAAUCAAAUCCUAAUAAAAAUUUACCAAAUGUCGUUGCUAAUUACAAAACAACAUGUAAUUUUGGUUCACUAAUUCCAACAUAAGCCCAUUAAAAAAAUAGGAGGUGCAAAUGAGGUCUACAUGUUAGCUUGUCAGCAUUGCAAACCCUAGCACUACUCAGUUAGUUUGUCAUCAGCAUUGCAAACCCUAGGACGACUCCGCUAGGGCUAUAAAUUAUCAAAAAUAUUAUCUUUAUAUAUUAUUAAUAUUUAUCGGCAUAUGUUAUGUUUGUCUUUAUAUAUUAACGAUAUAGCAGCAUCUAUUACUUUUAAAGAUGUUACAUCCUUCACAUUAAAAUUUAUUGAUAACUUUGAAACAAUUUGAAUUCAAAGUUUAAAUUGAAAUUCUUAACUAAAAAUACUUUUAUUAAAAUUUAAAUUUUAAACUUUAAAUUUAGAUUAAAUUUAAAUAAAAAUAAAUAUUUAAAUAUAUAGAGUUAAAUAUAAAGUUACAAAUUUGAAUUUAAAAAUUUUAUGUUGAAUUUGAAUUUACAAAUAAAAUUCAGAACGUGAUCAUGAUUUUAAUUUAAAUUUAAAGUAAAAUUCAUUUUAAAAAUAAUUUCCAAGAUUAAAGUUAAGGCUAAAGAUAAUCUUUUAGCUAAGCUUUUCAUUUUCGAUAACUUCCAAAUUUUUUAUGCCGAAGUUAGAAAAAUGAGAUUUAGUUAUAACUCACUUUAUCAGCUAAUUUUUGUAAAGUGAUUUUCAUAUUCACUUUCGCAGACCAGUGCAAAUAAAACAAUCGAUAAAUCGUCACUUUCAAAAGUACUACUUUCGAUACUUCACUUUCGGACAACACAUUUAAUAAGGUUUGUCCGUUCCACUUUAGAAAAUUUAAAAGAACUAAAAUAUCACUGAUCAUAUUUCAGCUGGUGUCACCAUUUUCGAUCCAGUUUUAUUUCGUUCUCAUGCAAAGUUAUGAAUGAAUUUUUAAAAUAAAGUUUGUCCGAUUCUUAUAUAAACUAUAUUCGAUUCAUUCAACAUGCUAGCAAAAGCCCAGUAUGCGUCGAGAGAGUGUGUUAAGAUGAUAUCUGUAUCUUACGAUUUAAAUUUUUACAGAAUAACAGAUCUUAUAAAAUAUAAAAAUGAUUACCUUGAUUUUAAGAAAAGAAAUCAAACUGCGUGUCAGAAACUGAAGUUUUUAAUUUUAAAAUUCAACAACCAACACAUUUAAUAACUCAUGAUAAAUAAAUAUCUCGAGGGACCUUAAAUUACUCGAACAGGAACAUGAAUUACUCGAAAAGGACCUAAAAAUUAGUAAAUUAUUUCUCAUAAAUACAUAAAUACAUGAGUUAAUGUUCUUUGAAUUUCGUGCACGAGAAUCCGUAUUUCACUCGAGCACGCAACUCAUUAACCACUAACUUAUAUACAGCUGUAGCUGUACUAUUGAAAGAUACAUAGUUACAUCAAAACUACUGUUGCAUACUUUUUUUUUAAAGAAAAAAUUUAUAUUAUAUCAAUGCAAAAUUUUUAAAUUUUUGAAUAUGUUUCUAUCAAAUUUUAAUUAUUUAAAUGUAUCUUUUUAAAAGUUUGUAAUUUAUAAAUUUAUUCUUAUAAAUUAAUCAUCACUAAUUGACCAUUGAAUUUUAAUCGUUAGGGCCAAUAUCAAAACAAUGCAUGGAACCCGCUAAGGAGUGGGAAUUACGUACCCAUUACGUUAGUUAAUUAAAAAUUAAUUAGCGGAUUAAUUCAUUGAUUAAUAAUUAAUAUAAUUGCUUAUUCCACAAUUAAUUAAUCAAUCAAUAUAGUAAUUUAUUUUAAAUAACUAAUUAAUUAACUUAUUAAAUGUUAAUUAAUUUAUUAAAUUAUUAAAAUUUUAUUUAAUUGAUAGUUUGAUGCUAAUUAACUAGGUAAAAUAUUUUUUAAAAAAAUGUAUAAAUCCUCUUAUUCCCAACUAAUUUUAAAAAAAUACUUUUUAAAAUUAUAUUUUUUUAAAAAAAUUAUUGUUUAAACUCUACAAUUUAAAGGUGUAUAUAUAGCAGUUUAAUCCAACUAAUUUAUGAACACGCAGUCCUUGUACUACCCAAUAUUAUUACGUUUGGUUUGCAUAUCUUAUCCUUUUAGUUUCGAGUUUUAAUUAUCCUAUACAUAUGUCUUAGUUCUAAGUAUAAUUAAUUUUUCGAUCUUUCUUAUUAAAUUAAAGAAUUAUAUACUUAUGGUGUUAAGUCAUCUAUUUAAUUAAUUAAUAACUGGAUUCUUUGCGGAUCAGGUUAGAAACUUUUACUCAAUUACCAAAUGGAUCUGAUUUGCACAUGUAAUUUAUAUGCUUAUAACACAUAUCUUCUUUGAUAUGACCCGUUAACCCCUCCACCCGAAUUACCAUUUUCACCCGAAUUACCAUUCUUAUUCGCAUUCAAUAUUGUUAUAGAUCGAAUAUAUAGGAAUAUUUACCCAUACAUAAAUGUAUAAUUCAUUAAAAUUAAUAUUCCAGGGAGUGACAAGGGGUUUAAUUAAUUCCCUUUGACAAUGUCAUUACAUUUUGGAGAAAUUUGUCGACAAAAUAGUGCAUAAAUUCUAGGAGACUGCUAUCAUCCUAACUCUAUAAUUUUUAAUCGAAGGGUUAAAAACUCGAUAGCAAAAUAGCUCAAAUAUUAUUAAUAAUAUUCCAGCCCUAUAUAUAUAUAUAUAUAUAUAUAUAUAUAUAAGAAAUACUAUCAAUAUCACUAAGUUAUUGGUGCUUAAAUGAAAAAAAAUGUAUGGUUAGGAUGAUAUGGACUCCCUGGAAUUGAGUGAGUUAUUGGUUGAAUAGUAUAAUCUAAGAGGUGAAAAUAGUUAAAGGGUUAAAUCCAACUGCAGAAAAACUCGAUAACACUAAAAGCUUGGUACUAUUGAUAGUAUCUCAGCUGGACUCUAUGUGCGCGCGCGCACUGCGGUGUGUACGUGUGUGGGGCAUGCAUUGGCCAAAGUGAAUUCAUGGUGAACAGUGAACAAAUUAAGAAAUUUUAAUUUUCUUUUUGACUGUACAAAUUUAAGGAUCAUGGCUUGAAGAGUGAACAAAUUUCUCUAAAAAUGUUAUGAAUUUAAAUUUUUUUUAGAGAUAGAUAGUAUGCUACUCGCUUCGUUUAUUUUAUUUAAAAAUAAACUUAGCUGAAAAUGUAAAUUAACUAGAAUUCAAACUUGAAACUUCCGGUACCAACCACCAACACACGCAAACGCGCGCGCACGCACACUUAUUAGAUAAUGUAAGGGCAUAGGUUAACUUAUUGGAUAAUGUAAGGGCAUAGGUUAUUUGUAAAAUUUUAGGCAUGAAAAUAUUAUGUACAGGAUUAUUGCACCUCAAAUAUGAGGCUAAUUGCAUCGAAUAGUCCAAAUGCACUCAAUGUCACGUAAGAAGUGCGAUUGCAUCCUGCAUGCGUAGGAUUUUUCUGUGCUUAAUCUUUAAAAUUUGUAUUUGCAUAUAUUUGAGUAAAAGUUAUGGAUGCAUUAUUAGAAGGGUCACAAAAUCAUCUAAUUAGAGAGAAAAUUUUCUAUUUGACAAUUAUUUCAAUUAAAAAUAACAACAAAUUUUUUAAACACAUUAUUUUCAUAUAAAAUUUCUAUAUAAUAUAUUUUUGUUUAGACCUUUUACUAGCUGUCUCAAGUAUAUUCUAUCUGAUAUAACUGAUAAAGAAAGAUUUUUUUUUAAAAAAAAAUAUUAUGAUAAAGACAUAUUUUGAUCCUAUACAAAUUUAAGGCCAUUUUUAAUUAAACUCUAUCUCCAUUAUUUAUUGUUUCUAUUCAUAUUACUUUUUUUUUUUUGCCAACAUAUUUUUUGGGCUAUUUGUGGAACUAUUUCUAAAAACAAGUGGAUAUGAUUAUUAAUGAUUAUUAAUGUCACAUAUAAUCAUAUCUUUCCACUUAAUUAUAACCUAUCACACUAUAUGUAGAAGAGCAUAUCACGAGAGUUAAAUAUAUCCAUUUUUAUUUUAAUUUUCUUUAAAAUUAUAAGUGCAUUAUCUUAUUACGUCACACUUUAGGAUAAAAAUAGUAAUAUGUUUCCAUUUUGUGGAGUGAAAUAAAUGAAAACGUCGAAUGAAUUACAUGUGAACAUAUAUCAAUGUUCAUUGCAUAAAAUUAAUGCAUUUUAUUUUUAUUUUAUUUUAUUUUAUUUUUUUAUGGAUAUUAACAACUACCAAGUACCAAACGGGUUUAUUUUUCAACGGUUAUUUACACCCCCGGUGAGGUGGUUACGGUUUCCUCUCCCCUAUAAUGGAUAUUCGCUAUGUAUAAUGGAUUAUCCGCUAUGUGCAAAAUAGAUAAAAUAAUAUGGCUAAAAUUGCAAAGAGACCCCUCAGCUAUAGAACGUGGUGAAGUAAGCCCCUGGCUGUUGUCUAUUUUGUUUGACACUUCCUCGUUUUUUAUUUCAUUUUUAUUAUACUAAUUAUUUCAAUAGAAAUUGAAAUGAAAAUCUAAUAAAAGUAUUCUAUAUAUCAAAUUUCAUGAUUUUUAAUUAAUAAGUAUGUUUGAAGAAAGGUAGAUUUUAUUAAUAAUUAAUAAUUAAUAGCAAUAAAAUAGUUUUUGGAUUUAUUUUUUUUGAAGUUGUUGCUCAAUUAUAUGCCAUCCGAACUAGACCUUUUCAACUUUAAAUUUUUUUGUAAAAUUUAUAAUUAAUUAAAGUUAAAAAUUUUGUUAAAUCUUAUGACCAAUUGGCUAUAUAUAUUAGCAGUUAAUUAAUUCGUCUUUAUUCGUUAUAAAUUAGUUCAAACUAUAACUAUUAAUAAAAUUAUUUAAUCAGUUUAGUAAAAAUUUUAAUUUAUUUGAGUAAAAUCACCUGAUUCUUAAAAAUUAGAAGUUGAGGAGGCCUCAAUGUAAAAAAUCCUUGAGGGAGGUAUUUCCAAAUAGCCUAUAGUUGAGGAGUCUCCGUAUACUUUUACAUAAAAUAAUUCACACAUGGACAAAUUAGCUUUGGAAAAGUCAGCAUGUACAAAAAAAAUCCAUUUUUUUAAGAUAUUUUGUUUUCCUACCCAAGCAAUGCUACAUGUACACCUAAAAAAUAUAUAAAAUUCUAAAAAAUUUUAUUAUUUUUUAAUAUUAAAAUUUUAAAAGGAACAUUUAAAUCUUAGAUGAAUAUGUAUAAAAUUUAUUUUACUCUUAAAUCUACAGUAGCAAUUCUCUUUUAGGUAAAAACAUGCCGAAUUUACUUAAACUAUAAAUAGACUAUUUUAAUUUGGCUAUGUAAUCUUUCGAAUUUUAGUUUUUCUAUCAAACCUCUCAAUUUGUUUAAUUCGAGUCAGUCAAUAAUAAUUUGACUUCAAAAUUUAAAUAUAUUAUUUAUCUCUACAUAUUUAGUUAGCAUAUUUAAUACAGUUUGAGCAACUGUGAAUUUAUUGAAAUAAAUAAUUAACUUAAAUUUUAGAGUUAAAGUAUUAUUAAUCGACUCAAAUUAGAUAAAUUACAAAAUUAUAUAGUAAAAUUAAAAUUUUAAAAUAUUUAUUGCUGAUUCAAAAAUAGUUCAUAACUCAGAUAAAUUUUACACAUUUUACCUUUUCUUUAUACAUGUGUGUUACAUUACACCAGGGUGGUGAUAGGAUCCCACACCGUUUUGGUCUAUAUAACCCCAUCACCAGCUCACUCCAUAUGAGAGUGCCCAUGUCCAUUUAGACACUCCUCACCUUCCUCUUCUCCCUCUCUCUCUCUCUCUCUCUCUCUCUCUCUCUCUCUCUCUCUCUCUCUCUCUCUCUCUCCCCAUAUAUAACAAUGGCUAAUCCAAACCCAGAAGCUAAAGUUAUAACUGGUUCUACUCCACCGCAGCCGCAACCGCCGCCACCGCCGCAGCCGACGAAUUCGUUACCGGAAGAAGCAAUAGUUCCGGGGGUGAAGAAGCGCCAGAAUGUGAGGUUCGCCUUCGCCUGCGCCACCCUUGCCUCCAUGACCUCCAUCCUCUUAGGCUAUGGUAAAAGAUAUGUUAAUAUAUGUAUCCAAAUUUUUUUUAAGGACUAAUGUGCAAAAAGAUAUAUAUAUAUAUAUAUAUAUAUAGAGAGAGAGAGAGAGAGAGAGAGAGAGAGAGAGAGAGACUCUGUGAUCAUUGAAUGCGUAGGUUGAAUAGCUGGUUAGCAUAAUAAUAAUAAUUUAAAAAUAAAUAAGUGUAUAUAUAAUAUGUACUAUUAAUAGUAUCAACUCUCUUUCUCUCUAGUUUGGUUUGAUAUAUAUGUAUAAGAAAGGAUUUGUUUGGCCGAGCUUUUAUAUGCUGGGACUUACUUUGUGCCUAAAUAGGCUAUUUGGUUUAGAUAAUCUAAGCGUUCACACUCUAAAUUUUAAUUUAAUUAUCUACUUUGUGACAGACAGAAAAAUCAGAAUAUAAUUAAGAUUCGAAGUUUGAGUUUUGGAUGAUAAUUAUUUUUCUUCCGAACAAAUUUUAAAUUUUUUUUAGUUGCAUGGAAAAACAAGGUGGGAAAAUAUUUUUCGGGGUAUAUGUAAAUUAAAUUUUGGGGAAGAUAAAUAUAUAUAUAUUUUUCAUUUUCUAAAUUUUUUUUAAUGAAAAUACAAAUAAAUAAAUUCCGCUAGCUAUAUGCAUGCAAUUGUAAAUGAGCGUAAUUACUUACUGCAGACAUCGGGGUGAUGAGCGGGGCGGUGCUGUUCAUUCAGAAGGACUUGAAGAUCAGCGACACGCAGGUGGAGGUCCUGACGGGCAUCCUCAACCUCUACUCGCUGGUCGGCUCCUUCGCCGCCGGCCGCACCUCCGACUGGAUCGGCCGCCGCUACACCAUCGUCUUCGCCUCCGCCAUCUUCUUCGCCGGCGCCCUCCUCAUGGGCUUCGCCCCCAACUACGCCCUCCUCAUGCUCGGCCGCUUCGUUGCCGGCAUCGGCGUCGGCUACGCCCUCAUGAUCGCCCCCGUCUACACCGCCGAGGUCUCCCCCGCCUCCUCCCGCGGCUUCCUCACCUCCUUCCCCGAGGUAUAUAUAAGUUUAAGCUGUCAGAGAACGGUAUUUACUUAUUUUAUGUAUUAUUGAAAAAUUUAUGUAAUGUUUCGUGAUGUACGAUAAAUUAAUAAACAGGUGUUCAUCAAUACGGGUAUCCUGAUCGGCUACAUCUCGAACUACGCCUUCUCGCACCUGCCGCUGAACCUCGGGUGGCGGUUCAUGCUGGGCGUGGGCGCGAUCCCGUCCGUGUUCCUGGCCGUGGGCGUGCUGGCGAUGCCGGAGUCGCCGCGGUGGCUGGUGAUGAAGGGCCGGCUGGCGGAGGCCGCGUCGGUGCUGCACCGCACGUCCGACACCGCCGAAGAGGCCGAGCUGCGCCUGCUCGACAUCAAGAAGGCGGCCGGCGUCCCCGCCGGCUGCACCGACGACUUCUUCGCGCCCGCCAAGCGGCAGCGCGGCGGCGAGAGCGUCUGGAAGGAGCUGUUCCUCCGCCCGACGCCGCCCGUGCGCCGCAUCCUCGUCACCGCCCUCGGCAUUCACUUCUUCCAGCAGGCCUCCGGCAUCGACUCCGUCGUGCUGUACAGCCCCCGCGUGUUCCAGAAGGCCGGCAUCACCGACAAGAACAAGCUGCUCGGCACCACCGUCGCGGUCGGCUUCGUCAAGACGCUCUUCAUCCUCGUCGCCACGUUCCUGCUCGACCGCGUCGGCCGGCGGCCGCUCCUGCUCAGCAGCACCGGCGGAAUGGUGGCGUCGCUGGCGGGGCUGGGCAUCGGGCUGACGGUGAUCGGUCAUAGCGCCGGCGGCACCGUCCCGUGGGCCGUCGGGCUCUCGAUCGCCUCCAUCCUCGCCUACGUCGCCUUCUUCUCGAUCGGCCUCGGCCCGAUCACGUGGGUCUACACGUCGGAGAUCUUCCCGCUGCGCCUGCGGGCGCUCGGGUGCGCCGUCGGCGUGGCGCUGAACCGCUGCACCAGCGGCGUCAUCACGAUGACCUUCAUAUCGCUCUACAAGGCGAUCACCAUCGGGGGCAGCUUCUUCCUCUACGCCGGGAUCGCCACGGCCGCGUGGGUGUUCUUCUUCACGUACCUCCCGGAGACCCGCGGGCGCAUGCUCGAAGACACCGGAAAGCUGUUCGGAAUUAUGGAUACGGAUAAGGACGUCGAUGUCUGCGAUGAACAGCCACCUCACAAAUCCGUAGGAGAAGAAAAAGCAAUUCAACUUACUAACAACAAUAGCAGCAGUAACACUACUACUGAAACAGGGACUAACAGGCAAUUACCAAAAGUUUAGUGGCUUAGUUUGUUAGGGAUCAGAUUGUAAGAAGGAGAAAAAUGGGAGGACUUUAAAGAGAAAAAUUGUAAGAGGAUUGGUGUGACCACCCACCAAUGACAAUCGUUGGUUGAUGUAAUUGGAUACGAAAAGAGUACUACUGCUUUUCUUUUCCUUUUUUUUGUGUGUAAUUAUUGGUUGGUUGAUAUAAUUAGUUUUUAUGGGGUCUACAAUAGAUGUCCUAUUUUAGUAGUGCAAAUGGGUGAACGAAUCAAAUUUAAAAAAAAAAAAAAAGGGUUGAGAAGGAAAUGCGAAGAAUUUGGGACCAAGCAAUUACAUUACACAUACAAUAAGAAUUAUUAAUUUUUAAAAUAUCGCAAGAUAAUAUUUCUUGGGAAGCUGUGGGCUGUGGCUGCUAAAAAGUUCUUCUUUUUGUAAGUUAAAAAUCUAAAAUUUUAAAGCGAAACUUUGGAAAAAAAAAAAUUAACGAACUUAAUUAUUUUGUAUUUUGUAUUUUGUAUUUGUAUUAUAUAUAUUUGCGUAAAUAUUUUGUAUAUUUAAUUUUGUUUUCUUGGAGAAAAAAAAUAUAUUUUGUAUUUGCAUAAAUAAGUGAGGUUGGAUUCACAGGAAUGGCAUCGCAGAUCUAGGACAGCAUGUUGCGCAUUGUCGGCACUGAGAAGAAAACAAGAUAAACAUUUUUUUUGUGUUCUUUUGUUUCUUUUGCUAAAUAUUAAUAAUAUGUAUAUAUUUACUAUAAACAAAUCACAUUUUAUAUGUGUGUUAAUUAAUAAUAGAUAAUUUUAGCUAUAUUAAUUUUAUUAUAUUCGAUUUUGAUAUUAACUCAUAGAUUAAUUAAAUUUAGUCAUUACUCACCGACUAAAUUUAAUCAAAUCCAAUAAAUCUACUUUUCUGAUCGAAAAAAAAUAUAUCAGGCCAAAUGCAACGCCAUGUUCUUAUCUUAAAAUUUUUAUCAACAAUUUAUCAAUACACUAAUUAGGAACCAAAGAAGGUUUCCACUUAUUUUUUGAGGGUUGUGGGGGCCACAUCUAUUUUUUUAAAAAAAGAUUAAUUGUCACACCCCGUCACCUUCCCCAAAUAGAUGGAAGGAGCUCCACACGGGCACGUGCGCCAGACCAGCCGAACGGAUAGAGUUUUUUCUAUUCGCCCAAGACGUCAUAAUCGGUACAAUUCAAAACAUUUCAAACAGGAAUAGAAUUUAUAUAUAGAUUGUAUAAGAAAGGCAUAAUAAACAUAAAUAACUAUACUAUUAAAAACAUUCAUCUCAUUUAAUUUACAUUUAUAUUCUUUCAAAUACAAUCAAUUUUAUUACAUUUCUUUCAUUCUUUUCAACCCUUAAGCUACAUCGAUACAUGGUACAUCUAUCUUUGGUCGCAUAGCAGGACGCUAACUAUAGUUAUAUCCUUUCCUCGCGCCGCUGCGUCUCUCAUGUGUGAACCUGCAAAAUAUGGGAGUGAGAACUAUAAAAAUAGUUCCCAGUGAGUUCGAUUACCGACCUCGCUGAUUUUCCAUUAGGUCUAAUCAGGCAUAAGUAGCUACAAAAACUGAUAAGCAAUAAUACUACUACACUAAGCAUGUAUGGAACUGAAAGCAAUUCCUACUAUGCCUUACAACGGUAGGGAAUGAGUUUCACGAUUUACUAUAAUCAAGGGUGUUCUUUUACUCACUCUUGACCCAACUCAUUCUCGACCCAAUCAGGGGUUUCCACAAAUCCAGUCCAACUAACCCCACACAGCCUCACGGGUCUAGGUCCAAGAAUAAAAUGAUCAACUGUUACUCCACAUGUGACUUAUUCUCAACCCAAUCAAAGGCUUCCCACAAGACCAAGCCCAACUCACAUGAAUAUCACGAUCGACCCCACACUCAACAUGUGAUCUCACUAUACUCACCUUCUAUGCAGGAUGCAACAAUACAAUAUAGCAUAGGAUACAAGUCUAUCUCAACCCAAAGUAUAACAUGUAACAAUGCUAACCACUAUGCCAUUUUAAUAACAUCAUGGUCAAGUACUCACCACGCGCACAUAUAUAGAAUGCAAGAUACUGUAUAAUAACCUAUCUUUUUUCCUGGUCCUAAUUGCAUCAGCUCGCCUGUAGAUCGAGUCUCAACUCGCCACAUCAAGUCACCACUAUGACUGUCUGCUGGGGGCACACCGUCGUGACUCCCUCCCCCGUCUCAAUCUCAAUGUGACACUCCGGAGCUCACGGCUUGGGAGUUACGACCUCCACAAGGCUAUAACAAACAAUGCGAGUAUCAUCACGUCUUCCAACCCGAGGACCUCCCACCUUCUUGUGGGGCAACAUACAGGGACCUCAUUACAUCUCAAUCACAUGGCAUGCAAUGUUCAAAUAAUGAUGGAAUGCACAAUGUCAUGCUAUAAGUGCAAUGACCCAAUCUUUUGGUACUCAGUGUUCAAUCAACUCAUGCCAAUAACCACAUUGACAACUCAACAUCAAGGGAUCUCUCUCUAUCCCUAGUAUGGUUCAGAAGAUAUCUUUCAAUCCCACGCAUACUCAAGAAUCUCAAAACACUAGUUGUCAUACCACACAUGCACCGACCCAAUUUUUUUCACAUAUACUCGAGAGUUCACUCAACUCAUGUUGCGUGCAUCAAUAGGAUAUACAAACAUCACAACAUGUGUACACAAGCAACUAUGCAAUACUUCAUGGACUAUAUAUGAUUACUCAUUCAUGCAAUGACCCAAUUUCACAUUUUAUACUUGGGUUCUCUCAAUUCAUACCAUAAUCCUCUCAUACAUAUCAUAUUACACCCAAAUCAUAGUUUCAUUACUAGAUUCACACAUAAUCAUCACAAUGACAUCUAGUAUCUCACUUGUUUCAAUGUCCACCACUUGUUUUCUAUGUCCAACACACUAGUUUUCUCUACUAGUUCAUCCAUACAUUACUAGGGUUCAUAUAUUACUAUGUUCAUACAUCCUAGGUUUCAAGUCCUCAAUCAUAAUCAUUCUCAUAUAUCAUAAGAGGCAUACAAGUUUCUGGAAUGAGGAUUAAUUGAAUCCUAUCAUAUAUAACUAAUACAUAUAUAUACUCAAUAAGGAGAAUUAGACAUAGGAAGAAAUCCAACCAUUUCGGGAAGCACCACCCACCUUGCAACACUUCCGAUUGCUUGUAGACACUUACAAUCGGGCUCCUACGCGUAAUCGCUCCCUUUCGAGCCAAUAUGGCCAAUAUCGCCCGGUUCGGUUCGUUAGUCGAAACGAUCACCAAACGUUCGUCAAUUUUCAAAUCAAAGUCAUAUGGGGUACUUCUCUAACCUUCAAUUAGAGAAUUAGAGGAUCAAUUUGGUUCAAAACCUCAAAACUCCAAAAUCCCCAAUUCUAACUCUAAAUUUCAAUUUCUCCACAAUUAUCCCAAAAUUCAUAGAGAAACAUCGAUUAAACAAGUAUAAAGUCAUCUAGGCGACUAGAAACCUUAAUUUCAAGUGGAUUUAACAAAAAUCCUAACCUCUUAACUCAAAAACGAAUCUCGAGUUGAAAGCACUUCGAGCCACCAAGCGCCCAAAAGCUCGGUUCUCCACUUCUCCGAGCAUCCCGAGCUUGGUCUCUACCAAAACUCCAAGUUUGGGAGGAAUCUAGAGAGAGGAAGAGGAGAGGAAAAGAAUGGUUCUUGUCCUUACUUCUCUUAUGCGUGAGGGAGAAAAUGAGAGAAAAAGGGUUGUGAGGCUUAUUUAUAAAGGGGAGAAGCUACAAUUGCCAAAAUCCUCUUAAACUAGACAUUUUUCGCGCGACGGGUUCGGACCUUGGCUCCAGGAUCCUGAACGCAUAGCUUGUUUUUUCGUACUGUGCGGUCAAGGUCCGGACCUUAGGUUCAGGGUCCGGAACCCGAAAGUCCACAGCUCAAAAAUGUAAUUUUCAAAAAUUCUCAUUUUUGCUUUUUGAGCCUCUAAUUCAUUUCUAAUCAUUUUAAAACCCUCAAAUCUCAUUUUUGAGCACAUUUAAAUUACUUCUCGUUUGUACUUUGCCCAAUUGGCAUAACUUGGUAUAGUAUUUCGAAACUCGAUACACUACAUUAAUUGCAUAUUGAUCUCCAACCGUUUCACUAUUUUUUAUUUUUGGUCCCUAAUUUUUUUUUUUUUUUUACAAUCAAAAUUUCAGAUCUUUUGAUUUCAUCGCGAUAAAAUAGAACUAUUAAAAGAGAUUUUAGAAUUAACAACAUUAUCAUGUCAUCGCCUAUUUAGCUUUUUUUUACAUGUCAAUUUUAGUCCCUAAAUUUUGCAUGUUUUUGACUUUAGCCCCUAAAAAUAAAAAUUUAAAAUUUUGAAGGCCUCCCCUUAUUUUGGGGUUGUGUGGCCCACAUACAAAUAUUUUUAAGAAUUAAUUGCACAUUGGUCACCAAAAUUUUUAUUAUUUUUUAUUUUGGUUCCUAAUCUUUUCUGUUUGCAAUCAAGUGAGUUUGUAUUCUUUAAUAAUUAUAUAUUAUAAAUUAUCUUUUUAAUAUAAAUUAUAAUAUUAAACUUUGUAUUAAUUUAUAUGCCGUAAUGACUAACUAUAAGUGAGUUUGUAUUCUUCAAUAAUUAUAUAUUAUAGAUUAUUAUUUUAAUAUAAAUUAUAAUAUUAAACUUCGAAUUAAUUUACAUGUCGUAAUGACUAACUGUAAUAAUGUUACCCACCGCAUCAUGCGGGUUCCGUAACUAGUAGAUCAUCAUUUGUCAAGCCAAUCAAAUAGUAACAAGCAAUUAUUCAAUAGUUCAACAAUCGAUAGUUCGCAAAAAUGAUCUCAUCUAUAUAGCUAUCGGAACUCUUCGACAUGUAUUAGACAUAAUCUUUUGUAGAGUGAGUUGUGUUACUUACACAUCAUAUCUUGUCAAUUUGAUAGACGGUAUACCGAAAAAAGAAAAAACUGAUAUGCAGGCAUGCUGAUAUGUUAUGUUCAACUACAAUAGAGGCCAACAUGGAUAGCAGUAAGAAUAUUCAUAAUAACCAACCGUCCCUAGAGCAAGUGGCAAAGGGCUUGGUGGUUGGUACUCGAGACCCAAGUUCGAAUCCUAGUUGAUUCACAUUUCCAGCUAAGUUUAUUUUCGAAUGAAAUAGACGAAGCGGGUAGCGUGCUAUCUAUCUCUCUAAAAAAAAGAAUAUUCAUAAUAGAAAGAAUUAAUUGCUCUCUAGGAAACAAUUUCUUGAAGCACUGCUUAGAAUAAUCAUUGCAUGAGGCUGCUACAACUAGCCUAACAAGUAUUUUGAAGCUCACCACCAAUAUUUUAAAAAUUGAAUCAAAUAGUGAUCUAAAUAUAUUACUGGGUCAAAAAUUACUGAUUCAACAAGUGGGUCAACUACUGGUUGAACUAGUUACAUAAGCACGACGUUAUAAAUAUUUAAUUAUUUAUAGAAAAAUAUAAAUAUUUUUUAUUAUAUAGGAAAAUAUAUUUAUGUUAUUAUUGUUGGAUAAUACUUAGUUAUUAUAAAAUAUUUAUUUCUAGACUAAAUUUAGUAGAUAUAUGUUUUCAAGUUUCACUUUUUAUAAAACUAAUAUGCGCUAAUAGAAAAUAAAAUUAGUUAAGUUGAUUUUAAGUGAUUGGAUUUUAAUGGACUUGAUAAAAAAAAUCAACCAGUUCGAUUAAAACCGAAUUAGUUCAUUAGUUUGAUGGUUGAACCACCGCUUCGAACUAUUCAAAAGGGGUUUUUGAUAUAUCCGAUUCAAAGGAUUGAAUUAAACAGUUUUAUAGGCUAGGUCACGUUUAGACAAAUCCAAUCGACCGAUUCGACUCGCUUUUUAAAUAAUUAUUCACAAGGCCAAUUCUGCUUAGGCCUAGCCUAUAGGCCUAAAGCAAAUGGGCUAUUGGAGGGAAAGGGUUGGGCCACAGUUGGACCUGUGGUGGGCUCUCUCUCUCUCUCUCUCUCCAUCUACUUGGCAUUGAGUGUCCCUAUUUUAACUAGGUGGAAAGAAGUUGGGAUGAGAAUAAAUAGAAAUAUAGUACUCGAGACCUAAGUUUGAAUCCUAGUUGAUUCACAUUUCUUGCUAAGUUUAUUUCUAAAUGAAAUAAACGAUGCGGAUAGCGUGCUACCUAUCUCUAAAAAAAAAAAAAACUAGGUGGAAAGAAGUUGGGAUGAAAAUAAAUAGAAAUAUUUUUUUUUUACUGUUGAAGACCACAUAAGUUUUAUCUUAUCUAAUAUAUUACUAUUUGCAUAAUAUGAUAUUAUUUUACAGAAAUGAAUGAAUUACCUUUUUUUUGUAUUUUCUCAUAAAGUGCCAUCUCCAUGCAAUCUCAAAUGGCUUUUUAGUUUGUUUUUUUUUUCUUGAUUGAAUUAUUGUGCGCUUGUGUAUUGUUAUUUGAACUCGAAUAUAUUAGUAUUUUGUUUGGAUGGAUAAAAAAAAAAGAGAAAUGAAAAAAAAAAGGAGUGAAUUAUUCUCUCUCAUCUUAAUUAAAAUUUUAGAAAGAAAAUAUAAAUGGAGAUAAAUUGACAUUCUAUAAUAGCUUUUUUCUUGUUCAAAAAUGGAGAGAAAUAGAGAGAAAAGAGAAAUGCUACUUAUAUGUUUAUUGUUGAGAUGUACACCUCAUAACCCUCUAUUCUAAGAUUUAAAUCAUUUUUUUUAGAUUCUUAAUAUUUAAAGAGCCAUAAACUAGUAUAAAAUAAGUUGGAUUUUUGGAUGAGGAGGUAAUAAGAAAAUCUACAAAAUUGAUGUGUAGCAUUGGUUAGACCUAAAUCUUUGGCAUGUCAAAUAGGGAUGAAAAUGGAUCCGCUAUUAUCCAAUCGGAGUUCACUCCAAAUAAUCUGAUUCUCCAGAUACCCAAAAAUGAAUUAAGAUUUUAUUAUCCAUCUAGGAUUCAGAUUCAAAUACAGAUUUCUAGUUAUUAUUUUUUUCGAAUUCGGAUUUGAAUUCAAAUUUGGGUUCACUAUUCUUCAUUUGAUUCGGUUCCAAAAUUGGAUAAUCUGAAACUGAAUUGGUUUUCAUAUAUUUUUUUUCAUAAGGUAACAUAACUGAUGAGCCUAUAUUUGACAUUUAUUUUUUUAAAUUAUCAAUUUUUUUUCUAAAAUAAUUUAUAUUCAUAUUUGUUUAAUAUUUGAACCAUAGGACCGUAUUCUCAAUUCAUUUCUAUCAAAAGUUCAAAACCGGAUUUGAAUGUAACGUAAAAAAAAGUAUGGAUUCGUAUCUAGCCCAUUUUCAUUCCUUAUGUAAGAAUUUUAAAGGUUAAAUUAUAAAAAACUUUAUGCAAAUAUUCGCUUUUUUAUUUUUUUUGACUUUUAAAAAUUUACAUUUUGUUUCCUCAAAAAUUUAAAAUUUUUUUUCAAUAAUAUAAUAUUAAUAGAGAGAGUAAAAGAACCAAAUUAUCUUUCUUUUUUCUAUAAGAAAAACUAAUAUUUUUUUUUAAUGUAUCUCUAUUAUUUUAAAGGACAUUUUUGAUAUAAAUUAUAAAAAAUUAAUGGAAUAGUGAUGAAACCCUAAUAGAGAGGGACUAAAUACGACAGCUUAAAAUAUAGAUGGAGUAAAAUAUAAAUUUUGAAAAAUUAGGAACAAAAUGCGAAAAAAUGGAUAUUUACGAGAGUGUUUUGUGUAAUUUAGCCGAUUCUAAAACCCGAUAAAAACCCUAAACCCAGUCUGCCGCCGAAUGUAACCAUAGACACGCCGGCCUCCAUCACGGACUUUUUUCAAAAAUAACCCUGUAAAAGUUCGUAUUUGCCAAACUAAUCCCGUAAAAUUUUUAUUUGUAAAACUAAUCCUCCUUUCGCCAUGUGGGCGCUACGUCAGGGAUUCCUCAAAAAGGCAGUGAAUCGUUUACCGUCUUUGUAAUUUGUUGUAAAAGCGGUGAAUGGUUCACCGUUUUUAGAAGACGAUAAACCAUUCACCGCCUUUAGUGCAAAAUUUUUUUUUCCGCCCUUUUUCCUUUCCGCUCUCUCAAGCCCGCCUCUUCUGUGCCCUCGAGAAGACGGGGAACGAUUCACCGUCUUAUCAAGGACACCAUAUUAUGGACUUGGAAAGAUUUGCGCAGUGUAGGAAUUUGUACUAAAAACGGUGAAUGGUUCACUGUCUUCACAACAAAUAUCAAUAUCAAAGACGGUGAACGAUUCACCGUCUUUUUGAGGAAUUCCUGACGUGGCGCCCACGUGGCGAAAGGAGGGUUAGUUUCACAAAUAAAAAUUUUACAGGGUUAGUUUGGCAAAUACGAAAUUUUACAGGAUUAUUUUCGAAAAAAGUCCUCCAUCACUUUGAUCUGCCGACUGCUGCCAGACGAAACCCUAAUUUUAUGCCGGACAGACAGACAGAUAGGCGGCCUGCGCAGCCGAGAGAGUAAUUUCUUGGUCGCAAUAUUUUUCCUCUUCAAUUCUCUUUUUUUUUUUUUUUUCCCUUUUUUCUAUUUCUUUUUAUGGUGGAUUUUGGAUCUGAAUAUGAUGAAGAUGGUAAUGCGUUUCCUAACGUCUCGACACCUGAGAUCGCUUCGCGAUCUGUGAUUACCCACACAUCUUCUGAUUCCAACAAAUGCUAUGAUGGUAGAAUCUUAUAAAAUUUUGUAGUCUAUGUAGUUGGAUACUCGGAUAUGUUGCAUGAUGGAUUUUUUUUUUUUUUUUUGGGUGUGUUAUUGUUAGUUGUUUUAUAAUGCGGUAGGAAUGUUAAUUCUCUUAAAAAAAAUUAAAAGAACAAAAAAAAAAGAUUUAUUUAGGCAUUGUUUACUUUAGUAUUGUUGUUAUUUUUUUAAAAAAAUUUAAAUGGGGUUUUUUAUAUGAAAUUGUAUAAAAAAGGAUAGUGGAUUUCUUACAAUUCUUCGGAAGUAAUUUUUUUUUUCCACUUUGAAAAUUUUUACACAAAAUUACAAAGUGAAAUAGGUUUUUUUUUUUUUAAAUUUUUUUUUAUUGCUUAAGCAAUUCUCUAUCCACUCUCUUAUAUAAAGAUUCUACGGUAAACUUCAAUUACUGCUCAUGUGACUCUGUUAUUUGAAAAGUUUCACUUUACUAUUAUGUGAUUUUUUUUUAAAAAAACUUUUUUUUUCACUUUUAGAACUUGCUGUUAAAUAGGGUAGUAAAGUGAUGCGUCUUACUAACUAUAGGAUAAUUAACUGGAAAAUAUUUGCUUGUAAAGUGCUACAUUUUGCUACUUAAUUUGCUGUCGUAGUUUGUAAAUUAUAAUGUUUUGCUAUCCUAUUUAAUUUUCACUUAGUAAAGGAGAAAAUUAUAAUGUAACAGAGUGAGAUAUACGCUAAAUCACAUGCGGAGAAAUUGAAGUUUUUCCAAAAUUUUAUUCAACAAGAAAUAAAAGAAAAAUGGCACCAGUACAAAACGGAUGCAUAGAUAUAAACGGUUGGCUUACCAACCCAUCGCAAUUCGUAAUUGCUCUGGUGUCAAAUGGUCCGAUCAAAAUCGCUAUAAUUGGUUUCAGAGUAAACUUCAAUUUGUUUCCCUCUCGUUUAGUUCAUUUUCACUUUACUAUUCCGUGGUUCAAAAAGUUGCACUUAACAAUGCUGUGGUUUAGCACAUUUUUAUUUUGUCGACCUGUGAUUUAAAAAUUUACACUUAAUUAUUCCUGUGAUUAUCAAAAAGUUUCACUUUUGCUACCCUAUUUGAUAGUAGAUUUUUUUCGAUAAAAGAAAGAUAAAAUCACAGGAUAGUUAAGUGCUACUUUUUGAGCCACACGGGGUGGCGAGGUAAAAAAAUGAGCUAUUAUAUUUAUUUCUAUUGUAUUUUUGUUAGAAUUUGUUAUCCUCGAUCAUUUAGAUGUUGUCAUGUUUCACCAUUUUUUUCGUGUGUUGAGAAACUGAUUCUGAGGCGGCAAAUGAUGCAGAUAUCUUAUCCUACACUCUGAACAUGUUGUGUGGACUAUACUUCGCUUAUUAUCUGAUGCCAUUUAUGUUUGUUACGAUGUUAAGAAUGUUGAUUUUGGUUUUCGAAUUUUAGUUGGUUUGCUGUUUUGAUUUCAGUGGUGUCCGCAGUUUUUCUGUUGCUUCUUCAAUAGUCUUUAAAACCUUUUUUUUUUAGAAUUUGUUAUCUUUGAUCAUUUAGAUAUUGUUAUGUUUCUCCAUUUUUUUUUCAUACACUAAGAAGCUGAUUCUGGGGUGGCAAAUGAUGCAGAUAUCUUAUCCUACACGCUGAACAUGCCGUGUAGACUAUACUCUGCUUAUUAUAUCUGAUGCAAUUCGUGUUUGUAUACAAUAUUUAGAAUGUCGGUUUCAGUUUUUGAAUUUCAGUUGGUUUGUCGUUUUGAUUUCAGCAGUUUUCGUUGUUUCAGGUAUUUCCGAUUUCUCUUUUCUGUUGUCUCUCCUGUAGUCUUUUAAAACUUCAAUUGAUCAACAUAAGCACUAUCAACAAAGUACAGGUGAACCCCUCGACUUUGAGUGGUUCUAUAGCGCAAUACAACUGUGAUUUUUUUAGCAGCUGAAAUUGUAACAGCAAAUGCUGACAGAGCUUGAAUAAUCAAAAUUAGAAAAAUUAGAAGAUUUAGCAGUGGAGAGUCCGAUUUGAAAAGUAGUUGAGUGGUCUGAAUGCAUUUAUACCACUGACCAAUAUGUAGGAAACAAUGGAGGGAGAACCCACCAGGUUGGCCAUCAGCAGGAGGAGGAGAUAGAAAAAGCGCGACUGCAGAAGUUUCAAAUUGAGUUUGUAUUGCUGCAGCUCGAAGCAGAAGCUAUAGCCGAGCUUACUUUUUGAAAGGUUGAUAUACUGAUCUUUAUCUUAGUAAUGCUAUGCUCUUAUCCUCUUGGAUAAUUUACGAAUUAUACACAAAUUAUAUGCAUAUAUAUGUAGAGCUUGGUGUCUUUCGAUUUGUGAUUUGUGAUGUGAUGUGGUGGGCGUAUGUAGUGUAGCAUCUUGAAUUGCUUUCGAGUGUUUGAAUGCCAUGAUUUGCGUCGUGUAUCAGAUGAACGGCUCACUAACAAAUAUUUGUUGCAAUGCCCAACAAAACUGUGGAGCUCGAGUGUAGUGGUUGUGUCGCAUAUCAAAUGUUAUAUCCCUACUCGAAUCCAAGGGAAAAUGCACGAUCUGAAUCCCAUGUAAAAAUUUUUGUUAUGUAAGAAUAUACAAAUCUUCUCUGAAUUAUGGAUCAUUUUGAGUUGGCUACCGAAAUUUUCAAAAUUUUACUUUUAAUAUAUAAUUUUUUAAUUUCUUUGAUUGAAAUUAGUUAAUGGCAUUUUGAUUUCAAAAUUUAAGUUAAUAAUUUAUAGUUGUGAGAAUUAUAUAAAGUAUACUAUGUAAAUGUAAACAACGUAUUUAAAUUUUGAAGUCGGAAUAUUGUUGACCAACUCAAAUGAAAUAAAUUAAAAGAUUUCAGUAUUGAAAAUGAAAAUUUUGAAAGUUGGAAUACUUUGAAUUAUAGUUCAAAUUCUUCUUCUUUUUCUGUUUUUUUUUUUUUUUAAUAUUGUAAACUGUGGUUUCUGAAAACUUGAACCUGCAAAGUAAAUCUAAAAUAUGAAACCAAAACGAAAAAUUAUUCGGAUUGGAGGAAAAGAAGAAAAAAAUCCAAAAACUUGAAACCAAAUAACAACUAUAUUUAAUAAACUUAAUAAACAAAUUAAUUAACAAGAUAUAAUGAUAAUUAUACGGGGGUGUAAAAUCACUGUGCACAAGUAAAGUUAUUUAAUAUUAUUAUAUUAUAUAAGCUAUGUAUAUUUUAUAUGGUUUUUCAGAGUUGAGUUAUGAUACUUUUACAAGUAUCACCAUCAUGGUGCUAUUAGGUUUUAAGCCAUUGGAUCUACUUUUUGAUUAUUAAUAGCCCUUGGAUUAAACACUAUUCCACCUAUCACCACCUACUACUACCUACCACCAUCAUCUCAACCUCACAUCUCUCCAUCCAAGGGCUAAAAACACACAAGUAUCACUCCCAUGAUACUUUUACAAGUAUUCUAGCCCUACUCUGGUUUUUCAUAAUAUUAUUCGAUGAGGAGUUAUUAGAGUGUCACAUCUGGAAAAAAGAUAAUAUUUUUUUUGUUUUAUUUUUUUGUUUUUUUGGAACACAAAAGCUGCCUUCAGUCCUAAAGCGUUUUCUGGUUCGGUGCGUGCAGUGCUGUCUGCCUAUGAAGAAAUUACUGCCUGCACUCUGUGUAUUCCAGAUAUCUCACAGUCUGCCAGAUAUCCCUGUUUCUUCAAAAACAAAAAAAAAAAAAAAAAAAUUCUGCUCUGGUAUUUGAAUAAAAUAAAGAAUUGAUUUUUUUUUUUUUUGAGAAAAAGGUAGCACGCUAUCCGCUUCAUUUAUUGAGAGUAUGAACUAAGCUACAUGGGUGAGGCAGCCUGGGUCUCGAGAGAGCGAAUGAAAAAAAAAGAAAAAAAAAAGAAAAAACAUAGGUCAAGAGGUCAGCUUAGCUGGAAUAAGAGGUCAUCCUAAAGAAUUGAAUUUUAAUACUUUAUUAUCUAACUACCAAAUAGUUCGAUAAGAACAGAUUAUUUAAUUCAUUUAAGGGCUAUUUGAUUGGAUAUAAUUAUAAAUACAGUAUAAUUUUUAGUUGGGUAUAAUAAAAGGUGUCGUAAAUACAAAUAAUUUGUUUGCUUGUAUAAGACUGAGAAGUUUAAGUUUUUACUCUGUAGAAAAACAAAAAUUCAAUUUGAAAGGUUUUUAAGAAGGUAAGCUUGUUUUUAUUUAAAAUUAUUUUUUCAAUUGCUGGAGUUGGAAUUGUGCAUAAUUUCAACUAUCUAUAGUAAUACACUAUUUGGCAAUGAUAUUACAUCAACAACAGAAAUUCUCAUAAAGCCACGCAAGGCAUUAAAUUCUUAACCAAUAAAAUCUUGACACACAUCUUUCAAAAAUUUUGGCGUAUCCAUUUCAUCAUAAACCGAUUCUAAAAUGUGCAUCUAAAUUGUGUAUCUAUAGUAAUAUACUAUUGGGUAAUAACAUCAUAUCAACAAAAGGGAUUCUCAUGAAGCCACAUAAGGCAUUAAAUUCUUAACCAAUAAAACCUUGACAGACAUCUUUCAAAAAAUUUGUGUGCACCUGUUUCACCGUAAACCAAUUUUAAAAUAUGCAUCUCAGUUGUGCAUCUAUAGUAAUACACUAUUCGGUAAAAGCAUCACAUCAACAAAAAGGAUUCUCAUGAAGCCACUUAAGGCAUUAAAUUUUUAACCAAUAAAACCUUGACACACAUCUUUCGGAAAAUUUGCGCGCACCUAUUUCACCUUAAAUCGAUUCUAAAAUGUGUAUCUUAGUCGUAUAAUAAAUUAUUUAAAUCUUUUAUAUUAUAUUAUAUGAGAUUAAUCAUCAAAUACUUUAUUAAUUAUAUAAUAUUCUAUAUAGUAUAUAAAAUAUUAGUAUGCAUCUCCUCUCAUCAACAUAACAAACUCUCCUCAAGCCAUGGGCAUUAAUUUUUUAACCAAUAGUAAAUUGCCACAUCUUGAAAAUUCUGGACGUGCCCGGUUUACCGUAAGCCGAUUCUAAAAUGUGAAUAAGAUAAAAUUGUAGUCGUAUACUAAAUUAUUUAAAUAUUUUAUAUUACAUCGUAUUUUAUUUGACGGUAUUAAUUAUUAAAUACAUUCACAUUUAAAUUAUUCUAAAUCUAUUGUAAAAUAUAUUUUGAUGGAUAAAAUUACAGCUUUUGUAUCCAUUCACAUUUCUACUUAUACACCCUAAAAAGAAAAUUUAAAUACUUUUCAGUAAAAGUUAAAAAAAAUUAAUGUGACUAAGUAAAGAGUUAAUAGUUUUUAGAUGGAGUGAAUAUAAGAUAUACAACCUAUUUUAGAAUUGAUCUAUUACAUCUUCGUUCUACUGCGCUUAAACUAAUUGGAACCGAUUUGCUAUCAGUUUCGUUUAUUUUUUCAGAAAUAAACUUAGCUGAAAAUAGGAAUCGAGUAGAAUUCGAACUUAGAAUCUCGGAUACCAACCACCAAGCCCUUUGUUACUUGCGCUAGAAACGGUUGGUAGAAUAGAAAAAAUUAUCAAGCAAAAAAAUUGGAUUUUUAGGCGGUUCAUGAGAUGUUGGGAUGCGCCUGGCGCAGGCAAUAGUUCUUUUUCCCCUAUUGAAUUAAAGAAAGAAAAAAGAAGAAGAAUAGUUUGAGAAAAGAAUGUCUCCUACCCCUCCCUCCUCUCGUGCUCUCCUUGCUCCCCCUUCAAACCCUCGACAAACCAUGGUAUAUUCUCCUUUUCCCCACAAUCCCUAUCUCGUUUCUCCCUCCUCCUCCUCCUCAAUAUCCAAAUCCCCCUCCUUUUUGCUAUUUUUGCCUUUUUUUUUUUAUUUUUUUGGUACAGUUUUGGAGAGGAGAGCCUUGAAGUAGAACUAGCAUUGGCUUGUGGCCUCAUGGAAACCCACUUGAUCCAAAUGUUACAUGAUCUCUCUCUCUCUCACUCUGUCUUUCUUGUUGUUGUUGUUGUUGAAGUAUCCAUGGACUUGAAUCUUUGCUAGUAUUAGAUGUGAAGAACCCCAAAAUAAUCUUAUAGCUAGGAAAAAGGAAAAAAAAUUAAGGGAAAAAAAAGAUUUUGAUUUAGUUUUAUUCAAUGAUUGGUUUUGUUUUUGAUGUGCAGGUACAUGCGUCUAGCUAAUGAAUUUGCAAGAACCUUCGAUUCGCUUUUUCAUGUAUGUUGCUCUUUUGUUGCAUUGGUUAAUGUUUGUGUCUGUUUAAAACUAAGUUUAUGCCUCAAAUUGGUGCCAAGAUUUGUUUUUUGUGUUGUUGCUGUUGGAAUUUUAGAUGAUUUCGGGCCAUUGUUGAAGACUCCGAAUCUCUUGAUUUGGUUAUGAACAAUAUUUUUAGGGGUCAUAGCCAAAUUACUAAUGGAGUCUCUUGUGCUGAGUGAUUACUGUGAGAUUGGAACCCUGAUUGAUGCUUAAUUUGGGCUUUUAGAUCAGCAGGGAAUGCAUUAGCAGUAUUGAUGUUCUUUUCAUUAUUAUGAUUUUGAUUAUUUUGUAUUUGUGCUGCAUCUUAAUUUGGUGGUAUUAUGCAGAGGAUUCAAUCUUCCAUGAUUUUGAAGUUUAUAUUGGGAUUGUUCUGGCAUUUACUCCAUAUAGCGGUGAGCUUGGUGCAUAUUUGGUCAUAUGUGAUUCAACAGUUGCGGUGCUACAUCAUUUCAAGUGGGUUGUUUGCAAAGUAUCGAAAUUUCUCUCUGAGCCGUCUUCGCUACUUGGCUGUCAUAGUGGACAGUCAAGAAGCUAAGCAUACCGCGAAGAUCAAGCAACUUCUCUCGUGGUUGUCGGCUAUUGGUGUAAAGCAUGUCGCCCUUUAUGAUGCAGAAGGUGACAAUAAUUGUCCAUUCCUUUCUAAACACGCGUGUUAUUGAGACUAGUUGUAUGUUCAUACUUUGAAACUUGUUAAGCGAAGAUGAAAAGUGCAGAAAGCCUCUAUCGUGAAUUUCACAUGAAUGCCUGUUUGGUCUGGCUUCUAAACUGACUUCUUUACCUAAGAAAGUAGAAUCUUCUAGAUGCCAAGCCUUUGGCAAACUAAAAAUGUCUGGAGCUUUUGCUGUGUUUGGGGUGCUGCAAUGAACUUUUUGAUGCGAAAAAUAGAAGCUCCAACAUGAAGAUUCUAAUUCUUCUACAACAUGAGGUUGUUCCGAGAAAUUUAAUGGAAAAGCUUACUGUGCUUUUUCAAGCAGCUUUGCUCAAGGACCACUUUUGCAGAAACUGUAGAGAGGUCAAAUGGGCUGAAAUCUUGAAAUUAUUAUAUUCCUUUUCUAAUUAUUUGCUUCUGUAGAGGAGGAAAACUUACUAUGACAGACCGUUUAAGAAGUUGAGUAAAGUAAUAUUGUUUUCCUGUCUAGGUGUGCUGAAGAAGUCAAUUGAUUUUGGUCAGACGAGAUUGAGAGAUCGAAGUGCGGGAACCUGUCUUGUAAGUUGGAUGACCUAGAUUGCUGAUUCCUUUAUCCAUGGCGUGAUUAAACAUGUUUCUCAACUUUCAAAUUUUAAAUUUUCCUGUUCGUUUUCAUGAAUAACCGUAUAUGUUUUUGACAUGUAGGAUGGUGAUGUAAACUGUGUAACUUCUCUUUGUAAUUAUGAGGAAAUGUCGAUAGAGUUACUUUCUUUUACUGAUGGUAAAGAAGGGAUUGCCAAAGCAGCUAGCUUCCUAUGCUCCGAUUACUUAAAAAAUGAUUCUGACGACUGUGGCAGAACCGAGACUUUAUUCACAGAAGCCAACAUGACUAAGGCUUUAAAAGCUGUAGGUGUGUUAAUUAUUUUCAUUCGUUUACUCUAUUUUCACUAUAAACCUAUUCUCUUAACCUUUGUGCACUUUAACAUUGGAGCUAGGUUGUUAAUAUUGCUGAAAAUUCCUUGAAUUUAGGUUAUUAUGGCCCAGAGCCUGACCUCCUCCUUGUCUAUGGACCUGCCAGAUGUCAUUUAGGGUUUCCUCCAUGGAGACUGCGGUAUACAGAGAUUAUGUAAGUUUGUUAUGGUUAUUGUGUUAUUUCUGUAUAUUUAUCUAUUUCCCAAAAAAAUAUCUAGAAUAGUGGUCUUCAUUGAUUUUCCUAUAUUUUUCCCAUUAACUUGUGUCCUUACGAUUUUCACAUUUUCAAGGUUCUUUAUUUGUCCUCUUACUUAUUUAAGAAGUCCUCUCUCUUAUUUAAGACAGUCAGUACAUAGACUUCUUUGGUUGGACACGUUUAAGUGGAAUAUUGUGGUACUUCUUUGGGACAGAUAGAUCUACUUUAGCAGAGUGUAUCUUCUUUUAUGUCUCGUUGUGCAAUUUAGUACCAUAUUACUGAUUGUCUAUUUUCUUUAAUAUAUAUUUUAUUCUUUUACCUUUGAAGAUUCACUAGCUUGAAAAUGAAAGAAAUUUGUUGAUUAGAUGUAACAUCAGAAGUCUGAUACAACUUAGAAAUACAGCAAUCAAACUGUAUGUGGGGAAAAUAGGGGAACCAUGCUACUCACAACUUAGUAGUGCAGUUCAUGGUUGUGGCUCAGAGCUUGCCAUCGAAUCUAGUGAGAAUUUGUUUUUUUGUCAUAGAAACUUGGGAUGUUAGUUGUGCUUUACAAAUAAAUAUGAUAAUAUUAUUCUAGGCUAUGCAAGCUUAGCUAUGGAAGUGUUCUUUUUUUUUUGUAUAGGUUUAAAUUGAACUGUUUUGGAAAGGAUGCCAGCUAAAAUCAGGGUUUCUUUUUUUUCAAGUUGAUAGAGCUGUGAGUGGUUGAUUACUCUAGUUAGUGGCUGAUCACCUAAUUUUGUUAUAUUUGGAGGAUGAAAUUGUUACUAAAAUGUUUAACACUGUGUUCCUUAUUCAUUUACAUGGAAGCUAUUUCAAAUCUAUGAAUGCUGGAAUAUACGUGUUUGAGCUUUAGAUUUAUAUUCUUAAUUUUGCCAAUUAAUGUUAUUGAUUAAUAGUCUUAGCAACACAGUCGGCGUUAAAUCAAAGUCGAAUGGUAUUUUCUCUCUAGCUUCGUCAACAGGGAACUCUAGUUAAUCCAUCAUUAGGAUCAAGUUUGCUAAGUUUAGUAAAACUCUAAUCAAUUCAUGUGAUUUUUAUGUAGUUUUAUGUAACUAAAUGGGCCACAACAGGAUACUUGGCAAUUGAAAGAAAAGAAACAAAUGAUGUCCUGUUUACACUACUGUAGCAUAAAGAUUAAGCACGAAUGUUCUUUUUAUCUCUCUUUUGGUGACUGGGUAACUUUCCUUCAUACUCUUUCCAUUUUUAUUUUCAUUGGUUGUGCGAGGUGUUAGCUCCGGAUUCUAGGACCCCUGUAUAAAGCUUUCUAUUAGCUCGUAAUGUUCAAUUCUAUGAAUUCAUCUUAAGCCUUUGAAUAAUGGUGAUAGAUAGAAUUAGUAUUCAGUACAAGUGAAGAAUUUUACUGUUUCAAAAACAAAACAUUUAAUAAUGAAGAGUGAAAUGUGCAUUCAGUAACAUAUUGCGCAUCGUCUAGGAAUCUUACAGUCACUAACCGUCGCAGUUUCCAGAGGUUUAAAGAGAUCAAUACAAAUACUUCUGUAAGCUUAUUUCUGGAAACAUUUGCUAACUGUUAAGUCAAUCAAGAAAUUUUCCCAUUUCAUGUAUUCAAUCGAAUUUUCUGUCGUUCGUGCUUUUUCAGAAUUCCCUGAUUCCUCUGUAUUUCGGUACACAUGCCACAAAAGUUGAACCACUUCCUCAGUUUUAAAACUAUAUCAGAUGCAUCCUAUAAUCAAAUAACAUACAUCAAUUUGUUUUCUCCGUUCUUAUUUUAAGAAACCACUUUGCAAACCGAGAACUAAAAACCAAGUUUCUGUUAAUUUUGCCAAAUGAACUGAACUGAAUUAGCCAAAAUGUUUUCAUUCGGUAAGGUAAUACAUUCAUCUGAUUCCUUUUUGCCCUGCUGUUUAUUUUGAUAGUAAACUAGCUGAUCUAGGACUUAAUUACGCAAUCAGAUUUCUUAAGUAUAUCUUGUUGUUUGAAGACAAAAAAGGUUUUGUUCUUCCUACUGAGGACGUUAAUAAAAACUAAGAAGUCCUAGAGUAAUUUACAUUUGUAAUCUGCGAUAGAUAUGAAUGCAGCAAUUACAUAUACUGUACAUAUCUAAUGUAGUACUUCACCUUUCUUUUUUCUUUUUUUUUUUCUCUGUGUCUAUCAUAUUCUAUUCUUUUAUAAUCAAUCCUAGACUUAAUUAGUUAAUUGCUAACGGUUUUGUGUUUUUUAUUCAGGCAUAUGGGGCCGCUGAAAUCCAUGAAAUAUAGCGCCAUUGUGAAGGCCCUGUAUGAUUUUUCAAAAAAGUACCAAAACUACGGUAAACCAUCUUCUUUUUUUUUGUUACUUUAUUUGUACAUUCCAUACUCUUGUACAAGAGGAAGCCUAAUUCUUAAUGCUUAAUAUUAUCUCUUCUUCUUUGCUUCAUUAUUCCGCUUGCGGAGGCACCAAAUUUCAUGCUGAUUAUUACUGGGACUUUUGAGUUUUAAUGAAUAACCCCUUUCCGGUCUCUUUCUUUUCAGGUUCUUAGUUGAAAUGCUGAUAUGAUAAUGACGAAGAGGGGCUUCAGUUUUAUUAUUCGGAAUUUCUCUAAAUUUCAGGAGGUCGAAUUACUAUUCAACUGGUUAUUUACAGGAAUCGCAGAUGAAUACUGCUUCUGAUAAUUUUUUUCCCCCUUUUCUUCUGUCAUAUUAUAUUUUAUAGCUUCACAGAAUCAUAAGAUAUUUGAUAAACAAUGUAAUCAAUAAGAUUCUGAGAAAAUCCCACAGCUUUAUAAGCAAUGUUGAUCUUAUAUAUCUUUUUGUAAUGCUUCGCGAGUCUUUACUUAUGAUGCGAUGCUUCUUGAGAUAAUUACUUACAAUUUGUUUUUUCAAUUUUGAAAAAUAAUUACUUCAAAUUAAUUCCUCAAAUAUUAUCGAAAUUUGGGACCAGCUCUGAAGAUCGAGAAACCCUUUGCAAAAUUUUCUUUUCCAUACUGAAUAUAUAAAUUUGGUCAGUAAACUUAAUGUCAGAUGACAAAAUAGUGUCAAUUUGAUAAAUUUAUAGUAAGUUUCAGGAGCAUUUUAUUCAUUUUCUAGAAGUAUUUGUAAAAGUUCGCAGCCCGACAGUGUAGUUUAUCUGAAAUGGGAAUUCACAGAGUGAGCGAUUUGCUGCCACCACAACUUAUCUUGAUAACUAUCAGUAGAUAAGAAGGCUUAAAGCACCAAGGAAGAGAGCAAAAUAAUACCGCAAAUUUCUCCUGGACAAAAUAUAGAUCCACAAGUUGAACAUAAAGCGCAUGUAUGAUGCGAAACAUUUAGCUACCAAAAAAAAUUACACUCGCAAACUCGCAGGCAUUGUUUCUUUCUACAUGUUAGCUUGAACAGCUGAACUUCAUAUGAGAUGCUCACAUAACACAGAAACUAGUCAGCAUAUGAAAAAAAAAAAAAAAAACUUUGCCAUAGCAUGCAGCACCACAUAAUGAGACGACAAACAUCAUUAGUUUUUACAGACAACUGAGUCUAUGACGACGGCGUCGAGAGAGCAGGGUAUUUCCAUAUUCUAUAUACAAAUCGGACUCCAUAUAGGAAUUCUAUUGCUCCUCCUUCUUACGAUGGCCAUUGGGUUCUUGACCCCCAUUCCUUUUGCCCACCCCUUGAAGGGCGGAAGCAAAAUCACCGCCCGUUUGUUGCUUGGCGAACCUCGGAUAAGAAGAUCCGGGUAAAGAUGCAGCCGCCUCAGGCUGCCAUGGGUUGGAGUACCUUUUGGUGGUAGAAAUCGAUGGCGCUUGACUCAUCCAUCGAUUUUCGCUAGUAUUAAUCUUCGAGUCUAAAAUGACUUUUUGAUCGGAUUCUGUAAGCUUGGGUUUGGUCUCAUUAAGAUUAAUUCCUUGAUCACUUGCCUGGUCCUUUUCUCGAUCUAGUUUUGGUUUAGGCACUACAAAUGGAACGGUCGGUUGCCAAAAGGCUGCCUGAUUCACGUCUCGAGAACUGAUUUUCUUUUCGCCCUUCUCCUUGAAAACAUGAUCUGUCUCCAAAAAAUCAGAAGUACUACUUUGUUUCACUAUUUCUGGGUGCUUAUCCUUGUCUUGAUUUGAGUUCAAAUGAUAGAAGUCGAUUAUAUCAGCUUUGGCAGUUGAAGAACGCCCGGAAGAAAUCGAUGUCAUGGGAAAAGCCUUCUCAGGAGGCACAGCCGGGGUGUAGUUAGCGGGAAGCAAAUCGUCCCAAUUUUCCAACAGUUCUUUGUAGACUUUACGAAGAGUGACCUCCGUGAGGCCCGUCACUUUGCAUAUCUCGGCCUGGGUUUUGCGUUUGUCUUCCAGCUGGCAUGCAAGGUAUAUAGCAGCUGCGGAUAUGCUGAUUGGAUUCCGACGUGUGCAAAAGCACUUGUUGAUAACCACUUCUCCAAUAUGAGCAGCGAGUUCCUGAGAUUUUACAUGAGAUUGUUUGACAAAAGAAUAUCACAAAUAUUAGAGAAAAAUAAGUCAUCAUAGUCAGGGACAGGAAAUUGCACCUGAGCAGAUUUAUUAAGCUGGAGAAGAGUGCAGAACCUGGGCAUAUGAACUGAUAUCGAAUUACUAUUGAUAGGUUGGCUUAGUUUUAGAGCUUCUCCAAGUAUUUUGAUGUACUUGCCUAUCUCUUUCUGAGGAAGGUUGCUUGCGGUAGAGAUUUCCUGGUAAUGCACAAGAUAUAAAAGAGAAUUCAGAUGGUUAUAUAAACAUGUAUUGUCUAUGUAUAGUCUAGUCAUAUAUCUUUCAUGAUUCUUAGCUAGAGUUUUAUUUAGAUUUUAUGGUUCUUAACAAUCUUUUCCAAAGUUCUUUAUGACUUUCACUGUCAAAUUGCUUAGUCAAUAUUCCAAACAUCUAGUUGAGUGCACUAAUUUUUAAAGUAUUGCUUCAAUGCAGAGAACCCCUAUCUGCCAACGUAUAUAAAAGCAGCCACUAAUAAAAAAUUUUCUGGAUUUCAAAUAUUCAUCCAUUUUGCUUUCAGGAGGAAUAUAUAUUUUGAGACACCAAGCUCAGUAUGUUUACAAUAAUUAAAGAAGCAUUACCAAAUCCAAGCAGUGUACCAUGAAGAUCAUAAAAAUGAGCUGAUGUUCAUUAACAAUAGCUGCCGUAUUUUAAUAAUUGCUAAGCUAACACAGCAAUAAUCAUAGAGCCUAUACUGAAAUCUUAUUUUUCUGUUUACUCAUAAAUCAUACUCAUAUAGCCUACGCAGAAAUCAUAUAGCUAUAUAGACAAUGGAGUGCGCUAACUAUCACAAACAAGCGAACAACAAAAGAUCUGUAAUACCACCAAUCGUUACUCCGAUUGGUUAAGUAGCCUGGUCCUCAAUAUGUCUCUGUUGCAAGUCCUGCACAAUGUAGGAUAUUUAGUUUUGUUAAAUGUUUGUAUAAUUGAUAAAAAAGAGGAGAUUCAAAGUCCUAGUACUUCCAUUUACCUUUCCCGUACAAUUCAUAGGAAAGAGUGUUAGAGUGUCUUUUAUUACAAUUGAUUAGACCAGUGGGAUGCUUCACUCUACAGUAGGAUACGUAGGGAUUUCUUCCAAGUACAUCUCUUAUUUGGAUUCGAGUAGGUAUUACAAGGUUCCCUAUAACAUGUCAAAAAGAGGCAAUACACAUAGAAUCCAUGGUAACCAACUAACCAUUUUGUUAUUAACAUAUUAACAAUACCACAAGGAACUUCACCAAUACAAGGUUAUAACAUGUAGUGCAGUGACACAGAAAUUUCUAUCUCCGCCAAAGGUGAUAAUGCAACAACACAAAUUGAUUUCUACAGACAUUGGAAGUUAAUGCACUCGUUAACAACUUAUAAAUGCAUUGAAUCCUGUACUUGAUAUGACAUUGACAUAUUCCAAAAAUGCAAUACCCUUAAACAAAUCUAUUUCUUCAAAUUAGAAGGUAAAUAGCUCCCAAAAGCAAGGGUUCACAUUUGUUUACUUAUCCACAAUGAGUUAUUGUCCUCAAUUUCAACCGGGACACAAGAAGUUCAUUAUUUAUUGUUUUCUAUGAGCUUACAAACUUCGAUAUCUCGUCACUCCUCAUAUACAUAGAACGAGAGAAAACAAUUAGCAUGAUGUUCUAGGACAUUGUAACCUUCAAAACCAUUCUUCUGAUGUUUUAGGUCAUUGCAACCUUCAAAACCAUUCUUCAACAAUUAGCACGAUGUUUUAAGGGCAUUCUAACCUUCAAAACCAUUUUUCAACAACUAGCACGACGAUCUAGGGCAUUGUCACCUUCAAAACCAUUCCUCGACAACUAGCAUGAUGUUCUAGGGCAUCGUAACCUUUAAAUCCAUUCUUUGACAAUUAGUAUUAUGUUCUAGGGCAACUAUAAACUUCACAACGAUUCUUAGACAAUUAAUAUGACGCCGCAGGGUAUUGUAAGCUUGUAAACCAUUCUUUGCCAGUUGACAUGAUGUUUUAGGGCAAUAUAAACUUCAAAACCAUUCAUAGAUGGCUCUUAACAAUAACAAUAACAAAAUAUAUGCAAUCAGAGCAUCCGGUUAUUAAUCCUCAUAAAUUAUUAAGAAAUAUUAGGGAACGGAUCGGAACCUGCAGAGUCCUCGGCUCCUGCGCCUCCCGGAUCGCCUGCACGAGCGCGGCGGUAGCGAGGGCCUCGACGCUGCGAUUCCUGAGGCAAAUCGCGGAGGAGCAGUCCCUGAAGAGCUCAAAGGCGUGGUCGGCGAUGUCGUGAUCGAGCCCUAGAAUGGAGGCGACGUCGAUGAUUUGCAGGUAGGCUCGGAGGUUGUCGACGGAGACGAGGGGCCCCGAGGGAUCGGCGCUGCCACCGCCUCCUCCUCCGCCGCCUCCGCCGCCGCCGCCGCCGCCGCCGAGGAGGGCGCGCUCGAGCUCGGCGAGGUGGCCGGAGAAGGAGAGGGCGGAGCGGGCGAAGACGGGGGCGGGCUCGAGGGACCAGGCGGAGAAGGCGGUGACGAAGCCGGUGGGGAGGAAGGGGUCGUCGUCGUCGUCGUCGUCGUCGUCGUCGCCGCCGCCGUGGUGGCCAUGGUCGGCGUGGGCUUGAGGAGGAGGAGGAGGGGGUUGGGGUUUGUUGGUGGGGGGGAGGAGGUCGGGGGUGGAGAGGGGGAGCGGGGUGUCGAGGGCGCGGAGUAGGAAGAGCGGGUGGGAGUGGACGCGGCGCUCCUCCACGACGCGGCCGCACGAGGCGCACUCCGUCACGGAGCGCCCCGCCGCGGUCGCCGCGCACCGGCCCUGCGUCCCCGGGCAGUACGGGCACCGCACCCGCCACAUCGAUCUCACACACACCCACCCACCACGAGGAGUGAGAGAGAGAGAAGAGAAUGAGAACGGACUUGGGCCUCCUUUUAUUUAGGGUAAAUUGCACUUUGGUCCUCAAACUUUGAGAACGUUGACACAGUGGUCCUCAAAGGUUUUUUUUUUUUUUUUUUGUGAUUUGAGAGAAAAGUAGCCAACGCUACCUGUUUAUUCAUAUAGAAAAUAAUAUAUUUUUUUGUGUGAGAAGAAAGGUAGCAACGCUACCUGCUUUAUUCAUAUAUAAAAUAAAUUCAGCUAUAAAAGUUGAGACAACUUGGUCAUCAUAACAAAAACUAAAAAAAAUAAUAAUAAAAAAUAAAAUAAAAUAAAUAAAGAAAAUAAAUAAAAUAAUAAUAAUAAAAAGUAAAAAGAAUAGACAAGUGCAAAGGUUAAUGAGCAAACAAACAAUGUUACUAGUAUGCACACAAGAAAGUGUUAUUAUAUAUAUAUAUAUAUAUAUAUAUAUAUAUAUAUAGAGAGAGAGAGAAGAGAUGAGAGAGAGAGAGAAAACUAUGCCGCGAAGACUAUCAAUAGCACCAAUAGCUAUUAAUUUUUUAACCCUUAAAUUAAAAAAUAUGUGGUUUAGGAUGACGUGGCGCUCUCUAGGGUUGAGUAAGUAAUUGGUUGAAUAGUAUAAUCUUAACAAGUAAAAAAUUUAAAGGGUUAAAUUUAACGGUAAAAGAAACUCGAUAGCACCAAUUCUUGUGCUAUCGAUAUAUAUUCCAGCGGACUAUAUAUAUAUAUAUAUAUAUAUAUAUAUAUAUAUAUAUAUAUUAUUAUAUAUAUAUUAUAUAUAUAUAUAAUAAACUACUAAUUGGAAACUCUAAUUCGUUUGUUCGGGUUAUAAAUAAGAACUAGUUAUACCGGGGAUAGGUACAAGUAUGAAUUUUUGUAAGAAUAAGAUAUUUUUUUAUUUGGAUGAAAAUAUGGAGUAUAAGAUUGGAACUAGAAAAAUUGUGUUUAUAUAAAAAUGUAAGUAUAAGAUAGAAUAGUUGGUAGUUAUAAAUAAAAAAUAAUGAUAUUACCCUAUAAUUGAAUUUAAAUUUUUAAAUUUAUAAUUUUAAAUUGAAAAUUUUAACUUUUAAAUUUUGAAAUUUUAAAUUUUUAAAUUAUUAAAAGUAAAUUUUAAAAUUUAAAUUUAAAAUAAAAUCUCUUUCUCUCUCUCUCUUCUCUCUCUCUCUCUUGUACAGAGGGGGGGGUGGGCGUUCGGUGGGGGGGGGGUUUGAACAACUUGUUUCCACCCCCAAAAACGUGUUUGGGUAUAAAGGGGGAUAACCCCCUUAUCCCCUUUAUAUCCGAUCCAAACGGUAACUAAAGCAUUCUCCGCAACCCACGACUGGUGGGUCUCGCUUUCCAAUCGUUGCAUAUGUGGGGCCCACUUACGCCGUUAGGCGCUUCACUGUUCCCGUUUUCUCCCCCACCAUUUCUUUUCUCCCUCUUGCUCGCGACCUCCGCCAUGGCGGUCCGCCGUUACCCCAGUCUUUGCCAGGAUGGGCGUGCCAUCCUUGCCAGGACAGAGGAGGUGUGGUUCCGUCGUUGUCUCCACCAUGGCCUAGUGGAGCCGUUGGUACGGCCUUGGCUUCUCAGAUUUCCUGCAGAUUUUUGUGCUGCCUCGGAAGGCGGGCCGUGCUCUCCUGUGAUGUGCCCUCCUGCAACUUGCCAAGGCACCGUGGGAGUCGGUCGCUGGCGUAAAUGGCUCGAUGGGUACGGCAAGUACGAAGGGGGUAUGGUCUCUGUGUCCGGGUGUGUUUCCUGCCCCUUCCUUAUCUGAUAAAUUGAUUGGUCUCUUGUUUAGAAAGAUAGCUUACAAAUACCAGAUUAUUUGCGGUUUGUUUCUCUUUUCCUACUGUUUACUCCUCUCGUUGGUUUCCUUUGACUUUUUUUCCUAUUCUUCACCCCCGCCGCCAUCGGUUCCGUUCGAAUUUGCUCGCUGGUGGUGUAGGUCGAUCGGUUCCCUUUUUUUUUUUAUGCUGCAUAUUCUUUUUUAGGUAUGGCCGUAUGGGGUUGGAAAUUUGCUGAAUUUUUUUCCGCCUUUGGUCUUGCUGGCUGUGUUGCAUCUGUUUGUUUGGCGACUACCAUGAUUAUGGUGCUUUGCGACCUCUUCCCGAAUUUUAUUGUUGUGUUGCAUUUGCUCGCUGGUGCUGUCAGAAAACUGCAUGAUAAGUUGACCUUUGAAGUCAGGGGUUUUAAUUUAGGAGAUAAAAAAAAAUUUAUGAAAAUUUAUAUGAGCGCCUUUGCACGGACCAUUGUUUGCUCGAGAAAUUAUAUAAAUCCUACUAAAGCUACAAGUUCUGAUAUCUUAGCUUUUGGUGUUAGGAAUUGCACUUUUUUUUCUUUUUCUUUUUUUUUAUUAUUUUGUUUCCCUUUUUGUUUCUACAUGUUAGCUUCUUUAUUCCUUUUUUUUUUUUUCCCUUGUGACAGUAGUCUUGCUGCUUGUCACUACCGCGCCGUUGUUACGGUGAAGGCCAGAUUAUUUUGGCCUAUAAAUUGAUGGAGGCUUGGAGGAUUUUUGGUCUUGGGUUCAUUAAAAGUUUGCCUAUUUUUUAUAUAAACGAUUUUAGGACUUUAGAAGACAUUUUCUUGCUAAUAUGAUUUUAUUGAUUUGAAGGAUGGAUGUUUAGACAUUGUUAUUUAGUUUUGAUAGUUUUAAUUUGUUGGUCCUGUAAGUUUGAUGUGGUUCCGACUUGGAGCGAACUUGAUAUAUGAUAUAUUUUAUACUUUGGGGCACUAGUUAAAUCUGAGUUGAACAUGAAAUGAUAUAAUAGUUUUGGCUCAAAUUAAAUUGUUAAAAAAGUUAUUCUCUAACAUGCAGCGGAUUAUUAACCAACUGAUGAAGAUCGAAAGAAAAGAAGAAACCUUUCUAUGAUUUAGCACGUUGAAUAUUUGAUCUAUACUAGAUUAGCCUGCUUCUAAUUUGGAAGAUGUACUGCUACUUUUGAGAAAUUUUGUAUGUAUUAAUUUGAGGCUAGCCCUUUUUGUAUGAGCACCUGCCAUAUUUUGCUAUGUUUAAUCUGCAAUUAAUGAAUCAGAUGGGUAGAACAAGUGCUAGCAAGAGAUUUUGAUUCAUAGGAGUUUAAAUGGGCUGGGCUCAUUGAUUUUGUUCUAUGAUUUGGAGCGAGUCUAGCUAGAUGAAUAAAUAUAAUGAAUAUUGGUUUGGAACUUGGUAUGUAAUUUUUUUUUUUUUUUUUUCUCUUUUACUUAUAGUAGGCUAUGUUAGUUAAUUCGCGAAUUAUUCGCGAAUUAUUGAAAAUCUGAAUUAAACAGUUCGUUUAUGAAAUUUUUCCAAAUAUAGAGAAUUAUUCGCGAAUUUUUGGGCCAACCGAAUAAUUCGCGAAUUAUUGAAAAUAUGAAUAAAAAAUAUAUAAUUUUAUAUUUAAAUAUAGAUUAUAUUAUAUUUUAUAUCUUAUAUUUUAUAUUUUAUACCAAAUUUAUUUUUUAAGCCAAAUUUUUCAAUGAAUUUAAAAAUUAGAAAAUGAAUUUUAUGUGUAGUAUACCUGUACCGAAUUUUUGCCGAAUCCAAAUUAACUAACUAUGAUAGUAGGAGGAUUAGCUUUCUUUGCCUUGAAACCUGCUGCUCUCUCGCUUUUUGCCUUUUGCUUCUUGAUUUUGAGUAUUGGAAUAUAAAAGAGUUGUGUGUUGCAAGUAAACUUGGUAAAUAAAUUGGACCCGUGAGUGUCGAUCGAAGCCAAGAAAAGAUUCAAUCAGAGCUGUGUAUUGUAAGUAAAUCAUAGCCAAAAAAGGAGGAAGGUGCCCUUCGCUUCUGUACUGCAAUAUUCUGAUGUUUAACUCAGCUUGGUUAUUUGAAAUCGAUUGAGAGUUUUUUUUUUUUUUUUUUUUUUUUUUUUUUUUGUGAGAGAUAGGUAGCACGCUACCUGCUUCGUUUAUUUUAUUUAGAAAUAAACUUAGCUGGAAAUGUGAAUCAACUAGGAUUCGAACUUACGUCUCGGAUACCAACCAUCAAACCCUUUGCCACUUGCUUUAGGGACGGUCGGUAAUCGGUUGAGCGUGUUAGAGGGAGAGAAAAGAAGAAAGCUUAUAUAGAGACGAUUUUAUAUUGUUGCAAUUUCUUUGUCUCUGUGUAAGAGAUUUGGAUUUAUUCGAAUGUUAUGUGUUUUUUUUUUGGGGGCUAUGACGAUAGUGUUUCUCAAAUAGUGUGGCUUUUAUCAUGUUUGAAAAGGUUUCAGCUAAUUUGUUUGGGUUUGUAUCUAAGAUCAACAAUAUUUGGAUGGCUUGUUUGGCAUACAACCAUUUGCUACCGAAAUAUUUUUGUGGUAUGUUAUCAAAUCUGAGCUAAAUAGUUUGGAAUUUAUAACUAUUUAUUUUUCGAAUUGCUUUUUGGGUAAUAUUCCUCUUUUAUUGUAGUUUUUUUCUUAAAAAAAAUGUUAAAUUAAUAUUUCAAUUUUGCUUUUGAGAAUAUGCAGAAAUGUUAUUGGAAUUUUGUACUUUGCUCAUAUUUCUAAAUCUACUCGGUUGUAUUUGACGUAAUUAAUGUAAAUCGUGGAGGCAAAUCAUAAAAAAUGUACACUCGUGCAACACAGCUGAUAGAAUUAAUCCUAUAAUAAAUCAAAACCUCAAAACCGUCCGGAUUAAUGAUUUGUUGUGUUUGUAACGGGUUAAGUUACAUUUAUUGUAAUAGGCGAUGGUAUGCUGUGUUAUAAACAAAUUUAUAAAGGGAGAAAAUUAUUGAAGAUGUCUUCAAUAUAACGCAAAUCAUUAUCCGUGUAAGGCAGAUCCAUGUUUGACUAAAUUUGUAUAUUACCCGUUAUUUUGGCAAAUUACACGUUAAUCGUAUUGACUGCUCGUUAUUUUUAAAAUGAUCAUUAAAGAUGUUACAAAUGACAUAUUGUUGUUACAAAUGACAUAUUGUUACAAAUGACAUGUUACAAAUGAUUUGGCACAUGCUUAGUUGUUUCAUAUUACACGUUAUUAUUAUCCAUUAAAAUAGUAUUGAUAUCAUUCUUUCUUGAAGUUCUUGUAGCAAUCAUUUUAAACCAUAAUAUUAUAUGCUGUGUUGAUCAUUACAACCCUAAUCACUAAUAUAUAUAUAUAAGGUUCCUCUUAUCAAGUCACUAUAUAAUGAUUCAUUUACAAACCGUCGUAUUAAAAAGGGCUGGAUCAUAUUUAAUUUGUUCAGCUGACAGCUGAACAAAUCCCCACGUUAUUAGAAAUGAACAAAUCCCCACGUUAUUGGAAAUCAGUUUUAAAAGUUUCCUCCUCUUUUUACUUGUUUUAAGAUCUUAUAUUAUCUACCACCAUACAUUGUCAUUUUUCAAAUAUAUUAUUGUGAUAUUUUAAACAAUAGAUUAUAUUAUGGUCUUUUAAAAAUUGUAUAUUUAUUUAUAUAUUGACCUCGAGAAGUAUAAAAAUGUAAAAAAAAAGACUACGUUGCAGGUAACUCGUAUAUAUAGCCAAAACAUAAACAUCCUCCUUAUAAGCCCACAAAAACAUAAACAGUGAAAUAGAAUUUGGGCCUAAUUUACAGAGCCAUAAAUAAAAAUAAAAGAUAAAAAAAAGUGGAUGUCCGUUUGAGUGGGCUGCUGGGCCAUAUUGGACUGCGAAUGCGGCGGCCCGUAAUCCGUCCACCGUUGAGAGCGGGAGGUGUUCGCUGCUCUGUGAAGCCAGCCUCACGCGUUCCCCUCCACUUCAGGGGCCACUUGACCCAAAGCCUCCGCCUGGGCCCACAUGACCCACAAACCCAACUUGGACCGGGCGGGCCAGCCCCUCGCACAACUGCAGCCCAGACCCAACCACACCAUCAAACGUCCAAGCCCACCCUGUUGCCCCCGCUCGGGUAACAAGCUCUCGCAACUGAGCUCGGCGAUCGAGGCUCUACCUGUUGGGUUAAUUAAUGCUCCGAGUGGCUCUUAUGUUUCCGAUGUGGGACAAAAGAGUAUGGUUGAUAGGGACAUUCCGUCAGAAGCACUCCAAUCUCGGAGUCUACAAAUUAAUGCCACUUUUUUUUCUUUUUUCUUUUUUUUCAAAGAUAACUGCACAUUAGGAUUAUUGGAUCCUCUCGAGGACGGGAAAAAAAAAUAUUAAAUUUUUAAAUUUUGCUUUUGUUAUCUGUUUCUAUAGGUAUGCAAAAUUUAAAACCAUUUUGAGUUCAUCAUCAAGCCGUACAUGCUAUCAUAUCAAGUCACUAAUUACAAAAUAAAAUAAUAAAAAAAAAAUAUAAUGUUAAAUUAGAAAUUUCAAAGUGCUACAAGUAAUAUGGACCAUUUUUUAGCAAAACUCCCCAUCAGUAAUUUUCUUUCGCCUCUGAAAGAUGAACAUAACUGCAAUGGGUCAAUUAUAAUUGGUUAGCCAAUUGGCUCCGAACUAUAUACCCAAAAAUGGUUAAAGGCAUAUAAAAUUAUAUUAUACUCGAUUUUAAUUUGAAUCAACAUUUCGUAGCCGUUGAUAUUUUAAAAAACACGCCAAAUAAGAUCUAAAUCAAAAAAAAAGUUCAAAAUGUAACUGUGACGCUCUAAUUUUUCAAGGGAUCACCCAUCCUAGUACUACUCUCGUCCUAUCACGCUUAACUCUUUUACCCUUUUGGGUCUAGUUACCGUCUAAAAAGCUUAACCCUAGUUAAAAGCUUAGCCCUAUUAUAUGUCAUAUAUAAGAUUUUUUGGGGUCUUAUAAUAUCUCUACUUUUAAGUCCUGACGUCCUCGUCAGGCUCAGACUCACAAGUAUUAGACGAUAUGAGACUUGUCUAAUUAGUCCUGACUCAGUGAAGACUCAUUUUACACUUUUGGCUGGUAAUUGACUUUGAUACUAACUAUGACGCUCUAACUUUUCAGGGGGUUAUCUAUUUUAGGACUACUUUCGUCUCGUCCUAGCACGCUUAACUCUCUUAAUUUCUUAGGUCUAGCCACCGCUUAAAAGGCUUAAGCCGGGUUAAGAGUUUAGCCCAAUUAUAUUUUAUAUAUAAGACUUUCUGGAAUCUCACAGCAACCACCUAAGGAACACAAUCCAAUCACAAGUCUCCUCCAUGCACCUAUGCAUCCAACCCAUACAUUUUUCUUAUGCCAUGUGAACAAAAACAACCGUUGGAAGGGAAACUAAACGAAAUGAAUCACUUCAAACUUACAGGUAUUCAUUUUAAUUGUAAGACAUAUAACUUAUUUUAAUGGUAUUCAUAUGAUUGUAAAUAGCCAAAAUAUCUGCAGACAAUUGAAAAAAAAAAAAAAAAUUUUAGGUCCGCCUUGCUUAUAUACUUAGGAAAAAAAAUGGCAGCAAAAUUGUUGCUUGACGAGCAAGCCGUCCAAAUGCUGCUGGGCGUACGCAUAGAGCUUAACGGAUUAGCCAAUUCCUUGAUUUGAGUCAACAUAAAACGUCGGACUGUUUAAGGAGCAACUUCAUCAUAGUCAAUAGAAAAAUAUAUACAUACUAAUUUGCGCAAAGUGAGCCGCUGCAGCUCAAGAUGCAUCAAAAAACAAAACCAAGAAUUUAUAUUGGGUUGUUAUCUUGUCCUUUUUUUAUACUAAUUUAUUUUUAAGAAUUUUUUUUAUAUACAUAUAACAUAUUUUAAUUUAUUUUAAUUUUCCGUUCAAACAUUCUAUAUUAUUGUAUUCAAAGUCCUAUAGUCUAAUUAUAGCUAACUGGAUAACGGUGUUUUAAUGAUGUAGAAGUGAUGCGGCAGGAUAGUAAUGUGACAGCUUAAUAAUUAGACUAAGCCAUAAUUGGACUAAACAUUACAACAUCACCAUCAAAUUUGCAAAAUAUUAUUAUUUAACUAAUUAAAUGGGAUUAUGAAAUUUAUUGCGACAAUUCAAAAAGUUUGGCCCAAAAAUCACUACAAAAUAAAGUUUGAGGAUUACAUGUCGGGCGCAUCAAAGUUCGAGAAUUGAAAGUGCAAUUUAGCAUUGUUUUUACGAUGGUAAACACUAUCUAUACAACUCCAAAUAAAAUAUAUAUCUUACAUCCCACUUAUCCAAUGAGUAGGGUAAAAAUGCUGGUCAUUUAAUAUGACUAGUAAGCCAAUCACAUUCAUUUAAUGGGUGGGAUGUAAAAUAUACACUUAUUUUUUGGUGCAUGAAUAGCAUUUUAUAUUAGUACAAUUUAAGUAUAUACUCGACUAAAUUAGACAGCAUGACUUAAUUCCAACAAUAAAAGAAGUGUGGGCAAGAAAGUAUAAAAAUUAAAGUUUGAAGAAUAAAAUGUCACUUCUUUCACAAUUUGAGGACCAAAAUGUAAUUUAGCCUUUGCUAGGAUCUUUGUUUUUGCAUUUAACCCUAUAAAAAUUAUUUUGAGUAAUGAUACUAGUGGGAUAUACAUUUUACGCCCUCAUAAUUAUGGUCUAAUAUUCAUUAUUUGUCAUAUUAGUUUUUUUUACUAAAAUUAUUUAAAUUGUGUGAAUCUUAGGAAUGGAAUGUACAAGUAAAAAUUUUUAUUUAUUUUUUCACAAAUAACUCUCGUAAAGUUAUUAUUGUACAAACUUUAUUUUUCUUGUCCACACAGUUUAGAAAUAGUUGAAAAUUUUAAGUUGUAUACGAUAAUUCAUCUACUAUAAUUCUAGAACACGACAAUUAGAUUAUCGUGUUAUUUUUGCUAAGUCACAUAAUAUUUUUAAACUUUUUCGAGUUGCUAAGUAAAAGAGAAUAUUGUAAUUCAAUUAUGGUGUUCUAUUUGGGCCCUAUUCUUCUGUACAGAGGGGCUCUGGCGAGGGCAAGGAGCUGCAAUUACAAUAUUGCAGGGGCCAUUGGCGUUUUUGUGUUUUAAUUGUGAGGGGUCUCAAUGCAAAGAAAGCCGUUUGCUCGCUGUAUUCGUGAAAACGAAGCUCGUCCUCAGAGGCAUUUCUUCGAACACCUCGGCUACAAAGUAUACUUCCCCUCCCUUGCUAUCAACGCUGCGUGUGCGAGCAAUGGUGGGUCUCUCCGAGGGGGAGAGGCGCUUCAUCCGGGGCGGGAUCGCGCAGGAUCUUCGAUCGGACGGUCGCCGUAGGCUCCAGUAUUGCCCCAUCUCCGUCCAAACUGGUGUCAUUCCCCAGGUUCUCUCUCUCUCUCUCUCUCUCUCUCUCUCUCUCAUUUAUUUGACAAAUUUUUUUUAAAAUUUUUUGAUAGGCGAAUGGCUCGGCUAGAGUUAGGUUGGGGGCAACGGAUGUUAUUGCGACCAUAAAGGUAUCAUUUUUAUUUUUUUUUUAAUUUUUUGGGCAUAUUAUUGUAGGAUUAGUAUAUUCAAGUUCUUGUUAAUUUUUACCGCAGUUCUACUCCCUGAAAUUUUAAACACUAAUUCUGUAUAAUUGUAUAUACCAGCGGAAAUACUUUACUUUUAUUAUUGUAACAGUUGGUUAGCUUGCAAUGCACUCUGAUCGGAACGACAUACGACAAAAAAGAGUUGAAAAAGAGGAAAAACAAGAAAAAACAAGAAACUUUUCAAAGUUUAAUGAUUUCAAGUAAUCCGCCAUCCAAUCUUACAAUAUAUCAUUGUAGAAAUUCUAUUUAAAAAAUAAGAAAUUAGACAUUAUCCACCCUACCUUCACUUAGCUACAACUUAAUCGGCUGUACGGAUUGAAGUAGGAGAUGGGAUCGAGGCCGACGGAUGCUUCAGGCACUCGCAAUGUAUGGAUGCAUUUGGCGCUGGCAAUAAUUUUAACUCUAACCAUAAAUGAGACCUCGUGCGAAAGUGAGACGCUUCCAAAAGUUUGGCAUGUUGAAUGACCAAUUUAAUUAUUCGAGGACUGAUGUCAAACUCGGUUGAAAGUUCAGGGACUAGUGGUGCAAUUCACACAAAUGAAGUUUGCCCACUUCUGAUUUCGCAACUGCUACCCGGGUUAGAGAUUGAAUUAUAAACUUUUGCUGUGGUCUUUCGUAUUCUUGAAGGGAUUGUGAGGAAAUAGUUGUAAAAGAUAUAAGAAUCUGAUUGGUAGAAGUGUUCAUGCAGCUGAACCAGUAAAUUUCGGGCGUAAGGAGUAAGGACCUGUUGCUUUAUGAUUUGACUUUGCUGUAACAUUUUUCUGUUAUACGUACUGAAAUUGCACGUAUCGGAUAAUCAGAAAACUUGUUCUUCUUUACAGCAUUCUGAUGCAGCUUAAAUUAUUUAUUUUGUAAUUUUCAAUCUUGUACUUUUGUUCCAUAUUUUCUAUGAUAUAUUUAGAUAUCAUCCCCUCCACAUCCCCUAACUCCUUUUUCUUUUUCUGAAAUCUGCAGGCGGAACUUGGGAAACCAAGCCUUCUUCAACCUGACAAAGGAAAAGUUUCAAUUCAUGUCGACUGCAGUCCAACUGCAGCUCCUAUGUUUGAGGUUUGUAAACUACUCUAGUGGGUAGUUUUUGACAUAUUAUUAAUAGCAUAUUGUGUCGUAUUACAAUUUGUGCCGAAGAUCAUUUUCAAAGUCACCACAAAUUGUUACUUAGUUGAUGAUAAUAAUGGAAUCAUAACCCUUGCAAGUUACUAGAUAACAAGUUGUGAUGGCAAGUUAUGCCGAAUAUCUUUUUUCGAGCAACUCUUGUUUUGUGCUAUUCCUCAAUCCAUUGCCAGUCACUAUGGUGUAUAUUUUAGUUGGCCUUUACUAAAGCAGUUAUUCCUAUAAUCAUAGUAAUGAUUCUUGUAAAAAUAAAUAAACAAAUAAAGCACAAAAUCGACUUUGUUCUGGAUUAUCGUGGGAUAACAGGAUAACUUUGGGAUGAGGACAUGUAAUCCUACAGUUUUCUCUAAAACCAAAUCAUCUCGUGGGUUUGCACCUCGAUUUUGGUAGAUGCCAUUAUUACUUACUAUCCAUUCUAGUCACCCCGCUUAUCCAUCUCGACAUUGGUCAACACUCAAAUUUUUUGUAUAUGUUGUUUCCCUGUAGCUAAGUAUUCUGAUUUGUAAAAGAUGAUUAUAUUUUUAAAAGUAUUUCCAACGAUAAAAGGUGACAGUCACAAAGUUUGGAAGGUGUGUUAUUGAUGAGAGUGUUUAAUUUCAACCACUUAAGGUGUGAAAACUGAAGAUGUUAAUGUGCGAGCAUAUAGUGCUGAACAAGCUUUAUUCUUUGUUAGUAAUUAUACUUGCAACUUGCAUUAUGGUCACCUCUUAUUGAUGCGGGAAAGUAUGUUGAAGAGCAAAUAUUUCUCAUGUUAGUUCAGUAAAAUUUUGCUUUGCAUUGCAAACUCUGAAGGUGUCUAGUAAUAGCCUGUUUUCGGGUUCACCAUUGUGUGGAUUCAUAAGUGUUAAAUUGCAUUUUGAUGUUCUAUUUGUUAACAUACACUGCCUUUGAAACUUUACUCUUAGUUUAUGAAUAUUCCUAGGGAAGAGGUGGUGAAGAGUUGUCCUCAGAACUAUCAUUAGCUCUGGAGAGAUGUUUACUGGGCGGAAAAAGUGGGGCAGGUACAGUUUAGAGCUCGGCUGGCUCCAUCGAUGUUUGUUUUUGCUUUAAUGAUUAUGCUUGUAAGUUGCGCUUCAUUUCCGUUGGCAACAUACUAGUGGAUAGUCAAUUGUGAAGAUUUUUGAAAUGAUUUGAUGCCUUGUGUUGUACAUGUAGAACCCAUAUAUCUACCUAUUGUUAUUUGCGUUACUAUGAUGUCGGUGCAUUGUGUUCUCACGCAGCUUUUGGAUGCAGAAGGAUGUAUGUUUAUACCAAACCAAUUUUCAUUGGCUUCUACAUUAUUUCAUAUUUUUUAUUGCAGGAGCUGCAAUCGAUCUAUCGUCUCUGAUUGUUCUUGAUGGAAAGGUGUGCUGGGAUUUAUAUAUUGAUGGACUUGUCAUUAGUUCUGAUGGUAAUCUACUGGAUACUUUAGCUGCUGCAAUUAAGGUAUUGCUUCUGCCUGGAAUCAUAAUAAAUCUGAUGAGCUUAUUUUUUUCCUACAACAAGUGCAACACUAGAAGGAUAUUUGACUAGAAGCCUCAAAAAAAAAAAAAAAGUAGUCAAGAUGAUUCUCAUGAGUCACGAACAAUUGCCAUGGAUUGGAAGUCUGGAAUAGCCGGGAUCUUUUUAAGUAUAAUUUUCUAUGUAAAUGAAAUACCCACUUUGCCAUACAGAAACAGCUAAAUAGGAAAUACUGAAACAAUAAUGAGUACUUCCGUAAAUUAGCAAAAUACAACAUUGUACAUUGGGUAUCAAGGGACUCCAAAUACAUUUAAGUUUGCAGAUCAAAAGAUACAUGACAACUCUUGUCACAUUGUCAGCAAUAUUUUUGUUAGCUCUACCAGCUGCUUAACACUGAUUUUUUAGAGGUUUUGCUGCAUAUUGUCUAUAUGGUCCGUUCAUAGUUCGUAGCUGGUUUCCAACUUAGUUGAAUUUUGCUUUUUUGUGAUGAGGCUUUCAAAAUAACAACAUCCUUAAUUCAAAAAUAAUGUCUAGAAGAAUAAUUAAUCUCUUAUCACCAGAUAUAUUGUUUCUGUGACUUAAACACCCAUGCCAUUGAUGCACAUGGAGCAGGCUGUAAUCAUGAGAAAAAUAAUGAGAAAAAUAAUGCCCCCUAUUUAAGAAGAAUAAACUGCAUGCGCUUAAUGAAGAACCUUGUCCUCGUUUGUGGUGUUUGUAUGAUAAAAGAUGGAGUGAUCUACUGCAGAGAUAGGUACUUAGCAGAUGAUGCUUAUCCUUCUGGCAGGUUGCCUUGAGUAAUACGGGGAUACCAAAAGUUAACAUUGUUUACGAUGGCUCGCCUGAUGAUCAACCUGAGGUUGAUGUUAGUGAUGAAGAGUUUCUGCAGUUCGACACUUCCGGAGUACCAGUUGUAAUAACUCUAACGAAGGUAAGUUGACUUCAUUUACAGAAUACUUCUUGAUAAGUAUGAGCUUCGAAGCAGGUAUUUUCACAAUUCCGAACUGCAUAGACUGCGCAAAGUACUGCCACUAAAAGGGGUUUUGUGAGUUUCCCAAGAAGUACAGUGUCUUGAAAGUAAAAGAGUUUAAGGCCCAAGUAAUUGUAAUUCUGUUAAAGCAUAUACUGCUUUUCCUAUCUUUUAGUUUUAUCUUCUUUUCAAAGUAACAUCAACUGGUCUCCACUUUUAACUACUCGACCUGAUUAUCAAAAGAAGAUCACUGCUUUUCACUACUAUUGGAGAUAUUUUAUGCAUAUAAGCUAGAUAUGCUAUUAAUGUGAUCUGUUUUUGUAGGUAGGAAAGCAUUACAUAGUGGACGCUACCGCAGAAGAGGAAUCUCAGAUGAGCUCUGCCGUGUCAGUGUCAGUGAAUCGAAAUGGGCAAAUUUGUGGGCUAAUCAAGAGGGGCGGCACAGGUUUGGAUCCAAGUGUCAUUCUCGACAUGAUAUCUGUGGCGAAACACGUAAGCAAAGAACUAAUCUCCAUGUUGGACUCUGAAAUUGCUGCUGCAGAAGCAUCUGAUGACGAAAGCUGAAAUUUAUCUUCUCAAUAAAAGAGAAAACAUGUGAAAUUUAUUAUCAUUGACAUAAGUUAAUGUUUGUUUUCCUAGCAAAAUACUAUUGAUUGUAUUUGUUAAACUAUCUUUAAGUGUACAUCAAUGAACAUAUAUCAAUCCGGUAAAAUGAUUAUGCUUUUAUAAUAUCAUUUUACAUAUAUCGUUUUUUCGGUUUGGUUUACUUUUGUAUUAAUCACAAAGAAAGUCCAGUGAAGCUGAGUAAGUAGGGGUGAAAAUGGUUAGGAGGAUUCAAUCUGAUGUGAAUACAGAUGUCAAAAUUAUGCAUCCAGUCGAAUUUGGAUUCGGAUUUGGAUGUUAUGUUUAUAAUAUUUUCAAAUUUGAAUUUGGAUACGGAUGUAUUGGAAUAUUUCAAAUUCGAAUUCAGAUUCGGAUUUGCAUUCAGAUUUGGAUAUCCGAAUAUUAAUAUAUGUUAUUAAUUCAUAUAUUAUGAAAAAAUAAAAAAGUGGAUGGUGUAGCUUAGUAAAGAAUUUUUUCAUUUGUGAGAGAUAUGGGAUUUCAUUCCCCACACCUCAAAAUUAUGACUAAUAAUUUAAAAAUAAUUAUUUAAAUUUAAAUUUAAGAUUAAAUUAUAAUUAUAAUUUAGAUUAGACAAUAAUGAUUGGGGUUUUAUUGCUUUUUGUGGGGAGAUAAGGGAGACGUUAUAUAUAUAUACAUACAUAUACAUACAUACAUACAUAUACAAACAUACAUACAUAUACAUACAUACACAUACAUACAUAUACAUAUACAUACAUACAUAUAAUCAUUUACUUAGUGAUCGAAGUGGCUUAAAAUCAACGGCUGAAAAUAAAAAUCUUACAAAAUAUGAUGAUAUGACAUUAAAAUUUUAGAUAAAAAAUAUUGAUCUUGUUUUAUAUAGUAUAAAAAAUUUUCUAUCAAAAUUUCACGUGAUUUAGAUAUUUCUACACCGUUAAGCUUGCAAACGGCUCACCACGGUCAUUAAAAUUAUUGAUUUUGAGGCCAUUCGACACUAGGCAAAUGAUAUUGAAAAAUAACAAAAUUUAUUUUCUAGAUACUUCAAAUACUUUAGAUUAAGUUUAACGGAGCCGAUCGUCGAUUCGAAAGUCCCAACAUCGAAGAUGACUUGAAAGCACGGAAGGCUCCGUACUUCCAGAAGCAUACCAGCUCUCUCUCUCUCUCUCUCUCUCUCUUUCUCUCUCUCUCUCUCUCUCUCUCUCUCUCUCUCUCUUCUUUAUAUAUAUAUAUAGAGGCUGUUCUGCGUAUGCAUCUGCAUAGCAGAGCCGCUUCGUGCUUCCAUGUUUUUCGAUGUUCGGACUUUCGAAUCGACGAUCGGUCGCGUUAGGCUUGAUUUAAAGUAUUUGAAGUAUCUAGAAAAUAAAUUUGCGUAUUUUUCGGAUAUCAUUUGCCUAGUGAUGCGAAGUGGCUCAAAAUCAAAGGUUGAAAAUAAAAAUUCUUACAAAAUAUGGAAUGAUAUGACAUUAAAAUUUAGAUCAAAGUUAUUGAUCUUGUUUUAUAUGGUAUAAAGAAUUUUUUUAUCAAAAUUUCAUAUGAUUUGGAUAUUUCUACACUGUUAAACUGGCAAACGGCUCACCACGGUCAUUAAAAUUAUUGAUUUUGAGCCCCUUCGAUUAGUAGGCAAAUGAUAUCGAAAAAUCACAAAAUUUAUUUUCUAGGUACUUCAAAUACUCUAGAUCAACCUAACGAGCCGAUCGUCGAUUCGAAAGUCCGAACAUCGCGAAAACAACUUGGAUUCCGUGCUCCGUGCUUCCAGAAGCAUACCAGCCACUCUCUCUCUCUCUCACUCGCGUCCGCUCUCUCUCCUCUCAUCUAUAUAUAUGAUAUAUAUAGUCCGGCAUGUGCUUGUAAAGCACCCAAGCAUUGUGUGAUUGAAAUUUUUUAAACCGUCAGAAUCUACUCCUCGGAUUAUUUUUAACCGUUAGAUGUAGUACUAUUCAACCAAGCCACAACAUCAACCAUAGGGCGCCGCCACAUCAUGAAAUAACUCGCACAUCCUAAUUCCAACGGCUAAAAUCUACAAGCACCAAUAAUGGGUACUUUAAAAGCAUAGGAUGGCAUCAAUAUAUAUAUAAUUAUAUAUAUAUAUAAUAUAUAUAUAUAUACUAUAUAUAAUAUAUAUACUGAGUUGGACCUGGCACAUUAUUAGCCAAAAUCUUAUUGUGUGCUACGAGUUUUCUUAGCCUUUUGUUUUUUUUUUUUUUGGAUCACAUCAACUCUUUCAUUUUCUAACCAUUGGAUUUAAAUACUAUAACCCAGUGGGACCACUCAACUCCUAGGGGGACCCCUCAACUCUAACACGAUUCUAAUAAUCAUCCUGACGCCUAGAAUUUUGUCAUCCCCAUGGGUUAAAAACUUGAUAAGAAAAAGGUUUAACUAUUAAUAGUAAUCCAGCCUAAUUUAUAUUAUAUACAUAUAGCAGGCUGCUGUGCUCUCAGGGCACGGAGGCCUCCAGUGCUCCUGAAGCCGUUUUCGAUGAGGAAUUGCACGAAUCGACGAUCGGCUCCGUGACUCUGAUCGCUAGUUGCGAUUCUGAAAGUUUUCUAGAAAAUAAUUUUUACGAUUAUUUUGAUAUUAUUUACAUAGUGAUGGAAAGAUUCAAAAUCCAUAAUUUUUUAAUGUUAUAUUUGCGUUUUCUCAUGUUUACAACGGUGUAGAAAGUAUUUCAAUCAGAUGAAAUUUUUGAUACAAAGAUUUUUAUAGCUAUCUACAUACAAGAUCAAUAUUCUGAAUCGAAAAUUGUAGUCGCUAUACUCACCACUUUUAAUUAAUAUGAUUUUUAUUUUCAACCGUUAUAAAAUUAUUAAUGUUUGAAUCAUUUCGAUUAUUAGGUAAAUGAUAUCGAAAAAUCGUAAAAUUAUUUUGUAGUAAAAUUCAAAUAGCCUAGACUCAAGUUUAUACGGAGCGAUCCGUCGAUUCGGCAAACUCCAUCUCGAAAAACGGCUCCAGGCAGCAGCGGAGGCCUCCGUGCUCGCUGAGAAAGCAGAGUAGCCACCUGUCUCUUUCCUCCUCACAUCGUCUCAUCGACCGCGGAUCCCUCAUUACAGGUCCAUUCUCUCUUUCUCCAUCUCUGAGCGUCCUGUUCUCUCUCUCUCCUCUUCUCUCGUCUCUAUAUAUAUAUAUAAUAUAUAUAUAAUAUACUAUAUAAUAUACUAUACUAUACAGAGUCCGCGGCUACUAUACUAUCUUGACUAGUAAGAAGCCCUUGGCUACCUAUGAGUUUCUACACGUUAAAUCUACCAUUGAUCAUUUCACGCCGUUAGAUUAUACUAUUAAACCUACACCCACUCAAACCCUAGGUGGACUAACUAUCAAUUUAACUGGGGAAACCACUAUAUCCUAACCAUACAUCCUUUUACCGCAACGGCCGAAACUCAAUAGUACCUACAGGGCAUGGCUAUUCAUAGGUAUAUAACAUAUAUAUAUUCAUAUAAUAGAUAUUAUAUGUAUUAUAUAUAAUAAUGUAGUAAUGUUAUAUGUUAUAUAUUAUAUAUAUGUACAUCUAUACAAUAUAUACAUUCUAUAUAUUACAUAUAUAACAUAUAACAUAUAUAUAUACAUAUAUCAUAUAUACAAUAUACAUAUAUGUACCUUAUAACUUAUAAUACAUUAUAAUAUAUGUACAUAUAUUAUAUAUAUAUAUUAUUAUAUGUAUAUAUAUAUAACAUAUUAAUAUACAUAUUAUUAUAUGAUUCAAUAUAUAUGAUAUAUUAUGUAUAUUGUAUAUAUAUAUAUAUAUGUAUAUUUAUAAUAUAUAUGUAUAUAUAUUAUAUAUGUAUUAUAUAUAUAUAGUGUAUAUAUGUAAAUAUAUAUAUUAUAUAAUUGAGCUGGAAUACUAUCGGUAGCAACCGGACGUCCAUCACCCAUCAUUGUUUUCGAUGAUGAACCUCCAAACACAUACUGUAUGUUUGAAAUGAUCUAUAGCACCACUUAAAUAUCUAGAAAUUAAAUUUUAUGCUUUGUGAUAUUGUUUCUCGUGUUCAUCCAAGUUGCGUAAAAAUGAACGGCUGAAAAUAAUAUCCUCUAAAAAGUGAUGAAGGAAUUUUUGUAAUCAAGAUCGAAGUAUAGGAUCUUUGUUCUUAAUAGUUUAAAAAAUUUUCUAACCAAAAUUCAAUUGAUUUGGAUAGCUUUACAGAUACCGUUAAACUGAGUAAAAUGCUCAAAUAUUGACUAUUAAAAUUAGUAAAAUUUGAAACCAUUUUGAUAUUAGGUCACCUGAUUGCAUCGAAAAGAUGCUAAAAAUUUGAUUUCUAGAUAUUCAUGAUAUGGAUCUUAAUGUCACGUGCGUCGUACUUAGAAGGCUCAUCAUCGAAACACUGGUGGUAACAUAGCCCAGUUGGCUACCCGAUAGCAAUUCCCAAGCUCAACCUCCUCCCUCUCUCUCUCGGAUCUCUCAGCGUAUAUUCCUCCAUCAUGUCGUCUCUCUCUCUCUCUCUCACUCCCUCUCUCCUCUCUCCACUCUCGUUCCUCUCUCUAUAUAUACUAUUAUAUAUAUAUAAUUAGUAUAUAUAUAAUAUUUAUAUAAUUAUAAUAUAUAUAUAUAAGUUGAGCAGAUAUACUAUCGUAGCCACGCGUCCGUUGCUCACCCACUUUGUUUUCGAUGAUAGAGCUUCCAAAUCGACGAUCGCACGUUGAUCCCCAUAGAAUCUAAAGUUAUGUACGAAAUUAUUUUCUAAAUAAAAGUUACGAAAGUUAAUUUCUAAAUAGGUCAAGUACCUGCUAGAUUAUAUAACAGAAUGGAUCGUCGAUUCAAAAAUUUUUGAAAUCCAUCAUCGAAAAAAUUAUGAGUAGAAGGCUUAUACUCAAGAAGUAUAGUACGCCCGUAACUAUUUGCUCUCUCGUCUCUCUCCUCUCUCUCGACAUCUCUCUCUCGCUCCUCAACUAUCUCUCGGAGUCAUCUCUCAGUUUCUCAUUCUCAUCGUCUCUCGAUCUCUCUCUCUAUAUAUAUAUAUAUAUAUAUAUAUAUAUAGUAAGGCUAAUAUACUCUUAUGAGUAUUGGGCCCUUCGUACUCAUAAGUUGUUUUCGAUGUUGGGCUUUUCGAAUCUACGGUCCAUAUCGUUAAAUAUGAUCUAAAGUAUUUGAAACUUCUAGAAAAUAAAUUUCGUAAUUUUUCGAAAUCAUUAUAAAGUCCAUCAAGCGGGUCUAAAAUGAAUGGUUAAAAUCGGAUCCUUCAAUUUAAGAUCGGAGUUAUAGAGCCCUUUGUACUCAUAACUUUUCGGUCGUUCAGAUGAAAAAAUAUACGGUUGGGAUGAGAGUGGUUAUGGUUAGGUUAAUAGUAGGCCCCCUAGGGUUGAGUGGGUGAUUGGUUGAAUAGUAUAAUCUAACGGAUGAAAAUGAUUAAAGGGUAGAUCAAACUGUAGUAUCCUUGGUUUUUGGAGUUGGUAAAGGAUAGUAUUGUCUUUGUUGUGGAUAAGGAUGCCACCUACAACCCCAUGCUUAUCAACUUAAUUAUUUGAGGGUGUGCACUUCUCUAAUUUCCUCUCUUUUUCUAGCUUGAGCCGUACAUGGUGGAGGUCGCGGUUGGAGCUCGGAUCGACGUCGACUUCGCGCCGGAGAGCCGUUUGAGCCUACUUGCGUCGUGGCAGGGCCGUUGGAGGCCGGGCGAGUGUGGGAUUUCUUCUCCUAUCGACUUCUUGCCGUUGUGGAUUAGCUUUACGAGGUGGGUUGAAGUUUACCGAAAUCGUCGAAAUAUUUUCUAAGUUUUAGUAUUUGUCGACAUGUAUCAUUCAUCUAUUUUUCUUGCUAGCACUCGAAUUAUGGAUUAAUGUUUAAAUCUGAAUGUAACGUGCUACCUAUCUCUCAAAAAAUAUGUUUAAAUUUGAAUUCGGAGUUAAGCUAGUAGUUUAAUUUUACAUGUUGGACUUGGAAUUGACUUAGGAGAAAACAUAUAGAUCCAAUAUUGUCACUUUCUGAAAAAUUACCAGAUUUAGCUUUUGAAACUGUUGCGCCUUGUAUCCACAUUGUUAGUGCGCAUUUGGUACUUAGAUAGCUUUUGAAGCUGUUGCACUUUGUAUCCACGCUGUCAGUGCGCAUUUGAUACUCAGAUAGUUUCUAAAGCUGUUGCGCUUUGUAUCCACGCUGUUAGUGCGCAUUUGAUACUCGGAUAGUUUUAGGCGCUGUGGUUCUUUUGUAUCGCCUCUGUUUGUAUGCGGUGGAUAACCAGAUUAGUGUAGGAUGAGAUUACGCUCGUGCUGGGAUGCCGAGCUUAUUUUACAGUAGUGUGUAGACUGUUUUAGACUGUCGGGUGCCGUCGCGGUUGACGGUGGAAUCAGAUUACUGUUUUUGUAUCAGAUUGUGCCAAGGACAUGUGAGUUUUAGUUGUUAGACCAGUUAGACCCAUUUACUUUGAUCAUAGCCUGUGAGAGCCUGAUUGAGCUCGGCAGAGACACGUUGUAUACUCGGUUCGGUAGCGCCCACGAGUGCCACUCCGGAGUUGGGCUUUGUGCAUUUGCGUAGAUGUCGUAGUGUCCAGUGUGGACUUGCUCUCCACCAAUUAUCUAGCAUGGUGGUGGUUGGUGUAGCUUCGGCAGGCGGGACGGGUGCGUUCACAGUCCCUAAUAAGAUUGGGUCAGAGAUUGCAUCUUGCUUAUAUCUAUAGAUAGUUAGUGUUGGUUAGCGAUAGUAUAGUGGCAUGUAGCUGUAAAGUUUUUUCAGUUUCCUUUACUAUCCUUGAGCAUACUUUCUGUAGACUUAGUGGGUGAGCCAUUGAGGUCGGUAGCAGUACCCACUGAGGACUACUUUUUGCAGUAGUUCUCACACCCAGUUGUUGACCCUUUUUUGCAGAGCCUUCGUCCGCGGUUGCUGCUAUUGCUGAUUUAGAUCGUGGAAUGAGAGUCGCGAGCGAGAUCCCUUCCAGUCUUGUUACUGUUCUAGAGGAGUACCAGCUACAGGUAGUUUUGAUUUUUGGUUCAUAUACAUACUGAUGUUAGAUACUCGCUGGAGCGAGUGAUGUCUGUAUCUUGGAAACUAUAUAUGUAUAGUGAACCUGAUGUUUAUCUAUAUGUAUUUACAGUUCUAUUAGUAGCUCUAUACUACUAGUUGUAGUUUUGUAGGAUUACAGGUACAAGUACAGCUAUCGAUUCGUAUACAGAGAAAAUUCUUUUAUAUACAGUGAAAAAAAUUUUCUAUAAAAAUUUUAUCAGAUUUGGAUUGUUUUACACCGUUAAAUUUACAAACGCAUCAAAUCUAUCAUUAAAAUUGUCAAUUUUGAGACCUUUUGAUCUCUAGCCAAAUAAUGUCGAAAACUUAUGAAAUUUAAUUUUCAAAUACUUUCAAUAGUGUAGAUCAAGUCUAACGGAACUGAACGUCGAUUUGGAAACUGCAUCAUUGAAAACAACUUGGUAGCACGGAGGCAUGCGUGCUACAGAUGUAUACAAGCCUCUCUCUCUCUCUCUCUCUUCUCUCUCUCUCUCUACUCUCAUCUCUCUACUAUAUAUAUAUAUACUAUAUAUAUAUAUAUAUAAAUUAGGCUGGAAACUCAUUAAUUUAGUAAAACGUUUUUUUUGCGUAUUUAGUUUUUAAACGCUUUGGUGAAAAUUAUAGGGUCAGUGAUGAUAUUAGUCAGUUAGAGUGAGUGCGUCCCUAAGGGUUUUAGUGCGUACCCCACUGGGUUAUUAGUAUUUCAAUACAAUAGUAGACAAUAAUGAAAGGAGUUGAUCCAAGGGCUAAAAACUGGUUAGAAAUAAUGGAAUUUGCUAAGUAAUAGUGUCCACCUACUCAGAUAUAUAUUAUAUAUAUAUACAUAUAUAAAUAUAUUAUAAUAGUAUAAGUAAUAAUACUAUAUAUAUAGAGUAGGUCUUGUGUGCUAUUAGGAGCACGGAGGCCUCCGUGCUCUUAAGCCAUUUUCGUUGAUGGAGCUUGCGAAUCGACGAUCGGCUCCGUUACACUUAAUCUAGCAUAUUUAAAGUAUCUAGAAAAUAAAUUUUGUAACUUUUCGAUAUCAUUUGCUUAACAAUCGAAAGUGUUCAAAAUCAACGGCUGAAAAUAAAAAUCUUACAAAAAGUGGUGAUAUAUCAUUAAAAUUUUCGAUCAAACAUAUUGAUCUUGCUGUAAAUAGUAUAAAGAAUUUUCUAUCAAAAUUUCAUCUGAUUUGAAUACUUCUACACCGUUAAACUUGCAAACCAUAUACAUCAACCAUUAAAAAUUGUUGAUUUUGAACCCUUUCGAUCGCUAGGAAAAUGAUACCGAAAAAUCACAAAAAUUAUUUUCUAGAUAGUUCAAAUACGCUAGAUCAAGUCUAAUGGAACCGAUCGUCGAUUCGGAAGCUCUAUCAUCGAAAACGGCUUAGGAGCACGGAGGCCUCCGUGCUCCUAAUAGCACACAAGACUUACCAUAUAUAUAUAUAUAUAUAUAGAACUAGACUAAUAUACUAUUAAUAGCACCAAGUCAUUGGUGCUACUAAGUUUUUGGCUAUUGGAUUAAGAGAUGUGCGGUUAGGAUGAUGUGGGCCCCCUAGGGUUGAGUGGGUGGUUGGUUGAAUAGUAUGAUCUAACGGAUGAAAAUGAUCAAAAGAAUAGGUCUAACGGCAGAAAACUUGAUAGCACCAAGUGCUUCGUGCUAUUAAUAGCAUAGUAACCGGACUUUAUAUAUAUAUAUAUAUAUAGCUACUGUGCUAUUAGGAGCACAGCAGCCCUUGUGCUCCUAACUUUCUAACCACCCAUCAAGUUUGAUGGGUGGCUAGAAUGAGAGAGGGAUGAGAUAUUUCAACCCAAUAUCUCAUCCCUCUCUCAUUCUUGGGAAGAAAUAUCUCAUCCCUCUCUUAUUCUUGCCACUCAUCAAACUUGAUGGGUGGUUAGAAAGUUAGGAGCAAAAGGGCUGCUGUGCUCCUAAUAGCACAGUAGCCCUGCUAUAUAUAUAUAUAUAUUAGUCUUGUGUGCUAUUAGUAGCUAAUAGCACGGAGGCCUCCGUGCUCCUAAACUGUUUUCGAUUUCCGUUAGACUUGAUCUAGCAUAUUUGAAGUAUCUAGAAAAUAAUUUUUGAGAUUUUUCGAUAUCAUUUACCUAGCGAUCGAAGAGUUCAAAAUCCACAGCUGAAAAUAAAAAUCUUAUAAAAAGUGGUGAUAUAGCACUAAAAUUUUAAAUCAGAGAUAUUGAUCUUGCAGUAAAUAGUAUAAAGAAUUUUCUAUCAAAUUUUCAUCUAAUUUGAAUAUUUCUACACUGCUAAACUUGCAAACGAUAUAUAUCAACCAUUAAAAAAUGUUGAUUUGAACCCUUUCGAUCGCUAGAUAAAUGAUAUCGAAAAAUCAAAAAAUUUAUUUUCUAGAUACUUCAAAUAUAUUAGAUCAAAUCUAACGGAGCCAAUCGUUGAUUCGAAAGCUCCAUCAUCGAAAACGGCUUUGGAGCACGGAGGCCUUCGUGCUCCUAAUAGCACACAAGACCUACUAUAUAUAUAUAGUCUGGCUGGAGUGUUUCUAAUAGGACCAAGCACUUGGUGCUUCAAAUUUUUCACCAUUAGAUUUAUUUUUUUGAUCAUUUUCAUUUGUUAGAUCAUACUAUUCAAUCAACCAUCCAUUCAACCCUAUAAGACCGCAAUUAUCCUAACUGCACGUCUCUUCAUCCAAAGCCCGCAAACCAAAUAGCACUAAUGAUUUGGUGUUAUUAGAAACAUUCCAGCCUAAUUCAUAUAUAUAUAUAUAUAUAUAUAUAUAUAUAUAUAUAUAUCUAUAGAGUGAGUCCGGCUACUAUAUUCUUAUGAGUAUGAUUGCCUUCGUACUCAUAAGUCGUUUUCGAUGAUAGAGCUUCCGAAUCGGCAAUCCAUAUCAUUAAAUAUUAUCUAGAGAUUAUUAGGCUAGCUACUAUACUAUUAAUAGUACCAAGCGUUCGGUGAUAUUAGAUUUUCGGCCUUAAUUUGGAUGAAGGAAUGUGCGGUUAGUGGUUCCUGAUUAGGAUGAUAGUGGUCCUCUAGGAUUGAAUAGGUGGUUGGUUGAAUAGUAUGAUCUAACGGAUAGAAAUGGUCAAAGAGGUAGAUCUAAAGGCAGAAAACUCGAUAACGCCAAACAUUUAAUACUAUUAAUAGUAUAGUAGCCGAACUAUAUACAUAUAUAUAGCCCUCUCUCUCCUCGUGAAUCUACUCAUAACACGAUCACUCUCCGCCGUCGAUUCGCACUAGAACUCUCUCUCUAUAUAUAUAUAUAUAUAUAUAUAUAGAGAGAAGUCGAAGAGAGAGAGAGAGAGAAGAUAGAGAGAGUUUUAGGCUAGAAUGUUAUCAAUAAUAAAUGGUUCCGUUAUCAUCUAUUUAUUUUCGAUGAUGGAGUCUCCAAAUCGACGAUCGACACUGUUGAAUAUAAUCUAUACUACUUGAAGUGAUGAUGGGAAUCAAUUAAGAUCAAGAGUAUAAAUCUUAUUUUAAAUAAUUUAAAAAAAUUUCUAACCAAAAUUCAAUUGAUUUGAAUAUCUUUACGCCGUUAAAUGAGAAACUAUUUCAUAUUGACCAUUAAAAUUAUAAAUUUUGAAACUUUUUGAUCAUUAGGUCAAUGAUGUCGAAAAAAUUUGAAAUUUGGUUUUUAAAUACUUCAAGUGAUAAAGAUCAUGUUUAAUGGUACCGAUCGUUGAUUUGGAAGCUCUAUCAUCGAAAACAAAUAGAUGCCAAUAGAGCCCGUUUGCUACUGAUAGCAUUCCAGCUCAAUUCUCUCUCUCUCUCUCUCUCUCUCUCUAUAUAUAUAUAUAUAUAUGAUGGGGGAUAAGGUGCUUUAUUGCGUUUUUAGUUUAUUUUAUUAUGAGUUUUAUAUUAAAUUUGUAUUUAUAUUUGUUAAAUAUUAGAUGUUAUUCAAUAAAAUAUAGGUGUAUAAAAAUUUGAACACAAACAUGAAAUUUUAGGUAUAUUAUUGUUAAUUCUAUAUUCAUAUGUGCAUAUUAGUAUAUAUUAUAUAGAGUUGAGCUAGAAUUCUAUCGGUAGCAAACGGGCUCCGUUGCCACCCAUUUGUUUUCGAUGAUGGAGCCUCCAAAUCGAUGAUCGGAACCGUUGAAUAUGAUCUAUACCACUUGAAGUAUCUAGAAAUCAAAUUUCAUGCUUUUUUGAUAUUGUACUCUUGUCCAUCAAGUAAGUGUAAAAAUGAACGGCUGAAAAUGAAUAUCCUCUAAAAUGUGAUGAUAGAAAUUUUGUAAUCAAGAUUAAGAGUAUAGAUCUUAUUCUAAAUAGUUUAAAAAAUUUUCUAACCAAAAUUCAAUUGAUUUGGAUAGUUUUACACCGUUAAACGAGAAAAUGCCUUAUAUCUACCAUUAAAAUUACAAAUUUUGAAACCCUUUGAUCAUUAAGUCAAUGAUGUUGAAAUGAUUUGAAAUUUGGUUUCUAAAUACUUCAAGUGGUAUAGAUCAUGUUCAACGGUGCCGAUCGUCAAUUUAAAGACUCCAUCAUCAAAAACAAAUGUGUGGCAACGGAGGUAGUUUGCUACCGACAGUAUUCCAACUCAACUCAUAUUAUAUAUACUAUAUUCGAAUUCGAAGAAAUAUCCCAUCUUAUUUGAGUCUAUUUAUAGUGGAUAGGCGAACGAAAAGUUAACAUUCCACUUAUAUCUGCAUUUAAAUUCGUAUUUGGAAAAAAAAUAUCGAUGCGAAUAAAGUUUCGUCGAAUAUCUGAUCACUAUUCGACCGUUUUCACUCCGGUAAGAAGCAUAUUAUCUUAAGGUGAUAAUGGUGGCGUAAAAAACACAAUCAUGGACAACAUAAUGUCAUCAAUAAUGAAUAUAACGCCAUUAAUAAAACCAUGGAAAACAUCCAAUAUAUUUUGGACCGCACAUAAUAUAUUGUCUGAUACUCUGGAGACUACCAAGUACCAAAAUCUUACCCUCCUUUCCUGCACAAGAUGAUAAUAAAUAAAGGUGAAAUUUUCUAUUCUAAAUGCAUCUUUUUAUUGGUCCUUAUAUCAAAAAGAAAGAAAAAAAAACGAAGGUACUAUAUGGAAUUUCCGUUGCAGUGAGAAACUUUAAUCCAUCGCUAUCGUAAAUAGUAGGUGCAUUUUAAAGCAGUAUGGACGGUAAAUUAUAUCAUCUCACCCAAAAAUAAUCGGACAAAUAUGAAAUCUACAUGUUAGUCCUGUGACGCUCCAACUUUUCAGAGGUAAUCCAUCCUAGGACUCUUUCCAUUCUAACACGCUUAACUUUUUUAAUCUCUUGAGUCUAGUCACUAUCAAAAAUAUUUAAGCUGGGUUAAGAGUUUUAGCUCUAUUAUAUCUUAUAUAUAGGACAAUCUGAGAAUCUCACAUUCUCUCCCCUUUGAGCCAUGACGUCCUCGUCAGACUCAGACUCACAAGUAGCAGGCGAUUUGAGACUCGUCUCACUAGUCUUGUUAUUCCCAUCCUGGUUCAGUCGAAACUCAUCUUACACUUUCGGUUGAUAAUUGGCUCUGAUACCAAAUGUGAUGCCCCAACUUUUUAGGAGUCACCUAUUCUAGGACUACUUCUGCCCUAAUACGCUUAACUCUCUUAAUUUCUUGAGUCUAACCACCACCCAAAAUACUUAAAGCGGGUUAAGAUCGUUUUAGUCAUAUUAUAUCUUAUAUAUAGAACAAUAUGGGGAUCUCACAAGUCCUCCUAUCUAAUAAAUUUUCUAUAAAAUUGUUGAUGUGUUGGUAUAUUCAUAUGACAUUUCAUACUGUGUAUAACUAAUCAUGCUCGAGUGGUUUGAAUGCUCAUUAUUAUUGGUGUGUGUAAAAGUGCGAACAAACAACUCAUCUAAGGCCAUUUUGAAAUGCACAAACUUUACUUUCUUUGAUUAAUAUUCUCUCGAGAGCAUCGCUGAGCUACUAUCUAUAGUAAACGACCAAGUUUAUUAUCGAUUUGUUUUUUAUUAUAGAGCAUUCAAAUCAACAAUAUGUAUUGUUAAAUAUGAUUUAGAAUAUUUAAACUAUUUAAAAACUAAAUUUUAUAUUUUUUCGAUAUUACUAACUAAACGAUCGGUCACAAAAUUUAUAAUUUUUAAUGAUCAGUAAGUGCAAUGCGUUUGCUUGCUUAACAGUAUAGAAGAAUUCAAAUCAACUGAAUUAUUAUUAAAAAUUCUUUAAACUAUUUAAACCAAGAUCUAGAAUUUAGAUCUAAAAUAUAAAAAUUGUAUCAUUAUUUUCUAAAGAAUAUUUAUUUUCAGUUAUUCAUUUUACGUCCACUUGAUUGACGAGAGAACAAUAUCGAAAAAGUAUAAAAUUUGCUUUUCAGAUAGUUUAAAUGAUCUAUAUCAUAUUCAACUGUUCCGAUCGUCGAUUUGAAAGUUCUAUUAUUGAAAACAAAUUGAUAGUAAACUGGGUCGUUUAUUAUGGAUAGUAUUCUAAUAAAGCUCUUCUCACACAAAAGUUAAUAACUUCAUUGAAGAUAAACACAAUUUGAGAGGAUGAAAUGGAAAAUAAAAAAUAGGAAUACAAGUUGACGAUCGGUAUCGUUAAACAUAAUCUAAACCAUUUAAACUAUCUAAAAAUUAAAUUUCACGCUUUUUCGAUAUUGUUCUCUUGUGGCUGAAGGUGAAUAUCUUUUAAAAAUUGAUGAUAUAAUUUUUGUAUUUAAGAUCUCGUUUUAAAUAAUUUAUAGAAUUUUCUAAUAAAAUUUAGUUGAUUUGAACUUUUUUAUAUCGUUAAAAUUAUAGAUUUAUUACCUUUUGAUCGUUCGGUUAGUAAUGUUAAAAAAAUCAUAAUAUUUGAUUUCUAGAUAGUUCAAAUGGUCUAGAUUAUAUUCAACGGUGCUGAUAAUCGAUUUUGAAGCUCUAUCAUCAUAAAUAAAUCAAUAGUAAACCGGGUCAUUUACUACUGAUAGUAGCCUAGUGAAACACACGCACUCUCUCUCUCUUUCUCUCUCUCUCUCUCUAUAUAUAAAUUAGGAGAAACUUCAAAUAUCACCCUAGUGGUUUCGCACUUUUUCACUUUAGUACUCUGUGGUUGAAGGUGUAUCACUUUCGUAGCCUGUGGUUUUAUUUUUCUCUUUUUAUUAUUCUCUUCACUAAUUUAUUUGUUAAAUUAGUAACAAAGUUUAAAGUAAAGAGUAUUAAAGUGAAUAUUUGAUAAAUUAUAGGUGGGUAUUUGAAGUUUUUUGUAUAUGAUUUGACGAAAAGUUAACGGAGGGGUUCACAAAAAGAGAAAAUAAAACCACAAGGUACUAAAUUGAUUCACUUUAAAUCAUAAAAUACUAAAGUAAAAAGUGCAAUACUAUAAGGGUGGUAUUUGAAGUUUAUCUAUAAAUUAGGGAAAACUUCAAAUACCCCCCUUGUGGUUUCACUUUUUCUCACUUUAGUAUCCUGUGGUUUAAAAUAUCCUGUGAUUUUGCACUUUUUCACUUUAAUACCCUGUGGUUUAAAGUGUAUCAAAUUAGUACCAUGUGGUUUCGCACUUUAUCACUUUAGUACCAUGUGGUUUAAAAAUCAUAGUGUACUAACUUGAUACAAAAAUAAAACUACAUGAUAUUAACUUGAUAUAAAAAUAAAACCAAAUGGUACUAACUUGAUAAAAAAAUAAAACCACAGAGUACUAACUUGAUACACUUUAAACCACAGGGUACUAAUUAAAGUGAUAAAGUGAGAAACCACAGAAUACUAACUUGAUACACUUUAAACUACAUGAUACUAAGUGAAGAAGUGCGAAACCACGGGGGGGUUUUCGAAGUUUUUCCUAUAAAUUAUAUAGUUGAGUAUUCUCAGUGCACCUACUUCAUCAUCAUCAUUAAAUUUGUAAGCGACAGUACAUACACAGCGUCGGAACGCAGCGGCGACAUCUAUGCCCUGCUUUUUGUUUCUUUCUCGAGUGCACUUUUCAAAGAUCUGUUAAAGUAAGAAAAUAAUACCCCUCCUUUUUUUUUUCUUUUUUUUUUUUUAACUAAGUUGUUAGCAAAAAGAUCGGGCUGUCAAACGUAAACUAUGAAAAUCAAAAUCGAUCAGACUGUUAAAAAUUGAGCAUGCAGGCAUAAACUUGUAAAUAGGAAAGUUUAAAAUUAGAAAACAAAAGUUUAGUGGGGAGCUUUUCAGCGACGCCUUAUUAGGGAAUUCGAUUCGAACGCCACAUGUUGCUUUUAUUUCUAUUCAAGAAAUAUAGUUUUUUAAUAUAGAGUUCAUUUGUUUAAAAAAUUUCUACAGCAGAUCGGAGGCUUUCUAAUGAAGCAUCGUUUGCGGGCUUUCCACUAAAAUUUUAUUCUAAAAUUAGCCCCAGCACUAUCUUACACGAAAUAUUGAUUCAAUUGAAAACAAAGUUAUAAAUUAUAUUUAACAUGCUUUUUGAUUUAGCUUUUGUUGGCUCUUUUCAUUAUUAAGCUUUUGUUUUGGCUUGGCGAGAGGUUUUCUUUUUAGAUAAUUAUUUAAAUUAAAUGGUUUGAGAAAAGCAUUCAAAAACCUUUUUUUUUAAUAUAAAAUAAUAGCUUAAAUAUUUAUAGACACACACCAUUGUUUCACAUGAUAGCUUCCCAUUUUAUUAACUGAUUCUUUUGUUUUAUUAUAUUUUUAGUUUAAGUCUCAGCCCAGUCAAAAAACCCCCUGAGCUUAGGCUUAAUUCUAAUAAUAAUCUCCAUCAAAAACUCCGGAGCUCAAAUACGAGACAAGGUUUUGAAUAUAAACAAAGGUAAACUUCAAAUACCAUCCCUAUAGUUUCGCACUUUCUUACUUUAGUAUUCUGUAGUUUAAAGUGUAUCAAGUUAGUGUCAUGUAAUUUUUGUUUUAUCUUUUCGUCUGCUUUUCUGUUAAUAUUUCGCUAAAUUAUAUAAAAAAAUACUUCAGAUACCCCAUCUAGAUUUAUCGAAUAUUUACUUUAGUACCCUUUAGUUUUAACUUUGUCAUUGAUUUAAUGAAAAAAAUUCGUGAAAUCGAUAAUAAAAAAAUAAAAAUAAAACCACGGGCCACUAAAUUGAUAUAUUUCAAACCACAGGAUACUAAAAUGAGAAAAUAUAAAAUUACAUGAGUGGUAUUUGAAAUUUUCCCUAUAAAUAAUGAAUUAGAAACCCUACAAACUUGUUAUUAUGAAAACUCUGAAGCUUUGAAUAUAACCAAGUAAUUAAGUUUCUGCAAACAAUCGGUUAAUUUACAAGCUUGUUAUUUACAUAAGAAGAUGCUCUGAUUCUUUAGCUAAGAAAAUAAUAACUUUGGUUCUUUUCAAAUUACAUUGAAGUAUUGUUCGGUUUUCCAUAUCUUUUAUUUAAUUAAUUAAUUAAUUUGUUUUUUGCUGUACUAUAAAAUAAGGAAUUUUAUUUUAGCAUAUAAAUAGUGACAGAAGAAGAAGAGUUUAUGAGGACGAGAAUCCAAGAAGAGUUUUUGUAGCCAUUUUGUUGGAUUCAUUGCAGAGCAUUUAUUUUGGAAAGGGAUAGAAAAGAACAAACUGUGCUUUAUCUGAGUGCUUGUUGACUUACUGUAGUAAAAAAAAAUAAACAUUUUUUCUUUUUUUACUUUUUAUUUUUUUUUGUGCAUGUGAUUGAAAGCGUACAUAUUCAUCAUGCGAGAGAGAUAAAACUUUAGUGGAGAGCUCUCCGACGAUGUUUUAUUAGGAAGAUUUUGAUAUGCUUUUAUGUGUCAGUUUUGUCUCUACUUAAAAUUUCGUUUGGUAUUUUGUUGGUUAAAUACUAAAUUUUGUUACUUUAUUUAAGAUUUUGAAGAAUAAAAGUUAAUUUAUAUUAGUUAAUAUGAUAUCAAAAUUAAAGAUUUUGUGCUUAAAUCCCCACCAAACUCCUAAUUUGAGUUCACAUCCUAUCAAUAAAGAUUAAUUAAUAUGAUAUCAGAUUACAAGAUUAUGUGCUAAAAACUCCACUCCUUGUCACAUUUAGUUUUCUUUAAUUUAAUUUAUGUUUGCGCCAUGUCAAAAAAGUUUUAAUCUCAGAUGUGAGGAAAAAUAUUUUUGUUGAAUAUAUAAAUAUUAAAGCAUCAAUCUUUGCUAAUUCAACAUAUCUUUUCUUAUUAUUCACUCUAGGUCGGCGUGAUUUAUCCAAAAGAAAAAUGCUAUCUGGACACUCCGGUUGUAAAUCUUGCACCAUUGCAUCCAAGGGUCUAGACAAGUCCUUUGAAUUUUUAGUUUAAAGAAAAAUGAAAGAAUUAAUAAGAUAAGUGUGAAUAUAGAACAUACAAAGUCUAAAAUAUAAAAUUUAUAUUUAUAUUAUAGGUGUAUAAAUAGCAUUCCUCUCUCUACCCGAAAGUAACGGAUUGUUUGGUUCAAGGUUUGUAAAUAUUUCAGAAAUAAUGAAAAAAAAAAUGAACUAACAAUUCCAAAAAAAAUGAGAGCAUAAAACUGUAAUACUGUAAUUAUUCAAAGGAUUGAUUUUUAAUAUUUUUAUUUUCAUUGAUUAUUUUUGCAAGUGGCACAUCAUUUCUCAAUUGACAAUGUCAAUUAUAGAAUGGAUGAUUGGAGGUUAAAUGUACACCUAAUUCUCAUGUGCCAUCAUAGUGUUUUUGAGCAAAUCACAAUGUUUUUGGGCCUUUUGUGGUUCCUCUUAUUUUGUGCCCUAAAUUCUUAAGUGAUAUGAUAAAUUCCUCAAUAAAGUGAUAUGAUGGACACCUAUCUUUUCUCAUAAAACAAGAGAGAGAGAGAGAGAGACUCAUUGAACUUAUAGUAAUAUUCUAAAAUAUGACCCCACACACCUUCAUCUAUAUUUCUAAUCAAUUAACUUAUUAUUUUGAAUUCAUGCAUUCCAUCACAUUUUUUUAAUAUUUUUAUUAUAUUAUUUAAAAAAAAGUGAUAAAAAUGAUAUAGUGUAACUGGCACACAGAAGGCAAUCUCGAACUCAUCAGGCUACUCGCCUCAUAAUCAUUUUUUAUUAUAAAUAUUAUAAAUAAAUAGAUUUUCUUAGUCAAUUAGUUUUAGAACUAUUUUUAACCUGCAGUUUAUUAAAUUGAUCUUUCGAGCUAUUCGACACCGAAGCAAUCCAAAGCUGUAUCAUAUUCUAUUAGUUUGGUUUUUCGAGGAAUAGCAAUGAGUUUUAACACUAUACCUGCUUCAUCUAUCCAAUCAUCUGUAUUGUUUGAUGAUCCAGUUUCAUCAUAUUAAUUUAUGUUUAUACCCUACAACAAGGUCAAAAAAGAGUCUGAAUCGAGUAGCUUUCGAUAUAUGUUUAACUUCUAAUAUAGCAGAAUUUAUAAAAAAGAUUAUUAUAUAUACAAUGCUAAUUAUAGUAACUUAAAAAAAAACUCUUAAUUAAGAAUUUGUCACAUGAAUUAGUGUAACUAAAUUGUUAUAUACUUUCUUCUUUUUUUUUUUGUGGGCCAACUUCUUCAUGAACUGUUAUAAUUUAGGAAAAACUUUAAAAAUCUCCUGUGGUUUCGUACUUUUUUAUUUUAGUACCCUGUGGUUUAAAGUGUAUUAAGUUAAUACCAUGUGGUUUCGCACUUUCUCACUUUAGUACCAUGUGGUUUAAAGUGUAUCAAGUUAGUAUCCCAUGGUUUUAUUUUUGUAUCAAGUUAGUACUCUAUGAUUUUUAAACCAUAAGGUACUAAAGUGAGAAAGUGCGAAAUCACAUGGUACUAAAGUGAGAAAGUGCAAAACCAUAUGGUACUAACUUGAUACACUUUAAACCACAGGAUACUAAAAUAGAAAAGUACAAAAUCACAGGAUACUAAUUUGAUAUACUUUAAAUUACAGAAUAAUAAAGUGAGAAAAAGUGAAACCACAUAGGAGUAUGUGAAAUUUUCUCUAUAAUUUAAUGCCACAAAGAUGACAAAAACCAGAAACCAAGAAGCAACACAUCAAAUGGGAUUAUCAUUAAUGCAUUGCAGCAUAGGUUCCCUCAACAUAGAUGGGACCCAGGGCGUUAUCAUUUGCCCUGCUGAAACUUCUGAAGCAUUGUUCCAACAAUAAAGUAAUUGGUUGAAUAAAAUAUUAUUUAUUGUAAUUAAAAUCUUUUUUUUUUAUUUUUAGUUUUUACUUUUUAGCAGUAAGAAGAAAAGACAGAGUUCCAUGGUAUGGUACUCUCUGUUAAAGGGUUAUUGCAGUGGUGCUCCUAGAAGGACCCCCAUAUAAAAAUUCAUUUCAUAUUUUCUCAAUUCCUCUAAAUUAGAAAGAUGGAUAUACUGUUAGAGUAGGGCGGUUAACGACUAGCUGGCUCGUAAAAAUAUCGAGCUGAAAAAUUUUACUCAUACACGAUUUGUUUACUAACAAAUUAAACGUGAGUUAGCUCGUAAGCAACAAGCUAGAUUGUUAGCAUUAUUACUGGGUGAAAAGUUGAAUGAAAAUUAAAAUUUUAUUCUAAUAACUGAAAUUCAUAAAAUGUAGAUAUCUUUAUAUUUGUAUUGUUCUAAAAUUCAAAUAGUAAAAAUUUGUUUUAUAUAUAUAUAUAUAUAUAUUUGAGCUAUCUUGAACCGAACACCACCGAGAUGAUUCCACAUUGUAUUUAGCUCGUUAAGAUUUUGAGCCAAAAAAAUCAGCUCUUGUUCGGCUCGUUUAUUAAACGAACAAUUAAUCUCGACCUCAUUUCGAGUUGAGCAUUAGUUGGUUCAUGAACAACGACUGAAUUGCUAGCUCUAGCUAGAUAUGUCACUAACAAAAAGCAGAAGCUAAAAAUAAAUAAAUAACUCACACACACUUUAGCUUCAAUAUUCUGAAACAGAAAAGCUCAGUAGAGCUUUUCUGCUUACAAAAACUUUUAAUAUUUAUUUGUGACAUAAUCAUCAAUUAUUUUUUUUAACAUCUUGAGAAAUUAGACUAAGUACACUCUGAGGCCCAGCUUGAGUACUGGUUGAAUAUUAAUUACCACUGCGUAGUAUUCCUAGGAUUCCUUUUGAUUGGUAACAAUGCUGUAAAAAUUUAAGAGAAUCUAUAUUUUUCUAUGUGGGGCUUGGAGAAGUACAUGACGGGCUUCUCAGGAGAACAAAUGUUUAGAAGGGAACCAAUUAAGAAGAUUUAAUAGAAAAUAUAAUCAAAAUAAAAAUUCAAACUCAUCUGCUAUCAGAGAUUGAUCUUCUAAUAAAAAAAAUAGUAUAUAUACAUAUAUAGUGUAAAGCUACUGUACUAUUGAAAAUAUAAUAGAGUUGGUGUUUCUAACUUUCUAGCCCUUGGAUUAAGAAUUAUAAGGUUGGAAUGAUAGUGGUCGUUCCCCUUAGGAUUAAGUUGUCACUCAGGGUAAUAAUAUUAAUCCAAAGAUAAAAAAUAAUUAAAAGGUUUGAUCGAAGUGCCAAAAAGUUGANAAAUAAGUACCAAACUUUUUAUACUUCCGAAAGUAUAGUAACUCUACUCUCUCUCUCUCUAUAUAUAUAGAGAGAGAGAGAGAGAGUCUGACAUACUCUUAUAAUCGGAGACCACUAUCAUCUUAAUCGCACAUCCCUUCAUCUAAUGAUCGAGAACUUAUGAGUACAAAGGGGUCUAUACUCAUAAAAGUAUAGUAGCCCCAACCUAUAUAUAUAUAUACACACACUAAUUGAGUAUACGUGCAAAUACACGUAACAAUUAUUUUAAUUUAUUUCAAAUCAAUAUAAAUGUGCACAUAUAUUUAUCUAAAAAUUUACAAUAAAAAUUAUAUUUUAUAAAUUCAUAUGUUAUAUUUUAUUAGAAAAUAUUUGCAAUAUCCUAUAUUGUUCUUUCUUAUAUACAUUGAUUUUUUUUUAUAUUUUUUGAUUUUUAAUGAAUUUAAAAUUUAAGUAUGUGUUUUAAACUAACAGUAUCUAAAUUUAAUUUACAUUUUACUUUAAAAUUUAAAAUUUAAUUUUGAUCCACUAUAAUUAAAUUUUUUUAUUAUUAAUUCAAAUUUGAUAUCAAAAAUUAAAUUUAAUUCACAAUUUAAACUCAAAUUUUAAUUUUAAUUUAAAUAUAUGGAUAGAAAUGUUAUUUUUUAACAUAUUGAUCAUAACCGUUCAUUUUUAUUUGAGAUAUUUUUUAACAAAUUGAUCAUAACCAUUUGUAGGAUUGACUUCAUGGAUGGAUAGGAAUAACCAUUUUUUAACAGAGUGAUCAUAAUCAUUGAUUCUUAUUUGAAAUAUUUUUUAAAAAAUUGAUCAUAAUCAUUCGUAAAAUUUAAUUUUUUUUUAUUUUGUUUGUCAUUGUAAGAAUUUCUAUACGCAUAUAUAUAAUCUUAAUAUUCUCACUCAUGUGUACGGUGAAGAUCCGGUGAAGAUCCAUAUGAACGAUACGCAUGUACUAUUUGGAGAAGGCUUUAGACUGACUCUCGUACUAUCUUAUGCAAAGAUUACUCUUACAAAAGAAGAUUAAUUGCAUGUAGCUCUCCAUAAACAUAUCGAAUAGCAAAUAUAUCUCUACAAAGUUCAUUUUUUUUAUAUUUAUCUCUGUAAAAGUUCUAAUAUUUUCAAAUAUAUCCCUGUUGUUAGGAUCCGUUAAAAAUAUAUAUAUAUAGCUAACCAAAGGUAAAAUAUUUAAUCAUAGUUAGUGAAUAAAGUAAAGGCUAAAUUACAGAAAACCCCCCUAUCAAUACCCGCUUUUUCACUUUCCCUCCCGUCAUUUAAAAUCCUGCACUUUGUCCCAUUGAAAAAUGAGAAAUGUUCACAGGGGAGAACACCGUGACAAAAUGAUCAAAAUGCCCCUCACCAUUUUCGUCUUCUUCCCCAACCUCGCUCAGUCGUUGCCCCUCCUCUUUGAUCCGUUCUUCGCGCCUCGCUCAACCACAACUCCGACUCCAUUUUCCUCCACAUGCUCUCCUGCUCUUCCUACACUCGCGUUGCCUCUCCAUUUCGGCGACGAUAGGGAGGAGAUCGAAGUGGGCAUGGAUGGAGAGGCGUGUGAGGGCGAGGGCGAGACGGUGAAGGAGCACGAAAGUAUGUGUGUGGACGCGAAUGGAGGGAUGGGCGAGGGCGAGGCGGCGGAGGAGGGCGAGGCGGCGGUGUAGGGUGAGGCGGCGAGGAAAGAGGCAGCAGGGAGGAGAGGGUAUUUUAGGUAUAAAAAAUAUAUAAUAAUUGAAUAUAAACGGAACCCUAAUGGAAUACUGACGGCGGGAGGCCAAAGUGAACAUUUCUCAUUUUUCAAGGGGGGCAAAGUGGAGGUUUUUAAAUGACAAGGGAGUAAAGUGAAAAAGCGGGUAUUGAUAGGGAGGUUUUUUGUAAUUUAGCCUAAAGUAAAUUGACCUUUUUACCCCUCUUGUAUUAUUUGUGAUGGUAGAAAAAAAAAAUGGCCAUUGAAAAUUUUUGGGAGGACAUAUCUGUAUAAUUCUAACAGUUGGGACUUUUGGAGGGACAUAUUUAUGAUGGCAAAAAUGUCAUUUCACUUAUCUUCUGUUAUAGAAUAAACAAUGCUCUAACGAUAACAAACCAGAGAGGCACAUAUGAAUCUCACUAGACUUUCGCAGGGAUAAAUAUGAAAAGUUAAACUUUCUAGGGAUAUAUUUGCUAUUCGAUAUGUUUACGGGGAGCUGUAUGAAAUUAACCCUAUUAAAAAUGACUCACAAAUAUUAAUCUUAGUUACUGAAAACUCUAUUUCGUAUGAUAUGUUCUGCUCUUUUGCAGAUCGUGAAGGAAGAGGAAUUACAAGGCCGACGAACCGCCGUCUAUAAUCCGUCUUUAGAAAUCAAAAAUCACAAUAGAAGUUACGAUUUUUUUUUUUUUGAGAGAGAUAGGUAGCACGCAACCCGCUUCGUUUAUUUCAUUUAGAAAUAAACUUAGCUAGAAAUGUGAAUCAACUAGGAUUCGAACUUGGGUCUCGGGUACCAACCACCAAGCCCUUUGCCACUUGCUCUAGGGACGGUCGGUGAUAGAAGUUACGAUUUUAAUAUUAAUAUAACGUAAUAGCCGCAAUGUGACUAAUAUUGCCUACUUAUUCGUAAGGUACUAAUUCAACUGCAAUGAUAUAAAUGCUAAAAUGUUGACUAACUUACACUUUUGGCUCAAACUUUCUAUAUUAUUGCAACUAAGUCUCGCAGCCUACACUACCACAUCAGUAUCUAGUCAACUAAAUUAAGCGGGUGGCGCUUUGAUUGUAAUAAUUUUAAAAAUUUGAGCCAUCAUAAAUUAUAACAAAUCAAAGUUUGGGGACCAAAGUAUUACUCGAUUCAUAGUGUGAGGACCCAAAAAACAAUUUAGCCUAAAUAUUCCUAACAGUUGGCAAAGUACUCGGGAAUGUUCACAUGCAACUCAGCCAUACACAUGAGUCCAUUUUAAUGUGCACUGGACUAGCUAUGGUUCAGAUCUCCUUGUUGGCCUUUAUAGAGCUUGAAACAAAAUUAUGCUCCUCUUGGGGUAUCUGGGUGUUUGCAAAAUACCAUUUUUAGGGUUUUUAUUUUAUUCUUAUUUAUUUGUUUUUCUUUCAUCUGACAAUUACAGUAGAUAUAUUAAAGUCAUAAUCAUCAAGUAGCACAGUAUUUAAUAUCUGAUUAGUUUAUGAUCAUUGUUGUCAUCCAAAUGAUUCUAAGUGAUUAAUUUGAAAUGGGGUUUGAUGGAUGAUAUACAGCUUUUAAUUUUCAUGUAAUUAGUUUGGAAUUUUAAGUGAUUAAUGAGUCUUCUAAUUAGUUUCGAAUGGGUAAAAUAAAAUGUUACUUUUUAUUUUUUGAAUUGCCAAACAAAAUAUAUAUUUAGAUGGAUAUAUAUAUAUAUAUAUCACAAAUUACGUGUCAUCUAAUUGUCCAUUCAAUAUAGCAUAAAAUUAAACAUUAAGAAAGAACAAAAAGAAUUAAAAACAGAAACAAUAUUAACUAAAUUAAGAAUCAAAUGUUUAAAAUUUGAUACAAGCUAAACUUAAAUUAUAUGUCAUUUUCUAGUGCAUUCUCAAAUUGAGCUAAAUUUCUACAACCAUGUGUGCAUGCAUGCAUUCAUGCAGAAAAAAGGAAAAAAGACAAAAGUAAAUAAAAAAGGAAAAAAAAAAAAACAUGCAUGAAUCAAACCAAGAUGCACAAUUGGUGAAAGUUCAUAAUUAUUUGUCAAAAUAAUGUUUAUUUAUUAUUUUGUAGCCUUCAAAAAAAAAAAAACUUUUUCGAAAGCCAGGUCAACAUAAUUAAAACGUGUUAAACAAAAAAUAAUUAGCUAUUUUUAUUUUUUUUCCCCUUAAUUUCUUCCACGACCGUUAGAGAUGUUAGAACAAUUCAUUGAAUAAACCCAAGUCCUACACAUUUUUAAUAGGCUUACUUUUAAGUUUUCUUUAUAUAUACAUAUAUAUACAGACCCUAUUAUGUAUGUAUACAUAUAGUCACUUAAUUAUACAGCGCGAUUAAUAAAUAAAUGAUAUAAUAAUUAACAUGACGUGAUCCAUUUCAUUUAUUAUAAUCACGUUUGUUGCAUUACGUUUGUUUCAUUAUUUGACACCUUAAGGAAAAUGGAAAAUAAAUACACCCCUCCUCGAUCAACGUUUCUCUACGCAUCUCUAAGCUCUCUCUUUGGCCCCUUCUUCUUUGGCCCCAUCCCUUUGUUCUUUAGAUGCUCUCUUCCUCUUCGUCCUCUGUAUAACACCCUAAGUAGCUAUAAAAUGAUCAUGUUAUUUAUAUAUAUAAUUAGAUUUAAAGUUCAAUUUGUAGUUAAAAAAAAAGUAUAUUUUUUGAAUUAUUAUUAGCAACAAAGUAUGUUGUAUGUUUCUUGUUCACAUAUUUUAUGUUAAGUCAAAAGUUUCAUGGUUUCGGAGGUUAAACUUGUGGAUUUGAGAAAAACAUAACAUCAUCAUUUAUUUCGACACUGAAGUCAUAAAUUUACAUAAACUAUCACUAACAAUUGUACGGUGAUCAACCUUUUGACUUCGGUAGGGUGAGAAGUGGAGUAGUUCAGUUUUUGUUUCGAUACUAAAGUCGUGAAAUCAUUUAAGUUAUUACUAACAAUUGUAUAGAAAUUAGCUUUUUGACUUCAGUGGGGUGAGAAACAAAGUCCAAUUUUUAUUUCAACACUGAAGUCUUACUAAUGAUUAUAUGGAGAUCAGCCUUUUGACUUUGGUGGGGUGAAGAGAGAAGCCAAUAUUUUUUUUGACUCUGAAGUCGUGAAAUCACUAAGUUAUCACAACAAUUAUAUAGAGAUCAGCCUUUUGACUUUGGUGGAGUGAGAAACAAAGUCCAGUUUUUAUUUCGACACUGAAGUCGUGAAAUCAAUUUAACAAUUAUACUAACGAUUGUACAAAGAUCAGCUUUUUGACUUUGGUGGGGUGAGAAGUGAAGUUUAGUUUAUAUUCCGACGCUGAAGUUGUGAAAUCACUGAGUUAUCGCAAAUAAUUGUAUAGAGAUCAGCCUUUUGACUUCGAUGAGGUGAGGAGCAAAGUCCAAAUUUUGUUUAGACGUGGAAGUCGUGGAAUCACCUGAGGUAUAUAUUAUACUAAUAAUUGUACAGAAAUCAAUCUUUUGACUUUGGCGGGGUGAGGAGUGAAGUCUAUUUAUUAUUUCGACAUUGAGGUCGUGAAAUUUACUGAAUCAUUAGUAAUAACUGUAUAAAGAUUAGCAUUUCGACUUCGAUAGAGUAAGUAACAAAGUUCAGUUUAAUUUCGACGUACGCUAAAGUCGUGAAAUCACAUGAACUUUCACUAACAAUUGUACGGAGACACCGACCGUCCCAGCGCAAGUGGCAAAGGUUUGGUGGUUGGUAUUUGAGAUCCUAAGUUUGAAUCCUAGUCGAUUUAUAUUUCCAGCUAAGUUUACUUCUAAAAAAAUAAACAAAGUGAGUAGCAUGCUACCUUUCUCUCUCAAAAGAAAAAAAAAAUAAAAAAAAUUGUAUGGAGACUACUCGGUGCGUUUCUCAUGUGUUUAUUUUCCCUCUCAACCCGUCCCCUCAUAUCAUCUUAUUUCCCUCCCAAGUCAAACCCUCUCCAACCCCCACUCCUUUUCUCCUCCUCCUCCUCCUCCUCCUCCUCCUCUUCAACACAUCAAUACAACUCAAACCUAGUUAACGAUUAAAAAAUAAAAACAAUAACACAACUAAAAUGGUAGCUACAUUGCAGCAGCAGCAGCAGCAGCAGCAGCAAGAGGAAGAGGGUGGUGGUGAUGGUGGGAUCAGCAUAAACAACAACGUGGACCUGCUGGCGGAGAUCCUGGGCCGGCUGGACGCGCGAUCCCUGGCGGUGGCCGCCCGCGUCUGCCGCCUCUGGGCUGCCGUCACCCGCCGCCGCAUGCCCUCACCCUCCCCCUCCCCUGCCACCCGCUCCGUCGUCACCGCCCUCGGCGGGUACGUACCUACUGUUGAAUAUAAAUAUUAAAAAUACUCGCCGCAAGAAAAUCAAUAUUCGAGGACGCUUUUCUCCCGAUAUUUAAUGAUAUCAAAAUAAUUUGACGUCAUAUUUGAAAGUGUUGGCAAAUUAUAUUCUAAAGCUUUAAAGCAUUCGUUCAUUUGACGACACUUUUGAAGCGUCGGUAUUUACUAUAUUGUGAAGAUGAAUCUUUGUUUUUUUUAUUUUAGUAUUUAAUAUAUUAUUGGAGCAAAAAGCCUCCAACUUCUUCCCAGAAUUAGGAGGAAAAGGAGUUGUUCAAUAUCCAACUUAUUCAGUUUAAGAAUUUAUGUAUUCAACAUUGUUCUUUGAAGAGUGUUUUAUAUAAAUUGUAAUUAAAAACUCCUUUUUUUAAUAACUUAGAGAUUCAAAUUAUUUAGGGUAAACUUCAAAUACCACCUCUGUGGUUUCGCACUUUCUCACUUUAAUAUUCUGUGGUUUAAAGUGUAUUAAGUUAGUGUCCUGUGAUUUUAUUUUUAUCUUUUCGUCAGUUUUUUCGUUAAUAUUUUAUUAAAUUAUAUGCAAAAACUUUAGAUACCCCAUCUAGGUUUAUCCAAUAUUCUUUUAGUAUUCUUUAGUUUUAACUUUGUCACUGAUUUAACGAAAAAAAUUAGUAAAAUCGAUAAUAAAAAGAUAAAAAUGAAGCCACAGGAAACUAAAUUAAUACACUUUAAAUUGCAUAUUUUACUGUUUAUAUUUGGGUUGGGUUAGUUUCUUCAAUAUCCACCUACCUAAUAGAUUGUUAGUUUCAUAAUUAGUCCUUCAUAUUAUGAAUUAUUAUUGAUGCCCUCUUUUAUAUAUAUAUAUAUAUAUAUAUAAAAUUAGGCUAGAAUACUAUUAAUAGUAAAAUGCUCUUUUUGCUAUCAAGUUUUUAAUCUUUGGAUGAAAAAUUGUAGGGUAAGAAUGAUAUUAGUCGGUUAGAGUUGAGUGGUCCCCACUGGGUUAUAGUAUUUAAUCCAAUGGCUAGAAAUAAUAAUGAAAAGAGUUGAUCCAAAGACUAAAAAACUGGUAGCAACAAUNGUGCACCUAUAUCUAUAUAUAUAUAUAUAUAUAUAUAUAUAUAUAUAUAUAUAUAUAUAUAUAUAUAUUAAAGGGUCUAAGGUUUAGGCUUUGUGUUUAGGGUUUAGAUGUGGGAUCCGUUACAACAUAGGUACGUUUCUUUUUUCUUUUUAUUUUUUAUUUUUUACCACUACAUUUAACCAUUUUUAUUUUGUUUAGUUGAUUAGCAAAAAUAAUUUAAAAAAUAGCAAAAAGUUAGAAGUUAACAGGAUGUCCACCAAAAAUUUUAAAAAAAUUAGCAAAAUUGAAGGGCCCAUUCCAAAAUACCUGUAUUGAGGGGGUUUUCAUAUAAUUUUUCCCAAUUAAAUUGAACUAGGAUUCUCGUGGGAUUUAAAUUCACAACCUCCGCUCCAAAUUAUACAAUUUUUUUUCUCUAAAAACUUAAAUUUCAUUAAAUAGUUGUCUUUUAACAUUUUUUUAUAUAUUCGACAGGUAUCGCCGCCUCUACCGCCGUUGCCUCGGCCCGGCCCUAGACCGGCUCGACGGGCGGCGAACCGCGCUGAACCGGUGGGCCGGUGAGCCGUGGCCCAUUCAUUUGGACCGGGCCGAGGCCCAGGCCCAGUUGUCGGUCUCGCUCUCGCUCUUCCUCUCGCUCUUCUCCAUCGACUGCUAUGAGCGGCUCGGCCCGGCACGGCAACGGCCGGCAUCACUGCUGUUCCUGUGCAGGCCCGUCGACUUAGCGAGAUCUGGGCCGUAGAAAUUAGAGUUGGGCCUUUUCCUCGGGAUUGGUGCACUGGGCUUCUCUAUUUUCAUUUGCUGAGCAUUAUUAAGUAGUAUUAUAUCUGCUAGUAUAAUAAUAAUAAUAAAUAUUAAGAGCAUGAGAGAAUAUUUAUGGUGCAGGAUAAUAAUUCUUUACAUUCAUUCAUUUCAUAUAAUAACUGAGUUCAUCUUUUAAGUUCGUUGUUCAUUUUGCACAUCUUGUUAGUUAUAAGUUAGUACACAGAAUUAAAGAUAAAAAUUUUGUAGAAUUCGUCCAUUACUUAUUUUUGUGUAGGAUGUUUCUCGAGUAGAGUCACACGAUUGAUUGGAUUUGGCCCUUAAAUCAUGCAUACAAUUGGGGCGUCUUUUGAGUGUUGCGUGGGACAUGUCUAGCACAGGGCCAUAGCGUUGUUUGGACAGCUUUUUCAGAUCAUGUGCACAACCACACGAGGGAUUUUAAGUGGCGAGUCCAACAUAGGCAGCGUUUCCUUUUUUUUAUCGCCUCCGAGUUGAUUCUCAAAUUCAAUUAUGGAUCAGAAGUUUAUCUUUCAUUCUUUUUUAAAUUUUUUUGUAUGAUAGUAUUGGAUAAUACACGAAUAUUAAUGCAUCGCAGAUUUAAUUGGUCAUUAACUAAUUUACCACUUCUUUCCAGUAAAACGAAUUAUCUAAACUGGUGUUUAAAUGAUAACUGAUACCUAAAUGAGCUUUUAAAUUCUGGUGGAAACACAUUAAUAAUUUUCUUUUAUUUUUCGGCUAGAUUUUGGCCCUUGAGAUGCACAUUAAAUAACCAAAACGAAAAGAGGAUGGUCUCUUUUUUCCAUUAGAAUGCUUGGGUUUUCUUUCCGAGGAAAACAUGUACUCAUACAAUCAAAUCAAACUUCAAUGCGUAGCAAUAAUUAAAAAACGCCUAACACAUAAAAUUACAUUGGAGGAAAAAAAGGAAAAAGGAAAAAGGAAAAAGGAAAAAAAAAAAGAAAAAGAGAAAAAAAAAAAGAAAAAGAAGCAACAAUCUAUCUGCGACUGAGAGGAUCCUCUUCCACCCUUACCUGCAACAGGAAAAUGUAAAAUAUAAGAAAAUCGUAAAAGAUUUAUCAGAGGAAUCGUGGUACCUUCCGAAUAAAGAAUAACCACGGAGAAAGAUGAAACAAAAAGCAUCCUUACCUGUAACAAGAAAACAGAAGAUCUAUUACUCAAAACAAAAGACUCAGCUUUGAAUCCGGAGAAAUUGUAUGACAUAUUCCACAGAGAAACUGCAACUUUUUUCAAAGAAAAAUAUUCCUCCUUCGGAUGAGGCUUCUUUCCCGCAACUUAAAGAACUUCAGCGGAAUCAUGCAUUAACUCAUCAUUUUGCAAUGGAAAUGUUAUGUCGGGAACCUCCUCGAUGCUUUCGACAGGCUAAAGCAAAAACACAGCAAAUUUUAUCAAACAGAGUUGCAAGUGCAACGAAGCUUUCUCGUAUAAUAAUCCUGUUAAAAUGGCAUAGGAAAUGACAUCAAAUGGAAACAAAGGGCAGCGGGACACAAUUACCUGCCAAAGUUCGAGAAAGCGCCAUAAAAGAAAAUUGACUAACAUGACCAGGCAGAAAAGCUUGCCUGCCCAAGCUCCGCAUCUAAGGUACCUAUGAAAUGCGGAUGGAAAAAGAAAAGUACAUCAUUGUGAGUUAAAUAGUAGUCAAUUAUGUUGGACCAUUUAUUCAGACAACCUUCAAGAGCAUUCCCCAUAGGUUUAUUCUGCUUUAGGAAACUCGGAAUAUGAACAAUGAAGGUGCAUAUAAUAUGCUUACCUCGGAAGGCGUUCCAGCAGAUUCUUGUUUGAGGAGUGAAGUGCAUGAUCAUACACAAUCUCCGUUCUUCUGGCCACGUCAUGCCAACUGUAGAGGCUUUUCAUCUAAUGCAGAUAAUCAGGGAAAAAAAAAAGGGAAAAAGAAAAGGUUUCCAUUAUGGAGAUUCCCACAAAUAUCACUGCACAGAGGUUGUGUGUAAUAGAUGAAUAUUGUAGGUUCCUUCAAUAUGUCAAUAGGCUCACUAACUACUGAAAACCAGAUCUAAGUACAAUAUGCAAGGGUUAAAGACUUACACGGAGGUGCAUGGCAUGUGGAUCUAUAUAAGGUAGCAUGUCGAUUGCCUUUUUAACAGCUCUCACCAUAUCACUUGGAGCUGGUUCUGCUAGUACUAUCAUGUCAUCUGGUAGAACCUGCCAAAAAGAAUUGGUAUUACAUAUAGAAUUGGUAGUACUAUAAUAUCACUGCAAUAUAACUACAGAAAAAUAUGGCAUAUGUUGCAUCCACACGAGAUAGAUAAAAUUUGCCAAACUUGCAUGCCUCUGGGACCCCUCCAACCCUUGUGCUCACUGUUAACAAUCCACAACUAGCAGCUUCCAAAAUUGCUAUACAAAAGGCUUCUGUAAGCGAGCUGCAAUGAAAAGAUCAUCAAAAGUACAUUCUAUUGAUAGAAAUCAUAACACAUGCAUACAUAACAUUUUAUGGCAAUAAAAUAUACUACAAGAGUAAAUUAUAGGCUGAAUAGCAUAAGUAUACAAGUUUCCUUGAACUUAAGAAAUACAUGUCAAAGUAUAGAGUAUAAACAAUGCUUCAAACUGGAAUGCAUAUAACAUGUAGGCGCUUUAAGGUGGUGAGAACGGGUAAGCACCUAGUAGGCUAGAAAGCGAAAAUACCCAGCCACAACCUCCAAGGUACCUAAGCAAGGUUUUAUGUGCCAGUGACAUGGGUGAUGCUUACUGGCACCUAACACCUCAAAGUUCGGCACCAUGCUGUGCAACACAUAGGCACGGCGAUCAUGUUGCUAGGAUGCAGUGGUGCUCUAUAAGCUGCCUUGUUGCUUCAGAGGAAAAAAAAAUGACCUCCUCUUCUAACUUUGCCUAAGCUAGACACAACAGGUAAGAAGAAACUCUUCUUUAUUGUUUGCAAAUAUAAUGGUGUCUACAAAAGCAGAGGAUUGGCAAGCUCUAGACGUCUAAAACCUACUUCAAAACACUGAUCUGAGUAGGAAUCCUAAUAAGAUCUCUGUUUCGAGGUCUUUGUAAAAUUGUGCAAGUAUAACCACUAUGCUGUUAUACACAUCAAGCAUAAAGACUACACUAAGGGCAUGUUUGGUUCAUGAUUGGAAUAGGAAUGGGAAAUGGAAUUGGAUUGUUUUGGAAUGGAAAAUGGUAAGACGAAUGAUCCAAAAAUGUUUGGUUUAUUAUUGGAAUGGAAAUUGAAAUGAAAAUUUAAAAUUUUUGAGAGAGGGUUUUGAUUAAGAAAGAAAAAAGUGAUGAAGGGAGAAGUGGUAGGUGUUGGUGAAAGAGGAUUUUGAAUAAUUUACUUUGGAAUGAGCCAAUCCGGGAUUCAAAGCCGGAUUGGAUCAUAAAUGGAUUUGGCCAUUCCCAUUCCGGAGUGGAAUGGGAAUCGGAAUUUGAUUCCUAUAAAACAAACGGCAACUAUCGGAAUCAAUAAAUUCCAUUCCGAUUCCAUAGUCUAAAAUAGGUGAACCAAACAUGCCCUAACAUUCUUACCAACUAUAGACCCUCCAUCAAGUAGCGUAUUAUGCUACAAAAUUAUAAACUCGAACUACUAAUGAGGAUAGUCAUAAGCGUACUUAAAGAAAAAGUGACAACCAAAAGGCAAUAAUUUUUUUUCAAAAAAUCUUUUAUAAGAUGUAUAUAUUAUGAAGCAGAAACUGGAUUACUUAAAAAGCAACAUAAGUCAGUAAGUAUAUCAACAGUACAUUUUACAUCAUUAUUUUCAAUACAAAACAAGCAUGGAAAAUAACAGAAGAAUUACCUAUUCAAAAAUAUAUGACCAGAAAUCAGUACAGAUCGUACAUGAGCAUGCUGCACAGCCCCCAACAUUUCAACUCUGUCCUGGAGAGAAUACUUUUCCCUCAUCUCUUCAAGACGCACACGUUUUGGUCCAUCUCCUCCAACAAUAAAGCGGACCUUAACAAAGCGGCCAUGAGUAAAUAAAGUUAGCAUAACAGCUUAGAUGAAGAACAAUAUAAAGUUACGCACAAGCUGAUCAAAAAAAUAAAAAACUCUAAUGCAGAUGUUAUAUAGGCCGCCAAACACUACCAAAGGAUAGUAGUCAACUAAAAUGUGCCAUUUUUCCUUCAGAUUCACCGAUAGAAGAAAACAAUUUCAAUUUGAAAAUCAACUUCCUCUUUUAUUUUUCGUCAUAAUUUCUCGAAAAGAAACCAUCAAAAUCACUUACAUUUGGAAAAAGUCGGCAUACUUCUGGAAUAACUUCAACCAAAAGAUCUGCACCCUUGCGAUAGACCAAUCUACUUAUCACGACGAUAACAAUUUCAUCACAACUAAGGCGAUUAGGGGAGGGUGUAAACAUAGCAGUAUCAACGGCAUUAGGUACUACGAAGACUUUCUCUGGUGGUAUUCCAGAUCUGAGGACAGUGUUCUCCUUGCUCGUAUGCGAGACACAUAUAGCCUGAUCUAUAUCAGCCAAAGUAAACUGCAGCACCUUAUUCAUGUGAAUGCUUCCAACAUCAGCAAAACCAUACAGUGAAUGGUCUGUAAAAACUGUUUUAUAUCCCAUGGUUCUGGCAUGCAUUAAGGCCUCAUGGCACAGCGUCGAAAAAGCUUGAUGCCCGUGCACAACAGAUAUCCUUUCACGAACAAGAAUGGUCCUUACAAUUGGGAGGGUAAAGUAGAAUGUUGGCAAUGUAUUCUGCAUGAUUAAUGCCCUCCAAGGCACGUAAUAUACUUUAAGACCGCCAGUCAUGUACCGUACACCAGAACGUUGUCCAUAUGCAUGUGUCAUGACAACAACCUGAGACAUCAAUUUAUAAAGGCAUUGAUCAAACAACAGAAAGCUAGAACACACUGAUGAUUUAUAGAGUAGAAGAUAAAUUGGGUUUUCAGCUUCCAUUCUGUCAAUUUCCUCAAAGUACAUGAAGUAAAAUAUCAUACGGUAAGCUUCGAUGAGAAAGAAGCUGGAAAUUUUUAGGAGAAAUAUUCGGCAUCUUUUUUCCCGGAGCAAUGAGAAGAGAAAAAGGGCAGAAGCUUUCUCGCCUUCUUUUUACAUGCUAAGCAUUGCCAUGUAAGCCAACUCUCAUCUUAAGUGAAGAAGAAACUAUCUUCUAUCAUCUUCUGCCCCAUAAACCCCCCACCCUAUUCUUUUUGCUAUGUGCCUAGCUACCUGUAAGUUAUUCUUCCUGCUUUCACAUAGCAAAUUAUUCUCCAGUGACUACUCAUUUGUUAAAUAAUCUGUUUGGAAUAUAACUUAUAAUGUCUCUGUCAGGAAGUUCUGAUCUAUCUACUUUUCAAUGAUUUCCACAAUUAUCUUCUAAAACCAUCAAUAAACACAUUUAUUCCCUCAACUCCUAACUAACUAAAUUUCUAUCAAAAUAAACUAUAGAGUUUGGUGUCAAACUGAUUCUUACAUUUGAAAGCACAAGUGAUGCCUCCAGAGUAAAACAAUAUCUAAAUGAUGCUACAUAGGCCUUUGGCUACUGACAUAAAUAUAUGGAUUUAUUUAAAAAGAGUAAAAGCACAAUGAAUGAACUUUAGUUUUGCUAAGAAAUAAAGCAUACAUGAAGACCUUAUGGCCAAGCUUAAGCAGGCAUUGUGACAGAUAAUAGAUGUGACUUUCCACACCGCCAAAAUUUGGGUAGAAAAAAUCAGACACCAUCAAAAUUCUAUGUCUUCUUUGUUGCUUGUCCAUUGCAUUCAGAAAUCCAAGAUCCUGUAAACAAGUCAUGAUGAAGAUUAAAUACAAGAUAUCUUUUUUUAAAAAAAAGGCAUAUUAUUUUAUAAGAAGUUACAGUAGUAAAUAACCUCUGAAGCCUUGGUAUUAGACGAAUAUAAUGCAAGAUCUUUGCAAGUCCUCCUUUUCUUUUGGCAUUACCCACAUUAUCACUGGUUACAUUGUCAGUAGUAGUUGUUAACCAAUGAGAAGCACCGAAUACAUGGUAGGAUUGUUCAUCUGACCUAUCACCCCAGUACAAUAUACAAUUGUUUUGGCAUGAGUGGAUCUUCUCAUAACCAAGACCUAAAUCCUUUAUAAAUUUCUUACCAUCAUACGUAGACUUCGAAAGUGCUGCACUAUUGGGAAAUGCAUCAUUAAGCAAUUCAAAAAGCAGUAAAUGAUUUACUACUCCACCCAUUUAGGCAUUUUAGAUGGAAAAAUAUGCACAAUAAAAGAAAGCUUUGAAAAUUUUGUGCACCAUGGAUAUAGUUCUUAUUUCGCAUCUUCAAGCAACUUGUAAAAGUUUGACGCUCGUACAUUAGGUUCAUCAGUUGGUUCUUGCCUAUCAAGACCUACAUCACAAUUCCCAUGACUCUCAGCUCUGAUAUUUUGCACAUUUGGAAUGUCUUGUUGCGAUGAUGAAUUAUCUGAAUCAUGAUUAUGCAUUCUUAAGGCAUCUCGCAAUAAUCUUUCCAUAUCAUCAUGUACUUGAGUCCAUUUGAUCAUGAGAUGACUCUUGAAAACGUGAGGGAUCUCAUAGAUGAUAAGGUGUGUUGCUAUUAGAGGAAGAGGAGGAUAUGGAUUCUCCAUGACAAACCCAUCAAGUGUCCCUGGAAGAAACCCAUUGUUCACUAGGUGGUCUUUAACUUCCUCACGUGUAUGCCAAUUAAUAUUGGAACAACAUGGGCAUAAUAUUUCCCAUCUUGAGAUGCCAAUUAAAUGCAAAAUUAAGAAAAUCAUUAACCCUAUCAUGUUCCUGACUAAAUCUUUACUAGCAUAUCGAACUUUUAUCCACUAACUUUUCAACAUGUAGGAAACAAAUGCACAAUAGGGGGUCAGAACAAACUACAAAGUAAAUAAAUUACAUUUCAUAGUUCAUCUCAAAUCCAUAUUAUUUAACUCACUUCUAAGCAAUUUAAGUAACAAAUAGACAUUAAAUGACAAAUAUGAAACAAAUUGAAACAUCACAAUAGCACCAUACAAUAUCCAUAUAAACAUCACAUUAGAGUAUUUAAUUCAUCCUCAAGAUGUGACACUCCUAGGAUUUGGAAUAGUCUCAUAUAUAAGAUAUAAUAUAGUUAAACCUCUUAAACCAACUAUAGCAUUUUGGACGGUAGCUAGCUCCAAGUGGUUAAGAGGAUUAAACAUGCUAGGGCUAGAGUAGUUUUAGGAUGGAUCAUGGAUGACCACCUAGGAAGCAAGGCGUCACAGUUAAUAUUAGAAUCAAUCACCAGCUCGAAGUCAGAGAUAAGUCUCGACUGAGCUAGCUUUAUACAACUGAUCGAGCAUGCCUCCCUGCUUGACGGCCAUUGUGGGCGGAGCGCUGCUCCCCACAAAGCUUAGUGAGACGAGUAUCACAUCCCUUGGUGCUUGUGUGUGCUUGAGCCUAACGAGGAAGGGGGAGGAAUGUGACACUUUUAGGAUUUGGAAUAGUCCUAUAUAUAAGAUAUAAUUGGGCUAAACCUCUUAACUCAGCUAUAGCAUUUUGUACGGUGGUUAGCCCAAGAGGUUAAGAGGAUUAAACGUGCUAUGGCUAGAGUAGUUCUAGGACGGAUGACCCUCUGGGAAGCGGGGCGUCACACAAGAACUAGUUUUGUACACAUAAUGACAUAAGGAUCUACGUGUGGGUUUUCUAAGUCAAACUAGAAUUUUAAAAUUGGGAUGAUGGUUCAUUUUGUAUUAAACAAAUUGAUUUUUACUGUUAGAUAUAGUACAACAAAGGUUAUAAGUUUCCGAGCUGCUACCUAUAAUUAAGAAUAAGACUACACAAUUUUAAUGGUUGAUAUGAGGACUUUGAUUGAAGAUUUGAAUAUUAAAAACAAGUAAAAGUAAAAAGUAAUUUUAAUCGUUUGGACUGGUAUUCUGGAACCUGAUUUAGUCAAACUUGACACUGUUUUGUAAAAAUUCUUGAAAAUAAGCAAUAUCCUGUUCUAACUUCAGAAGAAACCAAUAGUAGGUGUUUGUAUGCAUUAUUCUACUUAUAGUGUUGAUCCACUAAGAAAAAAAAAAUCGCCAUGAAUAUCUAAGAAUCUAAGAAUAUGAUAUGAUGAAGAAAAAGGUAGGGAAAAGAUGCCAUUUAGGACGAUCGUAUGUAGUUGUGCAUUUUCACAAUAUAAUCCCAUGAACACUACCUUGUCACGUGUUUACUCAGCUGACCAGCAUUUAGUCCUUUGUUGGUCUAGCUUUCAGAAAAUGUGGGUUUAAGACUAAAGAUUCGAGCAAGCAAAUAAUACUGAAAAAGGCAUUCGUGCAUCCAAACAAAUUCUACAUUGAACGAAUGUAAGAUCACACACAGUUUUGUAAGUUAAACACAUUUCAUUAAUCCAACAAGUAAUCCGAACUAAAAGGAGAACAACAUUUCGCCUUUUUCGCUGUACUGCUUCCACCACCAAUCAAAGCAUUGAUUACAGAAAAAAGAAGAAAGGAACAAGGAUCAAAAUCAAAAUGAAACCCUAUCUUCUCUCAAUCGGAUACAAAAACUAAAAUAAGAGAUCACGCGAAAUGCGAUCCCCAUCACGAAACAACAAACCUGGAGAUCGAUCGUUUCCACUAUAAAUCACAAAAUUACUCACCAAAAAUGGAAAAAAAAAAAAAGCCAAAUAAAAGGACGGAAACUUACCGAACGGCACAAGUGCGGUGGCAAAGAGAGGGAUCACCUCCCGAUGCGGUGAUCGCUCGCGAGGACGAGAGGAGGAAGGUAACGAUGUGGAUGAGGAGUCGGAAACCCUAGAAAGGGAGGGGNCUCCUCCGCUUCAGCUCUCCACUCCACACGAAAGAGAGAAAGAAAAAUAUAAUUAGAGAGGUGUAGGCUGUUCCCUCAAUUAAUUGAAUGGAUAACCAUGCAUGGGGGCACGUGGCAUCCACACACACAUAUAUAUAUAUAUAUAUAUAUAUAUAUAUAUAUAUAUAUAUAUAUAUAUAUAUAUAUAUAUAUAUAGGCCGGUAUACUAUCGGUAGCACAGAGGUCUCCGUGCUACCAAGUUGUUUUCAAUGAUUCGGCUUCCAAAUCGACGAUCGGGUCCGUUAGACUUCAUCUACACUAUUAAAAGUAUUUGAAAACUAAAUUUCAUAAUUUUUCGACACCAUUUGGCCAAUGAUCAAAAGGUCUCAAAAUUGACUAUUUUAAAUAAAAUAAUUUUUUAGGCUUAUAUAUAUAUAUAUAGGCCGGUAUACUAUCGGUAGCACAAAGGUCUCCGUGGUACCAAGUUGUUUUCAAUGAUGUGGCUUCCAAAUCGACGAUCGGCUCCGUUAGACUUCAUUUACACUAUUAAAAGUAUUUGGAAACUAAAUUUCAUAAUUUUUCGACACUAUUUGGCCAGUGAUCAAAAGAUCUCAAAAUUGACUAUUUUGAUGGUAGAUGUGAUGCGUUUGUGAAUUUAACGGUGUAAAAUAAUUCAUAUCUGAUGAAAUUUUUAUAAAAAAUUCUUUUUACUAUUUAGAAUAAGAUUAGUACAUCUGAUCUUAAAUUUAAGUUUUUUAUCAUCAUUUCUUAUGAGAUUUUUAUUUUCAGCCGUUCAUUUUUAGACUACUCGUUUGAUAGGUAAAUGAUAUCGAAAAAUUAUGAAAUUUAGUUUCCAAAUAUUUUUAAUAGUAUAGAUCAAGUCUAAAGAAGCCGAUCGUCGAUUUGAAAACUGUAUCAUUGAAAAUAACUUAAUAGCACGGAGGCCUCCGUCCUACCGAUAGUAUACUAGCGUAGCUCAUAUAUAUAUAUAUAUAUAUAUAUAUAUAGUCCGGCUGCUUUGUUAUCGAUAGUACCAAGCACUUAGUGCUAUCAAGUUUUUUGCCGUUAGAUUAACCCCUUUGAUUAUUUUUACCCGUUUAAUUAUGCUAUUCAACUAACCACCCACUAAACCUUAUGGUGCCAACAUCAUCCUAACCGCACAUUUCUUAAUCCAAAGGCUAAAAAACUAAUAGCACCAAUAGUUUGGUGCUAUUGAUAGUAUUCCAAUAUAUAUAUAUAUAUAUAUAUAUAUAUAAUAUAUAAAAUAUUAGUCGGCUAUUGUGCUUGUAAAAGCACCAAGCACUUGGUGCUUGUGAAUUUUUUACCGUUAGUCUACGUCUUUGAUCUUCAUCCGUUAGAUUAUAUUAUUCAACUAACCACCCACUCAACCCAAGGGGCCCAUAUCAUCCUAACCGCACAUCUAUUAAUCCAACAGCUAAAAAUUUACAAGCACCAAUGACUUGGUACUUUUAAAAGCUAGAGGCUCAAUUCUUAUAUAUAAUAUAUAUAUAUAUAUACUACUAUACUAUCAAUAGUAUCAAGUCCUCGGUAGUAUUGAUUUUCGGCCGUUGGAUGAAAGGAUGUACGUAGGAUGAUAGUGGUCUCCGGUUAAAUUAAUAGUGGUCCCUUAGGGUUGAAUAGGUGAUUGGUUUAUUAGUAUAAUCUAACGGUGGAAAUGAUCAAAGGGUAGAUCUAACGGUAGAAAACUAAAUAGUACCAAGGCUGGUACUAUCGAUAAUAUAGUAGCCGGACUCUCUCUCUCUAUAUAUAUAUAACUAGGCUGGAAUACUGUCAAUUACAAAGCUAUUGGUACUAUUGAUUUUUUAACCCUUAAAUUUAGAAUUGGUGGUUAGGAUGAUAUGAGCCCCUAGGGUUGAGUGAGUGGUUGGUUGAAUACAAUAAUCUAACGCGUGGAAAAUUCGAUAGUACCAAGUCCUUAGUGCUAUCGGUAGUACCCUAGCCGACUAUAUAUAUAUAUAUUUAUAUAUAUAUAUAUAUAUAAGUAAAACUUCAAAUUCCAUCCUUGUGGUUUCGCAUUUUCUUACUUUAGUGUCUUGGGGUUUAAAGUGUACAUUUCGUACCUAUGAUUUUAUUUUUCUCUUUUGUUAUCCUUUCUACUAAUUUUUUUCGUUUAAUUAGUCACAAAGUUAAAAUUAAAGAGCAUUAAAGUGAAUAUUCGAUAACUAUAAGUGAAUAUCUGAAGUUUUUUUUGUUUAUAAUUUAACGAAAAGUUAAUAGAGGGACUGACGAAAAGAGAAAAUGAAGAUACAGAAUAUUAAAUUGAUAUAUUUUAAACUAUAGGGUAUUAAAAUAAAAAAUUGCGAAACCACAUAGAUGGCAUUUGAAAUUUACCCUAUAUAAAAACCUGCACUAUACCGUGUAUCUCAAAUAUCUCCCUGUAUAAAAAAUUUAACCAACGUCGAUCCUUGAUCCCGAACAUUAAUUUUGCGUCAAAUAGGUCUAAGAUUCCGUUUACUUCUGAUGAAAGUGUUAACGGUGACAUCACAAGAUUAUUUGACGUUAACAAUACUUAAAUUCUCGCAGUGCAUACUUUCUUAUGGUUCCUCUUCAGUUUCUAUAUUUAAAGGUACAUCUAAAGAAGCUUCACUGAGUUUAAAAAUAUGUUAUCCUAGAAUAUCGCCGUUAAAAUUAAUAAAAAAUUCUAACAUAAGAGACUAUUAGACAGAACUAAAGUGCAUGCUUGGUUGAUAUUAUUUAAAUUUUUUAUGUUGAGAGUAUUUGCACUACAGCAAAUCUUGCACUUAAUAACAGUUUAAACAAUAACUAGCAACGCUUUAAAUCGUCGGCAAAGAAUAAGAUCGAUAGUUAUAAAAGUAUCGAACAAAGAGUCGUUAAAUAAACAUGUCGGGAUAAAUAUACCAAUAUUUUAACGUAGCAUCGAAAAAUUUUUAUCAGUAUUUGAUAAAAAUAUAUUUAUUGAUAAUGCUUAAUCAUGAAGUCGGCACAUGCCAAAUAUUAAAGACGCUAAAGUAAAUCGCCGUCUAAAAAACGUCGUUUAAAACAUAUUUUGUUGUAGUGUUGAGAUAUGAGUUUAAGUGGGGAGAGAAAUUUGAAAAAUUUCAGCACCGAGCUGAACAGGUUUGGGCCAGUUACCUGGUAAACUGGUUCAAGCGACCGAUCUGAUUUGGUACUUUGAAGCUCGGAUUUUAUGCCAACGCGAAUCCAAACUAGGCGGAUUUAACUAAAGUUGGAUAGAUUAAUAUGAACAGAGCGAGAUGGAUCGGUGAUUUUAUGCAAAUGCGAAUCCGAACUAGGCGGAUUUAACUAAAGUUGGAUAGAUUAAUAUGAACAGAGCGAGAUGGAUCGGUGGAAUUUGGUUUUGGUUAGGAUUUUUGGAUGUACUUGAAAACCAAUUUUUUUAUAUGAAAAUAGAAUUUUUGUUGGGUUAACUGCACUAAUAGCUUGUGAACUUUAGCCCAAAAUUUAUUUUGCCUCUAUUUUUUGAAAGUGAACUUCAUAUUUCUUAAAUUUUUAAUAACAUUGUCAAAUUGGGUUGUUACAUAAUCUAAUGUUAAAUUAAUCGACAGAAAAAUAACAAAUAAUUAAUAAGUCAAUAAUUUUUGCCUGAAAAAAAUUGCUAAUUUUAUAUAACUUGAUAUGCCGGCAUAUGAUUUUUUUUUCUUUUGUUAUGGUUGGUUAACUUGCAAUGUAUUUUGACCAAAUAAUAAAUAAAAACUUAUUUAUUUAUUUAUUUUUUAGAGAGAAAGGUAGCAUGCUACCUAUUUCGUUUAUUUUUUUAGAAAUAAAUUUAGCUGAAAAUAUGAAUCAAUUAAAAUUCGAACUUAAAAUCUCGGAUAUCAACCACUAAGCUCUUUACCACUUACACUAGAAAGUCAAUUAUUUAAAAAAAAAAGAAAAAAGUUUAAAUACCCCGGUUUCGCAGUUUCUCACUUUAAUAUCCUAUGGUUUAAAGUGUAUCAAGUUAGUACCCUAUGGUUUCGCACUUUCUCACUUUAGUACCCUAUAGUUUAAAGUGCAUCAAGUUAGUACGCUGUGGUUUCGCACUUUCUCACUUUAGUACCCUAUGGUUUAAAGUGUAUCAAGUUAGUAUUCUGUAGUUUUAUUUUUAUAUCAAGUUAAUACCCUGUGGUUUUAUUUUUCUCUUUUUAUUAUCUAUUUUGGCGUAUUUUUUUCGUUAAAUUAGUGAUAAAGUUAAAACUAAAGGGUACUCAAAUGAAUAUUCGAUAAACCUAGGUAGGGUAUCUGAAGUUUUUUGUAUAUAAUUUAACGAAAUAUUAAACCACAAGGUACUAAAAUGAGAAAGUGCGAAACCACAGGGCAGUAACUUGAGACACUUUAAACUAUAGGGUACUAAAGUGAGAAAGUGCGAAAUCAUAGAAUACUAACUUGAUACACUUUAAACCACAGAAUAUUAAAGUGAGAAAGUGCGAAACCACAUGAGAAUAUUUGAAGUUUUUCCUUUUGUUUAGUUAGCUCUAAUUCGUAUCAUUAGUAUUUAGAGUUCAAAAGUCACUUAUUAGACGCUUGAUUCUCCCAUUAUACAUAGAAAACUACAAAGUAAUGAUACAAAAACGACUCAGCCCACUAGUACUGCUACAAAUAUGUGAAUUUCAUUACAGGUGAAGCGAGGUGUCCACGUCCAAUUCACCGUACUCCUUCGUGUUCUCGCGAUUCUUAUUGUUACAACUUGUAUCGAGCCCGGGAGGCGAAGCGCGAGUUAGCUCGGCGUGGAAGAGCCACACGGCGGGGGGUUGGCGUUGCUCGUCGCGACGAGAAAGAAUGUUGAAGCAGCCACCACUCCUGCUCUUCUCCCUCAUCUCCUUCACCUUCUGCAGCUGCUUAAACCUCUCCUGCAGGAGCGCAAUUGAGGAGCAAUACUGCAGGAGAGUGUUGGCCUCAUCAUCAUUGUUGUUGUUGUUGUUGUUGUUGUUGUUGUUAGUUUCUCUCUCCAUGUUUAUUUCCUGUUUUCGAAGGAUGGUG